rnacentral:lncRNA from 1 species
AAAGUGAUAGAAUUUAGCUUACAUGAGUUGCUACUUUUUUUGUGGGAUCCACUAUUUAUGCUACCCAAGAAAGGAACUUGCUAACCCCAAUGACAGAUCUAGCUCCAUUUUUCAGCUCAUUGGGGAUGAAAUUUCUUGCUAAGGCUUGAAACAUGGUAACCUCAUGGAUGAUAAAGCCCCAUUGGAGACGCCCUAACUCAAGGAACUAAAAACGUCGCUGCCUCAUCGCUUCCAUACGUCGACGUAGGCUCAUUGCUUCCAAAUGUCGCUGCCUCGUCUCUUCCAAACGUCGACCUCGCUGCCUCAUCUCUUUCCGCUGCCUCAUCUCUUCCAAAUGUCGCUGCCUCAUCUCUUCCUGCUGCCUCAUCUCUUCCAAAUGUCGCUGCCUCAUCUCUUCCACAUAGCUUGACUCCUCAGGAACAGUCAAAAUUUCAGCAUCAACGAAGGUGUUGAUUGAAUUCUGAACUAGAGCUUUGUAGAGAUGGCCGAUGAAGGUCCUGCUAGUGUCUUCGCCUCAAAAAUUCAAGAAGACAUCAUAUUUCCAAUCAGGAACAGAUGAAGAAGAAGAAGCCAUCAACAAGCACAAGAUCGACAGCGUAAUGUGAGUCUCGUGUAGCCCCUUAACAAACUCAAGACUGCAGGUCAACGACCCCCUUCAUUGGUUCUCACUAGAAAAAUGGGAUGCAUCUUCAAUGGGGGAGCUUUGAAGUUGCCGGAAAGAAUGGUCGUUUGGCUAAAGUCCAAUAACAAAUACAAAUGAAAGAAAGUAACAUUCAUAUUUUAUUAAGCCUUUUUAUUUAAAAUAGUCUGAUUGUCAUAACUCUUCACUUUGGUUCAUGAGAUUUAAAAUCGACAAAAGUGGUCUUUGAGAUUGUCCACCGUCAAUUAUUUUUAUCAUUAUGUGAAAAAACUUGGUUAAAAUUAAGGGCAUUUUUGUCAAAUGAACCCCUCCCUUAACUGAUGGUUUCUUCAAUUUGAUGGAGAUUUUUCACAAAUUAUGAUGCAUAUUGGGGUAGUCCAAAGCUCCUUUAUGUGUGUAGCUUCUGCUUAUGUCAUGAUCUUUCCACUUCUACCAAUUAUCGUUUCAAAUGAUUUUGUUUUUACUAUUUAUUUUAUUGUCACGCCCCGAUCUCGAUCUACAUCCAGGAUUGCCACUGACGUCACCAAGUAACCAUAUACUCAACAGAUCCCGCCCCCGGGAUAAGUACGAAGCAUAACUCAAGAAUCGAAUCGCAUAAUAAUUUUUCGUAUACUUUAUGGCUGCAUCUAACCUCCUCGUUAGACUGCCUACGUACCCUCAAUAGGGAUCAAGCCAUUCGUAGUUCACCAUUCGUCAAACUCUAAUCUUUUUGUAAAAUACUUCUAGCAGAAAUCAUAAAGUACCACGACACAUCAGCCACACUGUCACGCCCCAGACUUGGGGUCAGUGAAAAAAAUAACCCCGCACCCGUUGCGCGAGUAAAAGUAAAAUAAAUAAAUAAAAGAAAAUUGACACGGGUUGGAAAAAUAAACUCCUCUUAUUAAAAUAACUCCAAAAUCCUUACAAGAUGUACAAAAAUAUAAUAAAUUAAAAUCCUUAAACUUCUCAAUCACAACCUCAGCUCUUCUAACACAUGUCUUGCCAAAUGACAUCUGUAAAAUAAUAAGUGAGGGGUGAGCAACAACCACAGUCGCUCAGUGAGUAGAAUAAGUAAUAUGUCAGUCAAGCAAUGCCUUUUUACACACACACACUAGAAAAUAGGAUAAUAAUAUCAAAGCUUUAACCACGUAAUUUCAUAUCACAUCAUCCCUUUACGUGUUCAUUACAUCCUUCAUAAAUUGUAACUCACCACGUGAUCCCUACUGGCCUUUCCGCCCUAAUGUCCUCAUGUGCAGUUUACAUUUAUCCCUCGGAUUAAGGCAACACUAAAGUUCUCAUGCUCCAUGAACAUAUCCAAACAAUCCACAUAUUACCAUAUUAAUGAUUCCAAAGGUAUUUCAACAAAUCCAACAUGCUUGACUUAAAAUAGAUAGAGAUUAUAAAUAGAUAAAACUCAUGAUAGUUCAUGGUUUUCAUUUAUCAGAAAAUAAGAAUAUUUUGAAACACAUUACAUAAACCACUCAUCUCGAAAAUCCAAGAUUUGGCAAAACAACCCAACUAACAUCUCCGCACACCUCAAACUAGCUUUCCCUUUUUCUUUUCUUUCUAAGCUCUCACUCUAACGUAUAUAUGAAUAUAUACGCACAACACACACACACACACACACAUAUAUAUAUAUACACACACACUUAAUGCAUGCUCUACAUGUUUCCUUCUUUUUAUGCUCCAAAAACAAUGGAGCAAAGCUCCUAUUUAUAGUGAAAUAGAACGGCUCCAAGACUUGAGGUCCAAGGAAUAUAUACAAUAAAAUAUAUGAAGUCCCUAUUUAUAGUACCGAACGGCUCCAAAACUUUGUGACUCAUAAAGGCACGUGUCAAUUGGCAUGGAAUCAUAACAUGAGGAGAUGACACCUAACUAGGUGAUUAAGCUAAUGAUUAAAUGGUGGCAAUAAGAUGUGUCAACUGGAUGCAAGACUUGAAUUGUGGAGCUACACGUCCAACCCAGCAUGGUGCUCACAAGCACCUUAAAAAGGAUAGGAGAUAAGGCCGCAUGGUAAGCUUCACACGUCCACCUUAUAAACUUAUGACUAAGCAUAAGCAUGGUUCUAGGGCUUAACUAAGAAAAAUAUUCCAAAACUUAACUUCAAGUCUAAUAAAAUAAAUAAUAACUUAAACAUAGGGCUUUCACCAAUAUAAAAUAUGGGUUCUCACACAUACACCGAACAAUAAUUAUCACCUUUUCAUGCACGCAGGUAUGCCAAUCCCACGCAUAUGCUUUCCAAUUCAUCCAUCAUAUAAAUCACUAUGAUUCACAUAAUACCGCAAUUCAUAGUAUGCUACAUCUCGAAGAACAGUCAAUGAAGCACAAUGUUAUUCUAUAGUCACAUAAAUCAACGAGUCUAUCAUAAUAAUAACAAUCAUAUCCAAUGUUGUUCCACAACCACUCCAAUUAAUCCAUCCCAUGAAUCACAGAUGCACAAUAUUAACAUUUAACUAUGUUAAUCAAUCAUCAAGAUCACAUAUCAAUUCACAAAAUUUAAUAAAGGAUUUCAACAUAAUUCCUUGCAUGGAUUCCAAGUAAUACAAGGUAAAUCCAAUUUAUAAACACAAUGUCUAUUGUGAGCAAUUUCCUACUCACUCGAAUCUAGGGUCGAACUAACCUUAUGGAAAUGAGCAAGAGUAGGGAUUUCGGACCACUCAACGGAAUCCAGCCCAAAAUAUAAUUGCCAAUCGGAAUGUACCAAGUAUAAUCCUCCUCACUUCUAGAAUGCAUAUGGUCUCCCAACGCGGAUAUACCAAGCAGGACCAUCCAUGUACCACUGCUACAUGGUGCAGUUAGAUCAACAUACAAACCACUUACCCUUAUCUCAUACGCUAUGAUUUACAUCGUAAUCACCUGCAUUAUCAACUUCUCAUGACCACUAACUAUCUUAUCAUACAAGCAUAAAAGUUCUACAUAAUACUUCUCAUAAGAUUCUGAGUUCAUAUCAUCAUAACAUUUAUCAUACUUAUCAUUCACAUUAUUAAGAAGAUAAAUAAGCACAUAUAUAUCACAAUAUGACGUUCCAUACACGUAAACCGAUGUAUAUAUUAUCUGGGAUAACUCACUAACCAAUAUAGGCCCACUAAGCCCUACAUAGACUCUAGUAAUACUGAAUUUAAUAGUUUAGAUCAAUUCAUAGCAUAUUGACCAAAAGUAAGCAGUAAUUAGAUUAAUACAUAUAAGGUUUCCCAAAACCCCUACCUGGAAUUCGAUUAAUUUUGUUCCUUUGAAGAACCUAAUAGGAACAUAAAAUUACCAUCAAAAGUAUAAAUACGAGUAACACACCUUAAUAACCAAACUAAGUGUUUAAACACAAAAUUAAUAUUAUCUAAAGAAAGUACACUGAUUCUGGAAUCUACCACUCAAAUAGUAGUAAAGAAGAUUAGAAAGGAAUCUGGAAAAGAAAAGAGGUGUGGCAAAAACAGUUACUCUGCUUCUCCACAAAAUCUGCAGAAAACAGCACAAUUGGACCAAGUUUAGACUCCCUUUGGAACAUUCAAAACUAAACCAAAUCGUGUAAUAUUAUAUGGGUUUUGAAGCUUGUGUUUUGUACUUUAAAAGCAUACAAAGUUUGUAGAAAACGGAACUCUAAAUUGGAAGUUAUGCCAAAAAGAAAAAUGAAGUCUUGAAACUGGAAACCCAAUUUUCUACUACUGUUUGGCAGCUUGCGACCCAAGUUUAAAUGAGGUUUUGAUCAACCAAAACUCAAUGGAACUGAGUGAAAACAAUUGGGUUACGAUCAUGAACAAAUGUACUUUCAACACACUAAAAUAUUUCUUCAAAGGAGCACAUAAAGACCUAGAAAUUAAAAGUCGAAGAAGACUACUUGAAACUUGAGUUUUCUUUGCCAAGAAAUCAAUUUUCUGCAACUUACGUAACAGCCUAUCUCCAAUUCAUAUAACAAAUCCCAAAAUAAUUCCAGGUAGUCCAGAAGUCUUGUAUACAACAUCCAAAACUAACAUGACUCAAAAUUAACAAGAAAUUGACCUUUUGAACCAAACCCUUGAUCAAGAAAUUUGAUCUACACACCCAAUCCGAAUUACCCAACUCUAAUUUACUCUUCAAAUCUCUGAAUUCUUCCUUCACAAUCACGUUCUCCAACUCCUCUCUCUUUGAUUUUUGUCUGAAGAAAGAAGGAUUCUUCCAAAAGCUAUGGAAGAGCCACCUCCUCCCCGUUUCUUUUUCUUCCCUCGCAAAGCUAGGAAGAACGUGAAAGAACGUUCUCCCCCCCCCUUUUUUUCUCUUCCGCCCCUCUCUUUUCCUUCCUUUCCCUGCUGCCCUCUAGUCCCUUCCCUUUUGUCUGAUUGGUCCACACUAAAUCUUACAUGAUUGGGCCUCUUUCCCACAAAGUGGGAAUUUAUUUAAUUAAAAACUAUAGUUUAGUAAAUGAUUUCAAAUGUCCAUAACUAUACCGUUAUAAUCCGGACCCGCAAACAAUUUUCGCCUAUGCGUUCGUGAUCUCGGAAUCUAUUCAACAAUAUAAAUUGUGACCUCGAAAGGUCCACGUGUCACAUUCCGUCCCGAAAUUUUAUUUAUCGUUGAUGUGAAAUGACAAAAUUGUCCCUAAAGAUUUCUAAGGUGUGUGUGACUUAUACAUUCGAUUGAUAUUGUCCUUCCUAAGUUUGUGGAAAAUUUAAUUUGGAACUUAGGUUAUGUUUUCAAUUGUGUGGUCAGGGUUUAAUGUGGACCACUCACACAACCUUUCCUCUCUCUCUCUCUCUCUUCCCUCUCAGUUCUCUCUCUCUUUCGAAUGGUACGGACAAAGGACCAAGUCCCUCAAUUUUUCACAGAUCGAAGGUUCUAAGGUAAAAAUCGAACUCAUCUUGGGCCCCUGAGUUUAAAUAUACUAUUUUUGGAACUGGAAACCUUCGAAAUCACGUAGAAACCCUAACCCCGAAAAUGUGCACUGUUCAUGCACACGUAAAAUUAGGGGUGGUUCGGUAUGGGAUCCCAUACCGAAACCCUUGUCCCGAUUCCCAAACCAAAAAUUUCGGGAAUCCCAAUUUCAAUACCGAUCCCAAACCAAAUUUUCGGGAAUCCCGAAAUAGUUUCGGGAUUUCGGGACAAAUCGGGAAUCCCGAAAUGAUUUUGGGCUUUUGGGCUUUUGGACUAAAAUAUUAUGUUUUUGGGCUAAAAUUGAACCUUUUAACACUUUUGGGUUGCAAUAUGCUAAGAAGCCCGUUGCAAUAUGUGCCAAUUGCAAGUUAUGUCAAUUUAAAUGUAGAUGCUACAAUUGCAAGACUUUGCCAAUCUGGAUUCAAAUGUAGAUGCUACAAUUGCAAGACUCUGUCGAUUUAAAUCAUUCAUACAGAAAUAUGUGCAACUAUUGAAGCCUUCAUUUUCUAUGGACUCUAUUGAUCUAAAUAUAUAUUUAAAAAUUAAAUAAUAUAUAUUUUUUUUUCGGUUCGGUUUGGGAAUACCGAAAUCCCAAAAACUUGAGACCGAUUCCCGUACCGAAAUUUCAGGAUCGGUUCGGUAUUGGGUACCGAAAUUUUCGGGAAUUUCGGUUUGGUUUCGGGAAUUUUUCGGUUUGGUUUGGGAUUUUUGGGAUUUUUUUCCAGCCCUACGUAAAAUAUUGCAUUUCAGGGAAUUUCAAGCUCAUAGUGAGCUUAAGGAGGUUCUCACAAGCUUGGGGGUACUUCGUUGGUGGAAAUUGGACGUUAGAGGACUGAGAACGAAGCUUUUCAAAUUUGGCCGGAUUAUCGAGUUUCCUCAGGUAAAAUCUAGGGGAUUUUAGACCUUGAAACUUGUGUAUCAUGAUUCUACAUGUUUAGGGCUUCAUUUUGGUAUAAAUUGCGUGAAAAUUGGUUGAGAAACGAAGGAGAACAAGAAGUUUAAAAUUUUGCCCAGUUUUCGGCACCGGUGAUGAUCGCCGGAGUUGGAGGAAGGAGACGAGAGAAUAUUCCGUCAAGUCUGACAGAAUAUUCUCACGCCGUUAGUCAGUUUUAAUGGAAUCCGUUAGGAUUUAACGGAAUAUUCCGAAGAAUAUUCCUAAUGGCGUCACAGUCUCAGCCCUGUGUGCCAGGCACGUGCCGCGCGUGGGUGGCACGUCUGGCCGUGCCUUGGCCGGCACGUGAGGGCGCGUGGGAAGUCCAAAAUUAAUUCUAAAAAUAUGGGGAUGUUCGUGGAGUUGUGUAGAUCACUGUGGUAUAUUCAGAUACCCAAAUUAAACAUCGUAUGAGAAGUUAUUUCGAAUUGUUGGUUAUGUGCUUUAAAAUAACGUUUUUAUAGUUGUUUCGCAUAUAGGUGAGACCUAUCCCGAGGACGAGCGCAUUCAAGGGCGUCACGGGGGUUACGACCCGUCGACAUAUCAGUGAGUGGGCAGUUAUUUUCUGUAUUUACCUAUAUACUAUUGAUUUUCCCAGAAAUUGAAUAUAAAUGAAAGUAUGUUUUAAAUGCCAUGCAUGCAUAUUAUGAAAUAUUUGAGUUAGUAAUUGAUGCAUAUAUAUAUGUGAAAUUGUGUUGUGGACGCACAUGUGAGUUUUAUGUUAUUCAUGUGAAUUAUUGAUGAUGUGAAUUGUCUUGAGAGCUCAUAACAUGCACCCCUGGUGUUAGUGCUUAUAUUAUUCACCCCGCACCACACGCUCACCUUGGAUCCAAGUAGGUGCAUGUCGUACAGAUCACAGUGGUGAUUCCGACAUGUCGUACAGACCAUUAGAGGUGGUUCCGACCUGUAGGUGACUUUAGAUUGUUAUACAGCUGUUGAUGAGAGAAGCACUAGAGCGUAUUCUUACACCAUUCUUGUCGUACAAACUACUUCAGGUAGUUUCGACUUAUGUGCAGAGUAGUACCGUACAGGUCACAAUUAGUGAUUUCGGCUGGAUUGGAUAUUGAGCUAUCGAAUUAACCGUACAGGACAAACUGCAGGGUCUCCGAUUGAUUCCUUAUUUCACCUGUUAUAUUGUUGCAUCUUUAUGUUGUUGUGAAGCAUAGCAUGGCAUAUACAUAGUGGCAUGUUGAUAGCAUAACUUGAGAUAUGUUUUAAAAUGAAUAUAUAUGUUUAUAUAUGCUAUUUUUCUGGGAAUGUAUACAGGUUUUACAGCGAGGGGUUAGAAAUGUUAUUAAAUGAAAUGUUUUCGAAAAACUUUGUUUUACUGACCCACUCAAUCUUGUUUUGCGCCCCUCCAGGUUCUAGUUAGCAGCGUUGGUGGUUCACAAGGAUUCCCACGACAUUCUGACAGACUACUCAAAUGUAGGACUCAUCUGCGGGUGUUGUAAUUUAGUAAUGGUCCUACUUGACUGCACCUAGUACUUAUGUUCUGAAUAUGCGUGUUUCACACUUAAACUCACUCUAGCAUGUUAGUUGGAUUAUUAUGGCUAGUACUUGGUUUUUAUUCCUUCGUAUAUCUUUUAUCCUUUAUGCUUCUGCGUCGCACUUAUGGUUACGUCACACUCACGUGACGGCCAGCACGCCCUGAUUCUAGGUUCGGGGUGUGUCAGUUUGGUAUCAGAGCCUAGGUUGCAGUCCUGUAUAAAUUGUGAAUGCUCUAAUGAUCUUUUGAUGUUUUCUGUCAGAACUAUGCUGCCUCGUAGGGAACCACGUCGUGCUUCUGAGCCUAAUUUCCCUGACAUAACUCAAUUAGGAGAAGCGAUGGCCUAUGCCUUUCAGAAUGCAAUUCGUCUUCCUCAGAGAACGCCCUGGAGACUAUGUAUAAUAUGAAGUUAGACCGAUUCAUGGGUAAUGGGUCAUGAAGGGGCAGAAAAGUGGUUAGACCAUAUAUUGAGAAGACUUUUCAGGUGAUGCAGAGUCAAGGAAAUCUUUCUUCUAAUAGAUGGGUCAAGACCACUACUUGGUUUUUAGGACGAGAGCCUGUAGCUUGGUGGGUAAAUCAAACUCAGUUUAUAUCACCUGAAGCGGCAACAGAUUGGGAAGUAUUCAAAGAGAAUUUUAAGAAAAUAUUUGUUCCCCCAGAGUACAUUGAUCGUAAGAAGCAGGAGUUCACUUAAUUGAAGCAAAAGAAUAUGUCGGCGCAUGAGUAUUAUCGGAAGUUUACGGACUUAUCCCGCUAUGAUCCUGAUACAGCUGGUAACCAGGUAGAGAUGCUUCGCCGUUUUAAGCUGGGAACUAAGAAGAAAUGGCGGACUUUUGCUAGUGCAAUUGCUUGCACCAAUUACCAUGAGUUUUCUGAGAUUCUGAUUCGGAUGGAGGAUUCCGAAAACCUUCCUAGUAACAGUGAUGAAGAUGAAGAUAAGAAGGAUAAGCAGAAGACAGAUGACAGAGGUAAAGGUAUCUCCACUCAGGGACCCCGUAAGACUCAGAGUUUCAAGAAAAGUGGAGUGAGCUCGAGUUCUUCCAGUGGAGGAUUUAGUGUCACAGACCCGAGGAGGGGUGGAAGAUUUACUGGUGGACCCAGGUUUCAGAGACAGAGAGACUUUGGUGGUACCAGUGGUUCAGGUGCUCCGUUGUGCCGCCGUUGUAAUUUCAGACAUCAUGGAGAGUGUAGGAGAAGUGGCGGUGGUUGCUUCACUUGUGGAUAGUUUGGACAUAGAGCUUCACAGUGUCCCUAGAGUCAGCAGAGGCCUCAGCAGUCUACUAUGCCACCUCCAGCGCCGAUUCAGCAGAACUUUGGACCAGGUAGUUAUGGUCAGACGGGUCGUGGUGGUGCUUACCAUUAUCAGGGUGAUGCUGCUCCCUAUGCUUCUAGGCAGUAUCAGUAUUCCCAGGAUUCUUAUUCUCAGAUUGGGUAAUCCCAAGAUCCUGGAGGUUAUACUUCAUAUCCUACUAUUCCCAAGAUCCUUAUUCUCAGACUGGGUAUUUCCAAAAUGAUGGGGGGGGUGCCUAUUUGUGACCAAAACUAGACCCGGCAGUUUUUGACACGACACGAAAAUAAUGGGUUUCAGGUCAACAUGAUAACUUAUCGGGUGACGGGUUCUUAACGGGUAUACGUGCAGGUAACACGUCGGUAACCCGUUUCGACCCGUUAAGAAAAAAAUUAUUUUGAUAAUUUUAAAGUUUAAUUACUAAAAGAUUUAUUAUAAAAUACAAUAGCCAUAUUAAUAAAUACAAUAUAUUCUAAGGAAAACUAAUGAAAAGAACUUGAAAACUUUGAGUUUUAAAGAUAAGGACAAAAUAAAAGGUAAAAUGAAUAGUACCAGAAUUGACUUUUUAGUGUAAAAAUGUGAUUUUUCGUUAAAAUAAACAGUACUGGGAGCUUUUUCAUUCGCAAUACGAGAGCAAACUACAUGUUAGGAAUAAUACAGUCAGCCCCGCAUAGGGAGGGUUUUGCCAUACAAAUAUUGAAACCCGGUACAACAGACAAAACUCAUUAGAGCCGACAGCAAAUUAGCAAUAGGAUCUGCUUCACAUUAAACACUAGUGUCGCAGCAACACUCAACAAAGAUGCACCUCAAAAGGGAAAUGGCAAUUCCGCUCAAUUUUCCCCCACCGCCCCGUUGGAGGGCCAAAGUACUUGCUCGUCAUCAAGGACGCCAUGAAUUUGCUGAUCCACUAGUGAAAUAUCGGCCACUCCUCUUUAUAUAUCGAUACAAACUCAGAACUUUAUUUCUCCACCAGCUAAAGGAAAGAUCCACACACCAGAUCCAAAAUAGAUCUUCUGCCUUCGCCCAAAGCAAAAAAGAACGCUUGCAUUGGAUGUCUUGGAAGAAAGAUCCAGCUAUAAAACUGGAGAGCAGUCCUGAACAAGCCAGGGGAUGAUCAAAACCCUGCAAAAACGCAAGGACAAACAAUUCUCCACAUGGAUCGAAGGGGCAAGGCCGAGUUUAUUUUUCCAAAUUGAUUCUAGAGGAAACAUGGAGAAAACCCCCUGAAAUCAGAAUAGGAAGGUGGCUGUUUGGUGUUCUACGGUGGUUGGUUUUUAUCCUAAAUAGUUUAGAGUUAUCUUUCUAACGUCUCUCCGAAAAACUGAGAGUUAAGUGGAUAAAACUCCAAACUAGCGGGUUGGUCUUAGAAGAGCCUACACACAGACACAGAGUCAUGGAAUACUUACAAAUUCACUGCGACACUGAAUGUCAAUCUGUAAAUGCUUACGCAGCAAAAAAACAUGAUCGGAUUCGGAUUCAUCAUAUUGGAGAGAUAAUUAUGGGAGUCAACAAAAUAUUGGGAGACAGCUUCUACAUUCUAGGGGUUGCAAACAAACUUCAGUUGCAGGGUUUUUUGUGCCAAGCAGCCUGCCCUGAAUUAUUGGUUUAACUUAAUGUAAAUGUUGGAGCAGAACUUGAGUCAAUAUCUACAAUUUUAGAUGAAAGAAUUGCUUAAAUCAACCAAAUUUCUCACAUCUGCAACACGGUAAAGCAAAUGCAUUUCUGCUAUCUAUAAUCCUAGUUCAGAUCUUAUUGGGCAAUACUAUUUUCAUUGACAUCAUCAAGAUUCAAACUAAGAAGUUACAUCAAUAUGAAGAGAUAUUUGAUCUUGGCAAUAACAAAAAUCACGCGUCCGCAUAAACAAAAAGGGUCAGAACUAAACCUGCAAGAAAGCAUGAGGUAAACCUCAGACAUUCUUUAACUUCUUCAUCUUUGAUGGAGGACCAUCUGCCUUUCUUUUCUCAGUUUUCGCUUGCAAACAAGUCGUUCCUGCGAAGCCUUAUUUUCUUCGCCAGUUGCAUCUUCUUCUUCUGCUCUAGCCGCUCUUGCAGCUUUGACUCCAAAGGAAGCUUGUCGACAGGUACCACCGCCUUUUCCUUGCUAUCUGGAAGGGGCUCACUGCCCUCAUUUGCAGCAGCAGUUUCCAUCAAUGUGAGAGGAGGCCUUAACAACUAUUGACGCUGACCUUUUCACAACGGGCAUAUGAAGUCGAACUCCGCUGAAAGAUUUCGGAUGCAGAUUAUUGGGUUUCAUGUGCAUCCAUGAAACUAAAAGCCAGAGACACAAAAUAAAAUUAUCAUACGAAUAUGAGGCGAAAAAUAUACGGAAAAAGCUGAUAUACAAACCAAAUUAACUAUUAUUACUUUAGUCUAAAGAAGCUUUUCAAUUGCACUGUACAAAUGAAUAGUCUUUGGAGCCGAAUUUCACUUUAUUUACGAGGUUGCCACUGACUCUUUCUGCCGCUGAUCUUCAUGCCGUGUGUUGAUGAUCGUGGAAAGGCAAGGGUGCAAUGGUCAGUUUGGUCUGUAGGGUUUCGAACGGGUUGGGUGGGUUAGAGACUUUCAUUUCCUUUCUUUCUAAGCUGUAGUGGGACUCGGUGAGAGCAUACCGUCGGGAGAGAGAGACCGAGCGAGCAGAGAGAGAAGAGAAACACUGAGGGAGAGAGAUAGGGAUUUGGUGAGAGGAAUGAAUGCGACUUGUAGGCAGACAAAGUCACUGGGGGUGUACGAUUCGAAGGAGAGAAAGAAAAGGGAUUGAGUGGUGAUGCUUGAUUUGGGAAGAGAAAGAGAGAGAGAGAGAGAGAGAGAGAGGGAGAGCACGAUUUUGGGGUUAGGCGACGGCGGGAGAGAAGGCGAGGGUUGUUGCAUCUGUGUCACUCAAAGUGGGUUGCGAGAGAGUGAGAGUGCUGCGUUCUAGGGUUUGAGAGUUGGUUUCGAGAAAGUGAGGAGGCCAGAGUUGGGGUAAGGCUUGGGCUGGGUUUAUGGAAUGGGGGAGGAGGGUGUGGAAUGUCAUGGAGAGGAAGGGAGAGGGAGGUCUGCCAAAAAACGUGGGUUGCAGAGCUACAACGAGGGAGAUGGGCGUGGAUUGGCAGGGAGGGGAAGGGAGAGGGAGGAGUGAGGCUUGCCAAAAAGAGUGUUGGAUUGAUUUUUCCUCCUUAAAUCAAGUGUUGGUGUCGGGAUUGAGGAGUGGGUCCAAAAUGGGUAUGGUUGUGACGGAAAGAGGGAUGGCAGAGACAGAGGUGAUGGAGUUGGGCGUGGGAAUUCCACAAAUCAAGGGCUGCUGUAAAUGGGUGUUAAUAUCAGCAAUGAGCAUGAUUCGGAUAUGAGUUCUCUCAACCUUUUAAUUAAUUUUUUUUAUAAAAGAUCUGUAAAUGUUUCAUUUCCAUUUGAAAACUUGGGAAUUCUAGGUACCGUAUAUUGUUUAUGGAAGAAUCUCAGUCUCAAACCCCUCAAACGAUCUCUCGAUCUCUUAAUUUUAGGUACCAUAUAUUGUUUAUGGAAGAAUCUCAGUCUCAAACCCCUCAAACGAUCUCUCGAUCUCUUCUCCCCGCCUAUGGUGAACUCCCUCCUCCCGACCCUGAGAGGUACCUCCGUUGCCUUUACCUUCUGUAAUUUUUGGGGUUCGUGAAAUUAUUGAGUUGAAUGUAGGUUUUUUUGUUUGUUUGAAAAUUUGUAUUUUAAUUGUUGCUCACUCUUUUUUUUUUCUUGCAGUAAAAAGACUUUGCAUGAGCCACAAGGUUAGUGAAAUUAUAGAGUUGAAAUUGUUAGUGUUUUUCUUUUGUUUUUUGUGAAUUAUAAGCUUUGUGAAAUUAUUAAGUUGAAUGUAGGUUUUUUUUGUUUGAAAAUUUGUGCGUUAAUUAUGCUCACUCUUUGUUUUUUCUUUGCGGUAAAAGACUUCGAAUGAACCACAAGGUUACUGAAAUGAUAAAGUUGAAAUUGUUAGUGUUUUUUAUUUUUAUUUUUUGUGAAUUAUAAGCUUUGUGAAGUUAUUGAUUUGAAGAAUGUUGUAUUGGAACUUGGAAUGAAAAUUUUGAUUUGAAUUAUUAGAUAAGCAUGGAGUAUGUAGGAAUUCAACCCACGGCUAGCCAAAAACCACCUCGCCGGGCUGAGUCUGGUGCACCGGGAAGUGGUUCUGAAUGACCUUCUGAUGACCUUGCCCUCACAAGUAUUAUUUGUUCUAAUUGAAAUUUCUAAUAAGCAAAAGUAGGGAAGUUAUAGCUUAUUGCUUUGUGGAAGUUAAGUCUAUUUGGGCAUUCUAUAUUGCCACUGUAACAUGCUUAAGCUAUUUUGUUGGUUGUAAUAUCAUGUGUAUCAUGAAGAUUCUAAGGAAACGCAGAUGGGAGGAGCUCAAAACGCUUUGGUUGUUGGUCUAUUUGCACCAAGGGCACCGUGCGUGGUUUCUUGCUUACAAGUGUAUUAAUGGUUGUUUUCGCAUUUAUUUAAUAUACCUAUGUUGCACAUGUUUCAACUUAUGCCUCUUCCCAUGUAUAUUUGUGCCUAUUGAUUCGGUGACUCGAGCAUUGCAGUUCGCAAGGAUGAUGAGUCUACACGCAGCCCCGAAGGCCGAGUCAACUCACCAAUGACUGUACGAGUUCGCAAAUCUGUGAAGGUACAUAUUAAAUUUACCUAAUUUUUGGAUUUUGAUUUAGUUCAAAGUUGCAGUGGGAUUGAAAAUUGGGACUUUGUGGUACUCUCUCCCUCUCUCUCUCUCUCUCUCUCUCUCCUAUGUGUAUGAAUUGAGUUCUGAAGUGCCUGUGCAGAUGGGCGUGUUUACUAACUAAGCUUUCAAGGGGAGCCCAUCAACGGUUUGCUUGCUGGGGGAAUAUGGAAAUUACCAGUGUAUGAUUUGGUUAUCUUUUAUUUUUUAUUUAAAAUUAUCCAUAUAUAAUGUGGGUAUAUUUAUAAUAAAGAAUUGUGAUAAGCUAGUAUGCCAUAUGACUUUGAAAGCAUUGAUUUUGUGUUUAGUUUGGAUUUUUGCAUUGUGAAUGUUGAAUUUGUGUUUAUUUUGGAUUUUUGUGUUUGAAUUUGUAGCAUGAUCUUUCACUGCAUCAUCCAAAUUUUGCAUUUGUAAAUUGUGAAAGACAAACGAAGUAUGAGGAAAUUAUAGGAGAUUGUGUUGGCUUUGGCCAUUAAGGGUAUUAGCAGGUUGUUCCCCCAUACAGGUGAAUAGUCGUUUUUCAGUGUCUGUUCUAUUUGGAUGAGAAAGUGAUUGAAAAAAGAGGAUUUUUUUUUUUAUUUGUUGGUUGAUUUGUGUGUGGACUUUUUUUUUUUUUUUUUUUUUGAGUAUAGAUGUGAAACCAGCAAUGCAAGAGCAGGAUCUGAUUAGUCAUGCCUGAAAAGGGGUUUGUUUCUUAAAUCACAUUCAUUAGAUUAUUAAUAUGCUUUGAAGGUUCUUCAAUAUGCUUUUCUAAUUUCUCCUUUCCAGCGUUCUCUUUUUGGUUUUUGGAGUAUGUUUGUGAUUUAUAUUUGAUUAUAUAAAUGCAGCAAUUAAUUUGCAUCCUUGUGACAACGCAUAUGUGAAAGUGCAUUCGAUUCCAAUAUGGGUAUGUGUGACACGAUGUGCCUGCUGUUGCUGGUAGGCUUGCUGUUGUUUCUCGCACUGUUAACUUUUUGUGUGUGUUGAUUUGAUUAACAAUUCAAGCAUAUCUUUUGUGUUAUUUAUUUUUUUUUUUUUGUGUUUAAUUUUAUUUGAAUUUCUUAAUUUGUUCAAAGGAUGCUUGGUUAGCAGCCAGUUUUACUUAUUGGUUUUUUUAUUUGGAUUUAUAGCACUGAGGGUAUAGGUGAACGGUGAAGCGGUUUGUAUGGGCUCAUGCAUCUUAAACAUGUAGUGAGAAGUGAGGAUUUUGUUUAAGUGUUUUACAUAAUCUAAAGGAAUAUGUAGAUACUAUGAUUUGGACUUGCGUUCUUAAGUCAUGAUAAAGCAGUCCAAGUAAUUUUAACAUAGAUAUCAUUUUUUAUCUAAUGCAUGAGUAUAUGAAAUGCUAGACGAUAAUAAAUUGGGCAACACCAUGUGAUUUAAAAUUCAAAGAGAUACAAUGAACUGUGUUUGAUAUUUUGUUUGUCUUGGUUCAUUUAAAUUUGGCCUUUUCAGUUGGAUUCAUGGGUUUUGUGUAAGAUAUCAUGUUUCCGUAAGACCGCCAGCGGACAGAGACAGAGCGACAGAGAGAGAGGGAAAGGGAAGAGUGGGGAUCUCACAGCCAUGGAUUACGUCGCCAGUAAAUUUGUAAUUUUCGUUAUUGUUAUUUGUUAAUUAAUCCAUUUUUUUUUUGUUUGAAGGUCAAUUAAUUUAUCAGUUAAUAGUGUUGCUGUUAAUGAUUUAGUUUAAUUAAUCAGUUAAUAAUACUGCUGCUAAUGAUUUAGUUUUAGUAUAAUGAUGCUGUUAAUGAUUUGGUUUUGAGUUUAAAUCUGAUUAGCAAAAAUCGGAGGGUUUAAGGUUAUGCACUUGUUUUGCAUGUGACUGCCAGAGAAAUUCAAGCUUCUGCCAAGGUAAUUAUCGAUAAUUGGAUUGUUUAAUGCGAUCAACGUGGUAGUGAAAUGUUGAAUUUUAUGGCUACAAGUUUCUAAUUGGAAUGCUAAUGCUGCAAUUCAUGAUGAUCAAUAUUUUCUGACUUGAACAUUUACUGCAAAUGUAUUGUUGCUUUGUGAUGAAUGAGUUAUCUUUUGCAUAUAAGUCUUUUUAUUUCUCGAUACUAAGUCUAAAUAGAGAUUUCAGAGCAAAAUUGAGUUCAACAUAGCUUUGAUGGAUGGAUAGAUGUAUGCUUAGUUUGUAAGAAAAGAGAAAACGAAAACCAUACCAAACAACUCGCAUUUAAAGCUCUUUUUCUUUUUCUCUUUUUACAUAAAUCUUUCUUUGUUAGAUUGCUAGGGGGCUGCACUAUGUGAGGGAUUACUAUAGAUACUAGCCUUACGUGACUGCCUUGAUUUAUGCAUGAUGGAACUAAAUUACUUUAGAAUAGAUAAUUUUUUUGGUCUUCUUUCUUUUGUUGGAAUGUUGUCACUGUAAUCCGUUAAUUUUGGAUUGUUUAGUGUCAUGGGUUCUGUAGAAUUAGACUCCAGUUGUGUCAUGGGUUGUGUCAUCCCACAAACAAUUAUGCCAUGUGUGGGAUGCUGGAUGAUUGCUAAAACAUCAGACUUAUCAAAAUGCAAAUAGGAAAUAACACCUAUGUAAGUAUACUCUGGUUUUGGCCCUGCAUUCUUAGUUGUGUGAGAUAUGCAUGGUUGAUAUCAACUAAUAAUGCAUAUUGCAAUUAUAUUCCCUUAAUUGAUGGGGUCUUCAUAACCUUUAUGAAUUGAGUAUAGGAUUUAGAUGCAUAGUGUUGCGAUGGGAACAUGAAGACUGCAUUUGGGAGUGUGCAUUAAGUGUAUUUGAUGCAUCAAUAUUUUUUUAACUUAAAAUAACCCCAAAGGUUUGGCCUUUCUGUAUUCUCAUAUAGCAUUCAACCAACAACAUGCCAUAAGGUCUCCAUUCUCUUUUCUCAUUUUUGUCAGGUCUUUUGAAACAAAAGCGUUCAAACAUACAACGUGAAAUUGCAUGAUUAGAAGAAAACAAAGAUACCCAAAAAAAAAAAACUACACAAACUAAACCAAAUAUUAAGUCUUCCAGACACCCAAAUUCAAAACCAAUAAGUAAUGAUAACUACAUUAUUUUCUUUCCCAAUACACAACAAAUUAGCACAAAAACUCUAUAUAUAUGUAUAUAUAACGCUUCCAUAUGCUUAUUUCUCUUUCUUAGACGAAAUUAUCCAUAUGUCAAACCAUAGUGGAUAAUUUCACUUUAAUAACACUUCCGUAUGCUGAUUUCACCUCAUUAUUUUUUGCAUUCCAAUUGGUCUUUGUUUCGUUCUCAGACAGUUAUCGGCAUAGAUGAAGUAAAAUUCCGUUCUUGGCUCUCUUUUUCUUUGCUGUAGCAUCUUUUGUUUGUUGAUGUAAAUUUGGGUUAUGUUGGAUUUUUCAAUUUGAUUUUCCAAUAUAUGUUUUUGGUGACCAACUGUAGUAAAAUGCUGCUUAAAUAUUCAUCACGUUAAGGUUUUCAUGGUUAUUCGAGAAUAUCAUAUUUAAGUCACUAGAAUUCUUUAUACAGGACUGACUAGGCUCCUAUUUUAAAUGACAGGUCAAUCCCAAUUUUAUGCAUUUAAGUGGAUCACCCUCCUCUUAACCCAGGAGUUCAAUUUCGCUGACAGCCUUCACACUUGGGAUACACUUUCAAGUGAUCUGAGGGUCCUCAGGUAGUAUUAUAUCCUUUUGGACUGUAUAGACUGAAGAGUCUGUUUUCAAUGCAUGAAAUGAAAAAAUUUGGCUUUUGGUUUUCGCCUCCUGAAUUAUCUGAGCUAUUGAUUACAUUAAUGUAUGUAGUACAUGGUAUUUUUAAGCCCGAGGAGGACUAAAUUAGUAAUUUAUACAAAUUUUCUUAUGAGAAGACUUUCUACAUCUUUUCUUAGUCUUCUUAGUGUAUGAUUGAACUUUAUACUCCUUUCAUUCAUUAAUUUAUGAAUUGGGUUGUUUUUCUUUUGGGAUUUCAGUAUUUAGGUCUUUAGUGACUGCACAAUUUCAUGGUUUUUUACUAUUUCAGAAGUAAUUGAUAGAGUUAGAUGUGAUUCUACUAAAGUUGGAAAUCGUUGUGUCCUUAGAGCAAGCAAGUCUGCAGAUAUCCAUUUUGUUUUGAUUCGGGCACCUUCAACCAGACUGUAUAGGACAUAAAAAAAUGAUUUGAUUGCGCUGUUAUUUAUUUCUUUUUUUUUGAAUUUUUAUGGAGGUAUCAUUUUCUCAACAAAAUAGAAAUCACAUAAAUAAAUAAACCACUCAAGCAAUUAAUCUUCAAUAAGAACUUAAUAUCUUCUCAGGUUGGACAAACCAGCAGGUGUACUUCUUCACAAAAUUUACUUGCCCAUCUCUUAGAUGGAUAUAAAGAACAUCAAUUGUGUGUCUCUUACAUUUUUUGGUUUAGCUUUAAGUUAUGAUUUCUGAUACCGUAAUGAGUUUUUUCUCAUAAUGCAUAUGAAGACCUUUGAUUAUGUUGGUUCUAUGUUUGAACUUUGAAGCCAGAAAAACUCAUAUGUUGCUUUUGCAGUUUGAUUAGUAGUUGUUAAUUAGAAUUGGCUAAUUCUUUUACUAAGAAUUUGUUUUUACUCACUCUGUUGGUUCUUCAUAUAAGUACAUAAAAAGUGCAUCAAAGACUAAUUAAAAUUAGUUAGCUUAUGGGUGUGUUAACAUGUUUAAGUAGUAGUACUUAAACUCAAAAGAUGCUGGAGUGUUUCUUUCAUUAAUAAUUUGUAUUGAACUCAGCAUUUCAUAAGAGUCGAACCUGAGAGCUUUGUGGAAAGGAAUAAAACUAGAUCGUACCAUUUUAUGUAUGUUUGAUUACAUUGCUUACAAUUAGUAAUAAUUACAUUUUAUGGACAUUGUAGCUUUCAUGGAGUCCUCUGCUCAAACAUGUGUGAAGUUGAAUGACAAUAGACUACAUAUAUCAAAUAAUGUGGCUCACAGAAUUAAGUAGGAGAUUUAGGAUGGUCAGUUAGUUGUUACAUCCAUUUUAAUUUUCAAAUUAAUUUAGUAAUUGUUUGUGAAAACUCACAUUUCUGAUUUUUUUAAUUCAUUGGACUAUUAAACUGUGUCUUUUCACUUUGCUUUGUUUUACAUAUGUAUUCAACUGACAAUGCAAUAACUUUUUUACAGUAUCACUAACAACUCCCUUUCAUGAAACCAAGGAUGUAAAUAGAAUUAGUAUUUAUGAUGUAAUAUGUAUAUUUUUAGGAGUAUUACUUAAUUGAAUUUGGCACUGCAAAAAAGCAAUGUUGCUGCAAUUGUUAUUUACAUCCAUGCCAUUGGUUUAUAAGAAUGGGCUUUGUGUGUUUGGGCUCCUUGAGUUUGUUUGGUUGCUAUGAAUUGUUUGUGGCGGAUGAAUUUACCAUUUUGAUAUGAUCCUUUAUAUAUAAAAAUUUAUGAAAUUGCUUUGUGUUUAGUUUUUUAUUAUCUAUUUUUGGUUGCUAUCAAUUUACUUGAGUCACGGACAGAGAGCAGGGUUGACCUGCUGAGAUGGCAUAGAGAAGACCAUGGUUGACCUGCACGGAUGGCAGAGAGAAGAGGAGAGAGGGAAGAGUCGUGUGGUUUGGAAACAAGGGGUGGGAUGAGCAAAUCAAGGGUUAGGGGUGCCUGAAAGCUUGAUUGUGUUUUUGUCGGAAACGGGUGCACAGAGAGAUGGCUAGGCAGGGAGGGAGGGCGAGGGUAGGGUUGUUUUCAGUAAUUUUGUUCCAGCUGGAAGUCAUUUCCACAAGAAUUGAUGAAGGUCAUUUCCACAACAAUUGAUGAGGUGUUCUCCCCAGUUGGCAGUUUCAUUUGGUUCAAAAGAUAAGUCUCAGUUUCGAACCAAUUUUUUCUUCUUUGGCUGCUUAUGGUUUGAUCCUAAUUGAACAUGCAUUUUUUUCCUUUUGGUUUGUUCAUUGUUCAGUUGUGGUUCAGUUCUCCACCUUUUGGUUGGAGUACAAAAAAUGCUUUUAAAUUAUUAAAUUAGGAGAGCUAAGAAGAUAUUUUGUGCUAAUUGCUAUUUGAUAACUUUGGUUUUCUCUUUUGGCACCACCUUGCUCUCCAUUUCCCGUUUUCCUCUUGCUCUGCUGGUUUUUCAGUGUUACAACCUCUUUGCAAAAACCACACUGUAUGUGUUUUGCAUGUUUUUGUUCAUGCUUCUAUUGUUUGUUGUUGUGGUGGUGACCAUGUGAAUGGAAUUCUUAGUUAUCUAUUCCUCUAGAAUACGUGAUGCAUUUGAUUUUUGUUCAUUGACAGAUGAUGCCACAUGCCUGACAUUUUUAUGCCAUCACUCUUGGUUCUUUUGUGAUUGUUAUUGUUUGUUUUAAAAUGUGUAUGAUGUGUGUGAUGCACACAUUAGAGCAGAUGUUUCUACAUGUGGUUUUAAAUUGAGCAGAGGCCAUAAUUUUUUUUAUGGCGAUCUAACGGAGGACAUGACACAGGACAGAACACAAUGGCGUUCUAAGAUUCAUAUAGCCGAUCCCACUCAGUGACUUGGAUUUUCCAAGUCUCCAACCGAGAAGUUGUCCUCGCUCGGGAAAUUAAGGGAACACUACCUCAACCUACAUGCUCCACUCACAAAGCUCCAACAUACAAGCUUCAACAAAAGAAAAUUCAAAGAACUUAGUGAAGAAGGCUUUGGUGAUUUAACACAAUACGUUGAAAUUAAGGAAAACUUAUUUAUUGAUAUCCCCGAUAAAUUACAAAUAUGUACAUAUACUUGAGUCAAAAUAAACAAACAAGAGGGAGCCUUCACAAAGGUUGCUUAGGAGAAGUCUCGGCAGUCGGUAGAGCCCCAGAAAAAGAAGGCACCGGAUGGGGAUCAUUCGGAGCCUCAGUAUUGGACAGAACCCUAGAAGGAGGAGGCAUCAGAGGUUGAUCAUUUGGAGCUUCAUUACGCGGUACAGCCCCAGAAGACGAAGGCAAUAAAUGCCUUUGGAACAAACCCACAAAUCUCUGAUGAUCAAGUAAAACCUGACCAUCAAAUUCCUUCAUCUGGUCAAGCUUCCUCUUCAUGUUUGUAGCAUAGUCAUGUGCGAGCCGGUGCAACUGUUUAUUCUCAUGCUUGAGCCCUCUAAUCUCCUGUUUGAGACUCAUCACUUCAGCCGCCAAUGAUUCAACUUGGCGGGUUCGAGCAAAUAGGCGUUGGGCCAUAUUAGACACAGAACCUGCACACUGAACACUAAGAGCCAGAGAAUCCUUAACAGCCAACUCAUCAGACCGUUUGGAAAGUAGUCUGUUAUCUUUGGGAGUGAGAAGGUUCCUGGCCACUACCGCAGCGGUCAUAUCAUUCUUCAUCACGGAAUCCCCAACGGUAAGAGGACCAGUAGGGGAGACGAAGGAUGGGCGCCAUAUGUUGUCUGGAGAAGGCGGGGCUGCCUCUUCAACAAGGUUCAAGUCAAAACGACGGUCGGAGGGGCCAGACAUUUUCAAAGGUGUAGAAGAGAGAAGAGGUCGGACAAAUCAAGAUCUUAGAAGUGCAAGAAUGGAGCUUCUACUGGUGGAUAUUUCAAGUGUGCUUUGGAACUUAAUGUCAGCCUCUAUAAAAAUCUGCACUCGACGAAGCUUCAGAAAUCGAAGAGGCGUUUGCUUUCUCAAAAGCUGGGCUGCUCAGAGACCACGAGGGUCGAUCUCAGAAAUCGAAGAGGCGUUUGCUUUCUCAAAAGCUGGGCUGCUCAAAGACCACGAAGGUCGAUCUCAGAAAUCGAAGAGGUUUGCUUUCUCAAAAGCUGGGCUGCUCAGAGACCACGAGGGCCGAUCUCAAAAAUCGAAGAGGUUUGCUUUCUCAAAAGCUGGGCUGCUCAGAGACCACGAGGGCCGAUCUCAGAAAUCGAAGAGGCACCUACUUUUCCAACCUUGUCAGCACCUGUCACACGCACACUCAGCUUUGCGGAAAUUAUGGGCAUUUUGUCGAAGAUUUCUGGCGAAGUAGAAAGCACAUGAAUCGUACUGUUCAAUCACCCACUUCCCACACGCAACAGUAGCUCAUGGGUACCACAUAUAACUUUGCCAAAGUUCUCUGACAAAGUUGAGACUACUUUUCCAGCCUUGUCAGCACCUGUCACACGCACACUCAGCUUUGCGGAAAUUAUGGGCAUUCUGUCGAAGAUUUCUGGCGAAGUAGAAAGCACAUGAAUCGUACUGUUCAAUCACCCACUUCCCACACGCAACAGUAGCUCAUGGGUACCACAUAUAACUUUGCCAAAGUUCUCUGACAAAGUCGAGACACGUGAAGCUUGCAACUCUCACUACAUCGCUCUGACCAAGAAGGGUAAAAGAAUAGCAAAGAAACAACACUAACAAAGUUUAGACACAUAAAUUUUGAAGGCCUAGCUACCAUAUUAUUACCCACAAGGGUAAAGGAACAGUACCACUGCUGGAUAAUUGGAAAGUCCCGGUGUGUCAACCUCUGUGCUUCAUGGCAAGGUAGACUAGCAAACAUGCCCAACCUUUACUCACAUUCGAGAAAACACUCCCAACAAGAUUGCUUGCCCCAAAAUCGAAGAGGCAUCGCCCUCCGAAUGUCGAGAGCCAGACUCCCAACAUGAUUACUUUCUCAAAAAUCGAAGAGAGGGUAAAGGAACAGUACCACUGUUGGAUAAUUUGAAAGUCCCUGUGUGUCAACCUCUGUGCUUCGUGGCAAGGUAGACUAGCAAACAUGCCCAACCUUUACUCACAUUCGAGAAAAACACCCCCAACAAGAUUGCUUGCUCCAAAAUCGAAGAGGCACCGCCCUCCGAAUCUCGAGAGCCAGACUCCUAACAUGAUUACUUUCUCAAAAAAAUCGAAGAGAGGGUAAAGGAACAGUACCACUGCUGGAUAAUUGGAAAGUCCCUGUGUGUCAACCUUUGUGCUUCGUGGCAAGGUAGACUAGCAAACAUGCCCAACCUUUACUCAUAUUCGAGAAAACACUCCCAACAAGAUUGCUUGCUCCAAAAUCGAAGAGGCACCGCCCUCCGAAUCUCGAGAGCCAGACUCCCAACAUGAUUACUUUCUCAAAAAUCGAAGACACCGCUCUCCGAAUCUCGAGAGCCAGACCCCCAGCAUGAUUGCUUUCUCAAAAAUCGAAGAGGCAUCGUUCUCCGAAUCUCGAGAGGCAGAUCCCCAACAGGAUUGCUUGUUCGAAAACCGAAGAGGCACCACUUUCCCAACUUCAAGAGCCGGAUCUCCUUGGAUAAAGCUUGUCUGUAAUCUUCACACGCAACAUCAGCUUUCCAGAUACCACAGACCACUUUUUCAAAGUGCUCUGACAGAGUUAAAACUUGUGAAGCUGGCAGCUCCCACUACCGUGCUAUGACCAAGCAGGGUAAAGGAAUAGCAUUAUUACUUGAUGUUAGGGAGACUCCUAUAUAUGUCGACCUCCAUCCCCAACGGACAGGCAGACCUGCAAAAAUGCUCAACCCUUCCUCUUAUCUGAGAGGGCACUCCCAACGAAGCCUUUCGAAAUAUUCAGCUUUCUUUCCCCCCGAUAAUACCUCUGUAAACAAGCUAUACUAGAGCAAGAAUAUCUCAUAUCAUCAGGGUUAAAAGCAAGAGUAUCCCAUAUCAUGCUUUUUCCCUGUCUUUUCCUUUGGCCUUGUUCUUACCUGCAAGACAAGGAGAAAGAGAGCAAUCAGUCAGCACUUGUUAUCAAGCUUCCAGCCAGGAACUGACUGCCUGGAACCCCUUACCCUGGCAUUGCUCUCGAGUACUCAUCUUCAACAUCUUAUGCUUCCAGGGAAGAUACCGCAUCUGCCUGAGGAACAGAUAGGGCAAGUGAGAAGGAUACAAGGAAGCAUGUGGAGACAAGCGUAACAGCACACGUGCCGAUACAUCCACUACUCUGUCAAAAGAAAAAGUAUCCCAUAUCAGCAGGGUCGAACGUACUCUAGAUUUGAUGGACUUGUUUUGACCCUCAAAUUCUUCAGUCGGCCUUAUACUUUGGAGGAAACCAGAAAACCCUCCAGCCCAGUUCAAGAAUACGCCUGUGGAAAGUUACUUCUUCAAAAGCAAAAGUAUCCCAUAUCAUCUCUUCUCAUUUUUCUUCUCUUUAUCCUUCAUGCUGCUUGCAAGAUAGGGAGAAUGUGAACAAUCAGCCAGAGCUCUGAUUGCUUACCUUGUCUGUUACCUCUUUCAGCAGAUCCCCUAGCUCGGCGACUUGGGGGACUCCUACUACAUGGUUUGUAUCGUGCUUGACCAAGCCUGAAACUACAAGUAAGCUUCAAGUGACAUUGAUACAUUACCUUGUGCAUCUCCACCAGUUACAGAUACCACCCCUGGAUGGAGGAAGAGUACUUCCAGAGAAGAUUCCACAUCUACCUAUGAGACAGAUAAGGAAAGUCAAGACAAUACCACACUCCGGUACUUAGAAGUUUCGUGGUUACGAGAUCAUUCUCUCACAAUAUUUCCUAAUGUCAUUUGUACUAAAUCAUUCACUUGUACUCCCUAAAGGAGAGCUUGAACCUAUGUACUUGUGUAAACCCUUCACAAUUAAUGAGAACUCCUCUAUUCCGUGGACGUAGCCAAUCUGGGUGAACCACGUACAUCUUGUGUUUUCUUUCCUAUCUUUAUCCAUUUAUAUACUUAUCCACACUAAUGACCGGAGCAAUCUAGCGAAGAUCACAAAAAGUGACCGUUUUCGCUACCUAGGAUCUAUCUUGCAAGAGAACGGAGAAUUAGAUGGAGAUCUCAACCAUAGAAUACAAGCUGGAUGGAUGAAGUGUAAGAGUGUAUCCGGCGUGUUGUGUGAUCGUCGUAGGCCACUGAAGCUCAAGGGAAAAUUUUAUAGGACGGCAAUAAGGCCAACGAUGUUGUAUGGCACAAAAUGUUGGGCGGUGAAGCAUCAACACGUACACAAAAUGGGUGUAGCGGAGAUGAGGAUGCUUCGUGGGAUGUAUGGGCACACGAGAAAGGAUAAGAUUGGGAAUGAGGAUAUCCAAGGUAAAGUAGGAGUAGCCAAAAUUGAAGGAAAUAUGAGAGAAAAUCGGUUCCGGUGGUUUGGACAUGUGCAAAGAAGGCCUACUGACGCUCCGGUUCGAAAAUGUGACUACGGGACAGAAGUUCAGGGCCGAAGGGGUAGAGGAAGACCUAGGAAAACUUUGGAAGAGACCCUAAGAAAAGACUUGAUUACUUGGAUCUAACGGAGGACAUGACACAAAACCGAGCGCAAUGGCGUUCUAGGAUUCAUAUAGCCGACCCCACUUAGUGGGAAAAGGCUUUGUUGUUGUUGUUGUUGUUGUAGAUCGAACUAUCAUCACAACAUCGUGAUACUCUUGCUGCUGCCUUUGAUCUAGGGGUCCGCAGCGAUUGCACUUGAAUCAAGGCUCUGGUAGUGAACUUUCUCAUUCUUCCCGAAGUGCUUUAAUAUGUGUUGUUGAUAACUGCACUCUCUCAACGAACCAGAAAUAUUUUUAGACAAAUUGCAACUUCCGUAUUUUAGAAAAUGAGUGGCUUUUUAACAAUGCAUGAAUGCAGCUUACAUGUUCAGCAAAAUUCAUGGAUAUUUACAUUCAACCCGCAAGUAUCAUUAACUCAUAAAAUAUUAAGUUUAAUUCAUGGAUGUUUAUAUUGAACCCGCAAGAAUCAUUAACUCAUAAAAAAUUAUGUUUUGUAUUUUUUGUAUCGACUAUUGCUUCAAAUUUUUAUCUAAAACAUUGUCUAAAUGCUUAUUGGUUGUGUUUUUUGCCGCUUUGUUCAUUGAUGAUUGUGUUAAAUUUAUUCAGGUCCCGCCGCAACGCGCGGGCCUAUUUUCUAGUCUAUACUAAAGUAGGGGGAGAGCAGACACUAUUUACGUUUGUUUUGAUUUUGCUUUAUUUACAACAAUACCAGCCGAAUGGGAGUGGGUUGGGAGGGUAAUUCUCAAAAUUUCAGAGGGUAAUUUUGUCCAUAUGGCUUAUCAGGGAGCCACUCGAUUUCACGCAACAAAGCUGUCAGGUUUGGGCUGAUAUUGGGGCUGGGUUGGAAGGGCAAUUUUGUCCUGUUUGUUUGAGACGGAUUGGGGUGGGUUUACGUUUGCUGUCAUUCAGUGAGGGUUUCGGGGAUGGGAGGCCAUGCCUCCGAUAGAGAGGGAGAGAGAGAGACAGAGCGAGAGAGAGAGGGAGAGGGAUCCUGGCAUGGGUGAGUGGAAGGGAGACAGUGAGAGAAAGAGAGAGGGAGGGGUUGGAUGGUGAACAGAGCUGAGUAAGGUCCCCUCAGUUCAUGAAUCACUCUGGAUCGUCCUUUCCGUUUUGCAUGUCGGAUCAAUGGCUGGAUUUUGAAAGCUGAGUUCCAUUUUUUAUUCCAUUCUUUGUUGUUAGCAUAGAUGUGAACUGUUGGGGUUAGGUUUUGGGGGUUCCUUUGUUUCAUUUUCUCUCAUUUUGGGGAUGCAUCUCUCUGUUCUGUGCAUUGUCUUCUGUUUUAAGGUCAGUUUUCUUCUUCUUUUUUGUGGCUUUUUUUUGGGGGGGGGGGUUCAGUUUGUUGAUCUUUCACUUUGUAUUUAGAUUUUUCGUUCGUGAAUGAUUAAAUGGGUAUUGGGUUUUGGUGGUUGAAAAUAUGUUUUUUUUUUUCUGCUUAAGCUUCUUGCUCAUUUUCCUGGGAUUUUUGGUUUUCGGUUGCAAGGGUAAAGGGAACACUAAAAUCUCAGGUUAAAUGGGUAUUGGGUUUUGGUGGUUUAAAAUAUGAUUUUUUUUUGCUUAAGCUUCUUGCUCAUUUUUCUAGGAUUUUUGGUUUUCGGUUGCAAGGGUAAAGAGAAUGCUAAAAUCUUAGAAAUUGGUAUUGGCAAUUGUAUUAAUGCAUUUGCAUUUUCGUUGGUUUGCAUUAUAGGUGCAUUGAGACCUAAAAAUAUUUGCGUGAACUUCAUAAAUUUUUCUGAGGCUUUGAUCCUUGAAGGGUAUGUGUUUUUAAGCUAAGUUCAAUUUUUAAUUCGCUUCUCUACUGUUAGCAUAGAUUGUUAUCAUUUCUGCCCUUUUGUUAUGAAUUAUUUCUGGAUAUUAAAUAAACUGCAUAAAAUUUGGAUAUGAUGAGAAAACUAAUUAAACUGAAUGUUGGUAAUGAUUUCGUUUUUGAGAAGCUGUCGAAAAACAAAGUUUAGAUAGGAAAAACAUCAUCCUUACCAGUUAAGUCAUUGAUAGCAUUUUGAGCAUCCUGAAAAAGUAAAUGAGAGUAUGAUGAGAUUCAAUUUAGUUACAAAUUGACAAACUGUUAAAGGCAGAGGCUAGGCUUUAAACUAUUGUUCAGUGUUUAUCUGUACUGGUUUGUCUUACGGAAGUAUUAUUUCAAAUUUGUUGUGUGCUUGAGGAGGUCUAUCUUUUAUUCUAUCCUGAAAUUGGUCUGUCUUUGGAAUGGAAAGAUAAAAAUUUCGUAAAUGUUUUGAUAUUUUUGACAUGAUUUAUACUUGGGAUUUAUAUUUUUCAAAGUUUGUAAAAGUACUUGACCUGUGAUGAGUUCCUUUGUAUACGUUAUUAAAUAAGUUACAUAUUUUUCGUGAAUAAUUGUGUGUUUGAUCUGGUACUAGAACAAGAAUGCUGUUUGAAAUUUUGUUGGCGUACUAAGUGAAACUACCACUACUGAGGCUUUGGAGGAAUGGUGUCGAAACCCAUCAAAUUUUCCCAUACUGAUUGCUUCAUUUAUUUUUUUAAGCUUUAUUUGCCUCAUUGUUCACCUGUGAUGGUUUCAUCAAUAUUGGUAACAUAGGAUAAUUUCAUGUUUUUUUCUUUCGGUUUUACGACAUUUUUCCUCGCUUCAAAAUCUUAUAGGCUUCAUAAAUUUACUUACCUUUGUUGGGAUUCUGAUCUUUUUACUGAAAUUGUUUUGGUCCCUGCUACUCAACUCUGAUUUCUGCUAUUAAUUGCUGCUGAAAUGUGACUUUUGCUAUUAAUUUAUUUACCCUUCAUAUUUAUGCUGCUUUUUUAUUCCAUUCGAAUUAAAUAAUGUAGUUAAUCUUGAUAUGAAUUCUCUCUGCAACAAUAAUUAGCGAUUUUAGUUUAAAUUAUUAUUGAUUUGUUCUUGAUCUGCCAUUGAAUCUUUCUUAAUUUAGACUACAGGUGGUUCUGACGCGGAGGAGAAGCUGUAAGAGGUAAUGAUCCUGCUGCACUUAAGUGCAGUUGUUCUUCAACUCAUAUAAACUUUCUGGUAGGGUUCAAACUGUUAAGGGUUUUAUUAUUUUGCAAAAGCUUUUUAGCAGCAGAAGUUUGGUCUUUUUGUGGUUGCAUUAUUACACUAUACAACUUGAGUUAGAAGGGGUUUCUUGCUAACUGAUGUGACUUAAGAAUUCUAAAAGCAGUUGCAUUUUACAAUAUACAACUUUAGUUUGUCUCAGUUUCUCAAUGAGUGCCAUAUGAAUUCUUAAUUUAAUUUCGGAAGGUGAUGCGUUUAAAGUUUGUGUUAUGUGAUGAAGUUAGCAUUUUGUAUUUUUUUUUUAUUAUACACUGGUGGUGAACAUUUUUAGCAUAUUGGUUGAGAAAGAUUUAUCAUUUUCUCAUUUUUGUAUUUCUAUAAAUUUUGAGAGUCUUCGUUCUUCAAAAAUCAGAAAGGUUACAAUGUAGUAAGGGUGUAAGAGUUGCCCUGGAUCAAGCAAAAGGAGUAAUACAUUCAGCAUUUACGCACUGAAGUAGGCCAAAAGUGAAAACCGACGAGUAAAGAUUAUGGUAAUUCACUAAUUUAAACAUAAACCAGCUUUGAGAGUGAUACUCACCCAUUGUCGGUUUUCCUUGCGAGCAUAUUUUCUACCCAAAGUUUCCCAAACUGUUCUCAAACUGCUGUAUCGGCAUAUCUUUCCAACUUCUAAUAGUCUCUGGUGCUAGAACAUCUUCUAACUUCAUUCUAAAAAAAAUAGAUUGAUACGUAAUGACAUUUGAAACCAGGUAAGUAAACAGUUUAAUGAGGACGAAAUUCAGAAGUAGACCCAAAUUGUCAGAUAUUCCUUGGGAGUAAGCAUUGUUCGUUUUUAAUCACAAAUGGUAGCUAAAAUUAUCUUAUUUAUUACCACCAUUGAUUUGAAUUUGUAAUACACAAUGUUUAAAUCAUUUGAUCGUUAGUUAGUUAAAUUUAAUACUGGUAGUUUGGUUGUGAUCGAAUUUAUCCAAUCUCAAAAAGUGUGACAUGUGAGGUGAUAACAGACUAACAGAGGAGAAUGAGUUGACACUUCUGUGUUUGAUUUACAAAUUUUGGCUAAUUCUUGCCUUUUUUUUUGUUUCCUGGUGAUAUAUAUCUGUCUUCAUAACCAAGUAGCGAUAACUUUGAGUUUCUAGAAGUUUUAAUGCAUGGUUUAUUGAAUUGAUUUUGAUGUGUGGCUUAUUCAAUUUGAAUUUGGAUAUGUGCUAAUUUGAAGAACUUGACAAAAUCUGAGGAACCUUAUUCACUAUUUGGCCAUUAGAUAAAACAUCAAUAUAAUUUCCCUUGCUUUCACUGAUUCUCUGUGAUUAAAGUCUAGAAAAAUACAGUGAAAAAGAUGAAACUUUUUUAUGGGAUUGACAAUUUUCGGUUUAGUUUUGGAUAAAAAAGAAUCGGUGUGUUACUUAUUAAGUUGAGUUAACAAAUUUGCAACAUGCAACAGAGCACAUAGGAGAACUUUUCAAACGAGUUAAGAAGAUCUAGCUGAAAAGAACUUACAAGAUAGAGAACUGAUAUGCUGCUUUGUCUUUGUGUUGGAUUUUGAUGUUUAUGUUUUGCUUCUAAGUAGACUUUAUACUGUUUUAGAUCAGUUUUGUAAAUGUGCUUAAAGAUUGGACAUGUUAUUGAAUAUUAGCCAUGUAGUUUGAAUUGGAUAUGUGAUUGAAUAUUAGGUAUUUAGUUUGAAUUGAUUUGAAUAUGUGGUUUAUUGAAUUGGAAUUUGGAUGUGUGCUAAUUUGAAUUGGAUAUGUUUGAGUUAGAGAUGUGCUACUUUGAAUUGGAGUGUGCUAUAUUAAUAUAUAAUGAACUAAUGGAUACAGAACACACACACACACAUUCACCAGUCACCACAUACUUUGGGUUAUACCUGUAUGGGUGAAUCGCUCUAAUACUGUGUAUUGGCAUGGUUAAUUCUUUUAGGUGCAGGUUACCCUAUAGAUGUUACAAUUUAGGUCUCGAAUAAUCUUUCUCACCUCCCUUCUAAUACCAUCAAGUCAAGUGGACCUUUCCUAAACAAACCUACCAAUCUCUAAAAUCUUCCAAAUUUCCAUACCUCUUCUAUAGGUUUUCAGUGGAUCAAGACUUUUUGUUGACAUCUUAGUGUUUAUGUUCAACACAUAACUCAACAACGAGUUACAAGGAAAUGAGAUAUUUAUGCAAAUCAUUUGGAGUUUGAUCUAUUUGUAUUAAUGUACGAAUGGAGAAUUAUUUUAAUUGGUUUUUUUUAUGUUUAACAUCUUUUGUUAUUCAUAUUUUUACCUCUUUUCCAAUUUUGGGGAGCAUUUUUUGCUUUUUAGUUGGCUUUAAAACGAAAUUUUUUAAGCUGCCAAACUGCAUUUGGUUUUGUUUGAAGCUACUAAACCGCAUUUGGUUCUGUUUGAUUGUUGUCUAUUUAGAGUUUUUCCUGUUUUGGUUGGUGGGGUUGAAUUUAUUUGGGUUUAUAUUUGAUUUAGUUGGUUAAUUUUUUUUAUUAGUUGCAGAUGAUAUAUUACUGUGGAACUUUCAAUCUUUGUGGUCAUUUCAGUGGUAGUUUUGCAUAUCUUGAUAUGUAAUGAUAAAAAAAUUAAUGACAUUGGUCAUAAAACAAUUUUUUGGUUUGGUUUAGAAGAAUGCGGUUGGUUCAGUGAGAUUUUUAUUCAUUAACUGCAUAACCAAAUUUAUGAAUUGUAUAUGUUGUCUUGAUAUCUAUGAAUGUGUAAUGGAGAUGUAAACAGAUAGUAUGAAUGAGAGGGUUGAAAUGGAAUCAACCCUGUGGUUGGGGACUGAACGAAUGUAAAAUGUUAGAUCUAGUAUAAAUUGGAUAGUUGAGCAUCCCAGUGUGGUUCUCUGUUUUUCCAAGAGAAUAUGUAUUGGGUAGGUUGGUCAGCUUCGAUUUCAGCAAUAGGAGAAAUUUAAACUGUGAUAUAUAAAGUUGGUUAUUUGCUUCUCACGCCAUUAAGCCACAAAAGUUAUUCCUGCACUUAGUUCUUUAUUAUAAGAUUGAACAAAUUUAAUUUGCUUUUACAUCCGAUUGUAUUGAAGUAAUUGUAGGUUCCAUGACAUUACUGUUCCAUUAUGGCCUUGGUACAGAGCCCUUGCAAUUUACUCAACAUUUCACGUAGGCCUUGAACUUGUGUACUCUUCACUGAACCAAAUUAGUUGUGUUAGAUUCAAAAUAUUCCUAAAUUUUUUUUGUUUUGUUUUGUUUUGUUUUUUUGGUUUUUUGGUGUGUCUUUGCUCAUUUAGCUAAAUUUCAUUAGAUUUCGUCUUUGAAUUUGAAAGUCUUAGGGUUGCUAAUGGAUUUACUUUUUGCAAAUUUCAGAAAUUUCGAUCGUUGGAGGAAGAAGUUGGUUCCUUGAUGUUUUGAGGUAUAUAAUUAUGUGCCAUCAUUUUUUUUUCAAAGCCUAAUUAGUUAUCUACCUUUUUUUAUUUAUAUUCGUGAAUCUUUCAUGCUUGGAUUUUAAAUAUAUGUGUAAACACGGAAAAUUCCUGAAACGAAAGAGACAAGAACAACGUGCACAAACAAAUAUUUGUAUUUGAUGAUGUUUUUGGGUUACAAUCUCUCUCUAAUUUGAUCAUCUGAUUCGAUCUCCGUAAGACGUUGAUUUGUGGAUGUUUCGUUGAUCCAAGGGCCGUCGGGGCUUGAUCUUGGAUGAACUGUUGGAAGUUUCUUUAAAGGGCCGUGGGCUUGAUCUUUGAAGGUGGAUUUGAGCGGAUCUUCAAGGAGCCGUUUGAGGCUUGAUCUUGAAUAACGGUGAUGAGCGGAUCUUCAAGGGCUUUUGGGCUUGAUCUUGAAGAAACAGUGAUGAACAGAUCUUCAAGGGCUUUUAGGCUUAAUCUUGAAGAACGGUUGGAUGUGUGUGUGGAUUUGUCGACGUUGUUGAUCCAAAGGGCCGUUGGGGCUUGAUCUUAGGAUGAGUAGUUGUGUGGAUUUGUUGAUGUUGUUGAUCCAAAGGGCCGUUGGGGCUUGAUCUUAAGAUGAACGGAUGAUGAACGAUGAAACUUUCUUCAAGGGCCGUCGGGGCUUGAUCUUGAAUUGGUGGAUGAUUGUUGAUCCAAAGGGCCGUUGGGCUUGAUCUUGGAAGAACGAUGAACGAAGAACGAAGAACACUUUCUUGAUUCUUCGGGAACCUGGAUGCUUGAGAGCUUCGGAGUUUCAGAGCUUCAGAGCUUCAAGGUGUCAUAUGAAUUCCUUCCUCCCCUUUGGAAUGAAAUAGCCUUCUAUUUAUAGAAAUUUCCAAGGCCUAAUUUUGAAUAUAAUAUUCCAGAUGAAAUAAGUCGUUUCUGCCAGGUGUUGACACGUGUCCUAUUUGAUGACUUUUCCAACUCAUUUCAAUUUUCGUUGAGUCACACGCUACGUGUAAAAUUUUUGUAAUACAUGAACGUUGACACUUUGAUUUAUCGGUCAACAUUUAUUUACCGAAAUUUCGAUGUCUACAAAUGCCCCCACUUCAAGGCACGUCGUAUACAUGUGCUUGUCAAGUGUAGGAGAUGCGUUUUGAAGUCCCUUACUGUAGAUGUCAAUCCAAGGGCCGUCGAGGCUUGAUCUUGAAUUGGGCUGGAGAUUUCUUCAAGGGCCAUUGAGGCUUGAUCUUAAAUUGGGCUUGAGAUUUCUUCAAGGGCCUUUGAGGCUUGUUCUUGAAUUUUUGUUUGAAAUUUCUUCAAGGGCCGUCGAGACUUGAUCUUGAAGGUUGAAAUUGGACCACAAGGAGCUUCAUGUUGUAGAUGAUCUUUGGCUUUAGUAGUGGGUGAAUCGGCACAUAUUUUGUUGCGCUUGUUGACUUUCCACAGCUUUGAUCUUGAACUGGGUUGGAGGAUUUUCUGGAUUCCUCCAAUUGUUGAUUUUCCACAGCUUAUUCUUGAACUAGGUUUUGAUUCAAGGGUGGUAGACACUUAAUCUUGAAUCGGACUUGUGAUUUCCUCAAGGGCCGUCGAGGCUUGAUCUUGAAUUUGGCUGGAAACUUCUUCAAGGGUCGUUGAGGCUUGAUUCUUGAAGGUUGACUCGAACACAUGGCAAGCGGGCACGAGGUGAAGGUGACGACUUGUUGCUUUGUUCAAUCUUUCUAAUUCACACCUGAGCAGUUUGGUCAACGGUAUGAUCUUCAAGAUUGACGGGCUAUUCUUCCAGAUGGUGACUUGAUCUUUAAGGAUUUGAUUCAAGGGUGGUGAAUCGGCACGUGCAGCCCACAACGCCUAGUAAGUCGACCUAAGAAUUUGAGGGUCAAAACGAGUUCACCGUCCAGAGUGAUUGCACCCUGAUGAUAUGAGAUACUUUUGAUUUUAACAAGUAGCGGAUGAAUUAGCACGUGCUUGGUUGCACUUGUCUCCACAUGCUUCAAGGUAUCAUUUUCAUUUCCUUUAUCUGUUCCUCAGGCAGAUGCGGCAUCUUUUCGAGUUCUUCAUCUCAGACUCUUUAUGCUGAGUUGACUGUGUAUGCUGCAUUCUUCUCUGCUUGUUUCUUCAGGCAGAUAUGGCAGUUUCUCGAGUUCCUCAGUUCGGACUCCUUCUUCUGAGUUGACUGUGCAGACCGCAUUCUUCUCUGCUUGUUCCUUCUGCACCUUGUCUCCACAUGCUGCAAGGUAUCAUUUUUACUUGCCUUAUCUGUUCUCCAGGCAGAUGUGGCAGCUUCUUUGGAGGUACAGCAGCAGUGGGAAAUGAGUACUCGAGAGCAGUGCUAGGUAGGCAAUCAGGGAAGGGUUCCAAGCAGUCGGUUCCUUACCCGAGUUUGAGUGGAAGUUCCGGCAUAUUGUUUUCUUUAUCCUUGUCUUUGUAGGUAGGAACAAGGACAAAGGAAAGGACAGGGAGAACACAUGAUAUGAGAUACUAUUGCUUUCUACCCUGGUGAUAUGAGAUACUUUUGCUUUGGAGUCAUUGGCUUGCAGAGUUACCCCAAGGAAUAAAGAACACUGAAUGACUCGAGAGGUUUCGUUGGGAAAGCAUUAUUUUUUUUUUUUGGAGAUGAAGAAAGGUUCUGUAUGUAUGCCUUGCUAUGGAGGGUGAAGGUGGACAGUUAUAAGAAGUUCCUUAAUACCUGUAGAGGUACUCUUCUUUCACUCGUGUCAGUAACCAAUGCGUGAUUGAUCAGUAUGGCUUUAUGUGCUUUCUUCUUUAUCAGAAAUCUUCGACGAAUUGUCCGUAAUUUCCGCCAAGCUGAGUGUGCAUGUGACAUGUGUUGACGCGGCUGAAAAAACUGGCGCCUCUUCGAUAACUGGGAUCGGCGCUUCGACAAAUUACCCGUGAUUUCCGCAAAGCUGAGUUUGCGUGUGAUGGGUGCUGACGUGUCUGGAAAAGACUGGCGUCUCUUCGAUAUCUGGGAUCGGCGCUUCGACAAAUUACCCGUGAUUUCCGCAAAGCUGAGUUUGCGUGUGAUGAGUGUUGACGCGUCUGGAAAAAGCAAGAUGCCUCUUCGAUUUCUGAGCUUGCCUCUUCGAUUUUUGAAUUGGCCUCUUCGAAUUCUGAGCUCGCCUCUUCGAUCUUUGAAAUCCUGUUAAGUGCUGAUUUUUAUAGAGGCACGCAGUUCGUUUCAAAGCACACUUGAAUUUUCUCUUGUAGAAACUCCAUUCUUGCACUUCUAAGAUCUUGACUUGUCUGACCUCUUCUUUCUUCAACACCUUUGAAAAUGUCUGGACCCUCCGACCGUUGUUUUGAUUUGAACCUUGGUGAAGAGGCAGUCCCGCCUUCUCCUGACAACAUAUGACGCCCAUCCUUCAUAUCCCCUACUAGUCUUCUUACCGUUGGGGAUUCGGUGAUGAAGAAUGAUAUGACCGCUGCGGUGGUGGCCCGGAACCUUGUCACUCCUAAAGAUAACAGACUACUUUCCAGGCGGUCUGAUGAGUUGGCUGUUAAAGAGUCUCUGGCUCUUAGUGUGCAGUGUGCGGGUUCUGUGUCCAACAUGGCCCAACGCCUAUUUGCUCGAACCCGUCAAAUUGAAUCAUUGGCGGCUGAAGUGAUGAGUCUCAAACAGGAGAUUAGAGGGCUUAAGCAUGAGAAUAAACAGUUGCACAAGCUCGCACACAACUAUGCCACAAACAUGAAGAGGAAAAUUGACCAGAUGCAGGAAUCUGAUGGUCAGAUUUUACUUGAUCAUCGGAGGUUUGUGGGUUUGUUCCAACAACAUUUGCCUUCGUCUUCUGGGGCUGUACCGCGUAGUGAAGCUCCGAAUGAUCAACCUCCGAUACCUCUUCUUCUUGGAGUUCCACCAAGUGGUGUGACUUCAAACAGUCAACCUUCUAUUUGCUUGGAUGGUCGUGUUACUUGAUGGAACUGCGGCUGUGCUCUUCAGCUGCUUGAUUCUCUCUCUAAAAUUACCCACUCAUCGUUGAAGCUUCAAUUUCCAUUAAAAAUUUUCACUGUUGAGGUAAACUCUCUGCUAAAAGCUUCUAAUUCAUCCUUUAUUUCUUAUUUCAUCUGGGCAAAUUUGUUGAUUAGGGUUAGGUUGGGGUCUGUUUGGUUGCUGGAAAAUUUGGGAAAGAAAAUGGAGUCUUGGGAUUAGGAUUUAGGACCUUCAUAACUUGAUUGAUUAUGAAUUUGUUUGUUUAUCUCUUAAUUAGUAUUCAAAUUUAGUGCAUAUAAGUCCCUUUCUUAAGAGGGAUCUAUUUUGAUAAGAAACAAGACCUUACAACUGUUGCAUUUUUCGUUUUCUUGAUUGUAAAGUCUCUGUACCAUGUCACGUAUAUUAAUAGGAUGCUUAGGUAAUUGCAGGAGAAGUUAUGCAUGCAUUCUUUUGGCAAUCCUUUCCCAGAACCUGUAUUGAUCCUGAUAUGAGUCUAACUCUGCCUUGGUCAUUGCUCAACAUGGAAACGUAAUGAAAUAUCUUCUUUAUAAGCGUUUCUAGGCUCUAGCCUCUCUUUUUGAGCAAACUUAUCUAAUGUAUAACAAAGCAUGUUCUACUAGAGCUCAAAUCAAACAAAGAGAGGGAAAAUCAAAAUACACCAGAAAUAAAAAAAAAUAAAAAAUAAAAACUUAAUUUAUUAAGAUGUAUGGAGGAAAGAUUUUAGUCAUUUAAAUUUGGGUUAAAUUAAUGAUGUUAUGUAGUGAUUCUAAUUUGAUGCUUGCUUGCCCUGCAAUCAACUCAGUGCUUAAGGAUUAUGUAUGUUUCCCACUUCCCAGGUCUAAUUUGAUCGCAUGCAUGUAACAACAGUUAAAUUGGGGGACUGGACAAUUAACUAAUCAUGAUCAUGUAUGAAUAUGGUCUCUGCAAGCUCAUUACUGUUAUGGGAAACCACCUAAAUAAUCAAUUCCUUGCUUUCUACGUACAAUGUUAUCAAAUUCUAAUUUCAAAUUUUCUGAUUUUGGGGUGGAGGGAGUGCUAAUAUAGUAAUUUUCAGGUAUUUUGGUUCUUUGCGGGAUUUUUUUUGGGUAACUUUGUGAUUUGUAGUUGAUUUUAGGAAUUGUUUAUGGGUUUGGUUUGAAUGCACUGACAGAAGUUAUUGUUUCUGUUAAUGCAUAUGAAAUAGGGUUUCUGCUUUCUAGGAUGUUUCUGGUCUUUAGAAAUUGCUUGAUUUGGUAUUGUCAAAUGGUAUAUGAAUUUCCACGUUCACUUUGACAGUAUGUCGUAGUAGUUUAAUUGGUGCGAUAGAAGUUGAGGUGUUGACAUGCAAUGAGACACAUGUAGUUUUCCUUGAUUUCGCAGGAUAAAGUUUUAGUUUGAUUUAGGCUAUAAAUGAUAACCAAAUUAAGUUGAAUGAGUUGUCACAAUUAGAGACGGCUGAUGGCAUUUUGAACUGCUCAGAUACAACUGAAGUGGAGAAGGAUAGCUCAGUGGCUUCCUAAGGUGCAAUGCUACUUCAGAAUGCUUUAGUUCAGAAGCCGGCAGAAUCGAAUGACAAUCUUGGACCAAGAAAGAAAUCAUUAUGUGAUAUUGGGAACCUACUGGUAUGCUUCAUUAUCCUUUUUGAACCCUGCUUUAUUUUUCUUAAAGAACUAAAAUAUUUUUUAGUGAGGACUAUGUUCUCCACUCUAAUAAUUUUCUUACCCUUAUAUGGGACUGUUUGCAUUUCAGAACUGUGUUUUUAAGGUACUUAUGACUUCUAAUUGCCAUUUUGCAUUCAAAAUAUACUCUAUUGCUUGCUGGGGUUUAUCCCUUGGAGCAUUUCAUUACGUUUCUCCUUACUGUCUAACUGAAAAUUUUUAAACCCUAUAUAGUUGAAUGCAGACACUGCAAAACCUGGCUCUAAGAACUGUAGAUGCUGAAGACAAAAAAGAACCAGAGGAUGCUUUGCAAGCAGAAGGUUAAGAUAAAUUUUUCGUUAUGAAAGAGAACAUUGUUCUUCAUUUGCAUACGGUUUUUACUACAAAUUUAAUUUAUAUGCUUGAAACUUACGCUGUCAUAUCAUAGUUCAAAACGAAUAUAUUUGUGUUAUUGGAUAAGCAUUGGCCAAUUGGAAGGCUAUUGACUUUUCUUAUAAAGAAAUCAGUCAUCUUCUCAUUUUCGAUGUUGAAGAGUUGGUUGCGUUUUAAUAUUUAUAGGCCAGGACGAAAGAAAAAAGAUUAGGCUAAUAGUUUAUGAGCCCCUAAAAUUUGUAGUGACCUAUUGGAAAUUAUAUAAUAUUUUAGAUGUCUAAAGGUUAACGUGCCAAGUCAUUAUGCUGGUACUAUUCCGUUUUAGUAUUUGUUGGAUUAGAAUGUACUCAUUGUUUUAAGUGAGUAAUAAUUUUGACUCCUAAUAAAUAUUUAGAUUGAUAAAUCAAAGGGUAGGGAGGGAUAGUCGGUGAAGCUCUUGGUUUGGGUGCUUUAACAUGCUGUUGUGUAUUUUACUGUUUUAUUAGAUUUGGUGCUUCAUAUGCAAAUAAUGUAUUUCUGAAUCGGAUUUCCUAUUUUUAAGAGAAUGGUACUCUCUCUGCUUCCUCCUUGCAUAUUGAUAAUUAUAUAUUUGUGUGUGUAUGUGUAACUAUGUAUACAUCAUUUUUUUGUUGUUGUACAUGUUAUACAAAUGCAAAUAUGAUGUUAUAUCCACCCGCCGCCCCCCGCGGAGGUGCUGAAACUCACAUAUCCUAUAGGAUGCAUAUGUUAUUUUGUUUUAUUGAACUGGACUAACAAAAUUUGGAGUUUCUACUUAUUUGAUUUGGAUAUGGAGUAAAUUUGCUCCUCUGUUAAUGAGUUCAUGUUCCCUUUCUUAUUUCAGGUAUUGAGUAUAUCCCUUUCUGCCUUGGGAUCUUUGAAGUGGCUUCAUAAUAAUAAGCCUAAGACGCAGGUUCUUAUAAUAUACAUGUGUAGGAAUUGUUCAAACCAUCCAUCUAUCAUAAGGUCAGCUCCUUAGCUUCCAUUUGUUCUACUGCUACUUGAAAAAUUAUGCGCUUUUAACAUUGGUCCAUUGCUAUGACUAUGACAUUGAUUCUCUUUUGACUGGUUACCAUAUCGUGUUGUAAUCAAUUGACAGUCUCUGUGAUUAAGUUGCAACUUGAAUGUUUUCUUGCCUACUUCUAACUUUGGGUGUUUUAUUCUGCAACACUGUUAUUCGGAUGACUAUGAUCAUGUAAGCAUCAAUAUUCACACUCUUUGUCUCUGUAUGGCAUAGAAUGUUGGACGGUGAAGCAUCAACACGUAGGUGUGGUGGAGAUGAGGAUGCUUCAUCGGAUGUGUGGGUACACGAGAAAGGAUAAGAUUAGGAAUGAGGAUAUCCGAGGUAAAGUAGGAGUAGCUGAAAUUGAAGGAAAGAGGAGAGAAAAUCGGUUACGGUGGUUUGGACAUGUGCAAAGAAGGUCUACUGACGCUCCGGUUCGAAGUGACCACGGGACAGAGGUUCAGGGCCGAAGGGGUAGAGGAAGACCUAGGAAAACUUUGGAAGAGACCCUAAGAAAAGACUUAGAGUACUUGGAUCUAACGGAGGACAUGACACAAAACCGAGCGCAAUGGCGUUCUAGGAUUCAUAUAGCCGACCCCACUUAAUAGGAAAAGGCUUUGUUGUUGUUGUUGUAUUAGGAGCUUCAGCUGGUAGGCUCACUGCAGGUGAUGCUUGGGAGUGACGCUGUAAUCCAGUAAUUACAUUUUGUAGGAUUUAUUAUCAACUGAUAGGUAGAUGAUAUAGAAUUUAUUAAGGUAUUUUAGUUCUAUACACACAAGAGACAAAAAACAAAAAAACAAAAAAAAAAAUGAUUGUGAAAGUAACUUUCUUUUUCAUUAUUGAAAGUGCAUUACAACUAUCAGAGUUAUAUUUUAUUCAAUUAUUCUUAUAGUUUUAGGUGGUGAUUAAGUUUAUGGUACGUAAUAUUCUUAUUAGUUUUUUGUUGUUAUAUUUUAUUCAAAUAAUAUCUUUAGUCGUAUUUUAUUCAAACAUUACCAGAACAUUUUCGAUUGCAGACUCGGAUUUCUAAGAGCCCACUUUCCCAAACGGAGCUUAAGUUCAACCACAGUGCUAUUUCUUUUCCUGUUCUAUAUCAAGUAGUUUUUAUUUAUGAACAAACAAUAUUUUUUACACUAAAGAAGAGAGGGUGAACUUAGCCUCAUAAUGGGCUAGCAAUAAUGAUGUCCAAAUUUGCCUUUGGCGAUAAUCGAAUUUAAGAUAUCUCUUUUUCACAAUUAUUAUUUACUAAAAUGGUGAGGAAAUCCUUCCAUUAUACUGUCUAUAUUCAGUUAUAAUACUUUCAUUUGCAUACAAUUGAUUCCAACCCAAAUAGGAUAUUAGUUGACUUAGAAACGAUUCUAAUGAUUCUCCUGUUUUAUCUAAUUAUUGUCCUAUGAAUUGUAUUCUUCUGUUAAAUAAUGAUUAAUUAGAAUGUUUAGAAAAAAAAAAACUCAGGCAUUGCAAUGUUUGAAAUGAUAAUAUAAAUCCAAUUUGGCCAUUUGCUAGUCAGAGAACCUAAUUUGGGAAGUAAGUUUUAAAGUUUCAAUAGUUUCGUUGUGUGUAAUUUUUUGUGCUUUGCCUACCGGGAAUCUAAUAACCAAAGGUUUGCUUAUGUUUCUCAAAUGGUUUUUAACUAUAUGUUUUGUUUUUUUACUAUUUUCAGAUGAUAUAAAUGAUCAGUUCUAUAAUGUUGUUAAGAAUAAAGGAUCUAAUAUAUUUGAUUUGUUGUCUACAAAAAACCAAGUAACUUGAUAGCACAAAGUUACUAAGUCAGUUACCUGCUUUGCGAUGGCUUCUUUCUCCCUUCUUGAUUGCCAGGUGCGGAUCCAUGCAUUGUACUUACAUUUUUGCAAUUUAAUUAUCCUCUUUGAAAUUUCUGUCAAGAUAUUCAUUUUCCUGCAUUUUAAAGUUGAAAAGUGUAGUUUUUAGAGUGAACAUAAUGGAACAAUCGAAUCAACUUUCCUUUUCCAAAGACCAGCCCCAACUUUGUUGAUCAAUUUCGUUCUCAAUUUUAAUUAGUUAUCUACUUGAAUCCAUUUUUCUAAUCUUAAUUAGUUCAUGCAAUUAGCGAUCUUUCAUGUUUAAAUAUGCUAAAUACUUUAGAUUUGAAAUUUUGUGUGUUGAAUAUCAAGAUAGAACAUUUCUCUAAAACACCAUCUAUCCAUUUAUGCAUCUGUUUCCAACUUUCUAUUAUUCGUUUUAUUGUUCCUCCUUUUUUCUAAUAUGUAGUUGUUUUCAUUUAUCUGUUAUAAAUUGGAAAAAUUGAAGUUAAUGUGAACAAAUGACAAUUGGAUUUGUUAAAAGGAUAGAUUGCAUUGAAAUGUGGCUGUAAUGAUCAUCGAAUUCCCUCAUUUGGGUAAUAUUGAAUCGUAUCGAGUUCUGCAUGUGUUGGGCUUUCUGGCUAUCCUCUGUUUGGAUGCUCAGAAAGUUUGGUGGGAAUUGGAAAUUCAGUUUGGAAAUGAGAAUUUGGAGUUGUUUUCUAUGUCGGUUAUGGGAUUGACAAUUUUCGGCUUAGUUUUGGUUAAGAAAGAAUUAGACUGUUACUUAUUGAGUUAGGAGGAUUGCGGUGUUGAAAAUUAAGAAGGGUUAGUGCUAUUGUAAUUGCACUUGCAUUUGUUUUGAACCUAAUCAAUAUUUAGCCUUUUUCUGUACUGAGAUCCGAUGACUUGAGAGAAAAGGAUCCAUUUAUUAAAAUUAACAACGCAAUGGUGGUGGGAAUAAGCGUUCUCAGGUAACUAUGGAUGUGAUAUGAAUUAGGUGGAUGAUGUUGAAGCAUCAGUCAAUAAAAAACAAAUAGGAUCUUAGAUAUUUCACAUUAAUCCAUACAUUAGUGCUUGAAAGAUUAGCUGGUGAAACAAGACCAACAUUUUUUUUGCUUUUUUGUUUAGCUGUUAAAACACGUGAUUGGCCUGCAUGACAUAUAUUUUACCAUCUUAACUUGAAGGGCAAUAUAAGUGUUAAAUGCAUGUUGCUUCUGUAUCUUAGGAAACAGAGCAUUUUUUUGCAACUGUAUCUUUUGUAAUCAGCUCGGUUGAAUAUAUAUAAAAGCCAAAUUGCUCAUCUUACCGACACUUUUCACUCAUCUAUCCCUUUUGUUCGUUCAUGAUUAUGUUGAAUUUUUUUUCAGAUUAAAUGUCUUAUUCGUGUGGUUAAGGCUGGUGCAUUCAAGUCCUGCAGCAACGCGCGAGCAUUUUUGCUAGUAAAAACUAAAAUAGUUGCUCUACAAGUUUUCAGUUUUCAAAAAAGCAAAAACAAAACCUGGAAGGCUGAAAACGAAAUGGAAUAACUUGAGAAUUAAUUUACUGCAGCCGAAUGUAGUACUUAUUGCAUCACUUUGUGUAAACUAGCAUAUUUUUUUUCAGAUUGUAUACUUAGUAGCAGUAGGAUUCUGCAAUUGGCCUACACAUCAAUCAAACUUUAGUCACCAUGUACUUUGACCUGGUCCUGGGAACUUAUAUGUACAAGGAUGCUUUAUCGUGACCAGUAAUGUAGGGUCAUCUCCAACCGAUGGCUGGCCAGAUAGCUCGUUUGACACACCCCGUCCCGAAGGAGGGCAUGCUGGCCGUCACGUGAGAGUGACGUAACCAUUUGCACAGUACGGAAGCUUUAAGAUACAAUUUAUAAGUUGAUACACCCGAAGGUGAGUCCUAAUUUUGUCCAAUCUGUCAGAACACCGUCGAAUUCCUCGUAGUCACCACACCUUUGUGAUUCCUGAACCUGGAGGGGCGCAAAACCAAAAUUGAGUGGGUCAGUAAAACAAUUCUUUUCCAAAUCCAAACAUUUCUCAAAACGUUGUAACCCCUCUCCGUAAAACCUGUAUACUUUCCCAGAAAUGUAAAAUAUAAAUAUACAUAUAUAUUCUCAAUACUUUAAUUCAUUAACUCAACAUUUUUUCUUUAUCAAUCAUGCCAUGCCAUGUCUAAUUCAACAGUUAAGUAUGGAUGCAUCAACAAUAAUCAUAUCAGGUGCAAGAAAGUAAUCAACCGGAGGCCCUCUAAUAGCCCUGUACGGUUGAACCUAGAGCUCAAAAUCUAUCACUAUCACUCUACCGGAGUCACCUCUGUGACCCGUCCGGCCUUCUGCACACAAGUUACGCUCUAGUGCUUUCUCAUCAAUCAUCUGUGCACAUAAUCUAAGGUCACCCACCAGUCGAAAUCUCACUAACACUCUUCGACUGGCCCGUCGCACCCACUCCGCGUGGACUGUACGACCAGCAUCUACUUGGAUCCAAGGCGAGCGUGCGAUGCGGUGAAUACUAUAAGCACUAAACCAUGGUGCAGGAUUUGAGCUCAAUAUAUAUCAACAUCAUCAUAACAGUAAUUAAAUACUCACCUGAUACUCACCUGUGCGUCCGCCGCACCAUUCAUUCAUAUGCAUCAUAUCUCAAUUCAUACUUUUCAUAUCAUUUCAUGCAUGGCAAUUCGAUUCACAUUUCUAUAUACUUUUCAUAUACUUUCAUGCAUGACAUUUCAACUAAUAUAUCUCAUAUACUUUUAUACAUUUUCAUUAAAAGCAUAAUUUCAUGCAUUUUCAAUUUCUAGGAAACGGCAAGUAUAUAUGUAUACGGAAAACAAAACUGCCCACUCACCUGGAGUUCGUCCAACAACUCCCUAGCACCACACAUCAAGGCGUCACGACGAUCGCCGCCUAGAAUAGUAAUCAAAUCCAACCUCAGAAUUCAUAUCGAUAGAAUAUAACUUAUAUAAAAUACGUCACUACGUAGAUCGAUCCGGAAGAUCUGCCACUCAGAUUUUAAAUCCAUAACUUCCAGAGGUCCACAAUAUAUCUCUAGGAUAACAUCCUAAAAUUUCAUUACCAUCCAACGGUCGGAUCUCCGUCAAUUUCCAAAACUAAGUGACGGUUAACAUUCUAUAUUAUGGACUUACAACUCCAAUUUCGGAAGAUCCGCAAAUCGGAUUCCCAAUCUGUAAGUUCCUAUAAUCCUCAAAUAUUACGUAUUACAACGUAUCAAAGUUUGGUGAUGAUCCAACGGUCGGAUCAUCAAUUCAUAUUUUCACUUAAAUGCAAAAACUAUAAAACGUUAUUUGAACACCUAACCAACAAUCCUUAAUAACUUUCUCAUACGGUGCUCAAAUUGGGUAUACGAAUAUACCACAGUGAUCUACUCGACGUCACGGACGUCGACAUAUUUUUCAAAUAAUUUUUUACUGUAGCACGCGCCCCCACGCGCCAAGGAAGGCACGGACCUACGCGCCCCCACGCGCACCUUCUUCUUCCUUGGGUCGCCGGACUGGUUUUUCCGGCGGCCGUUUUUCAAAUUGCCAUAACUUUGUCAUUUCUCAACGAAAUCAAGUGAUUCCAAAACGAAAGUUGUAGCCCUUGAAGAUACAAAGAGAAUGGUACCUUGCACAACACCUAGUUCGCCGUGGUUUGGCCGGAAACUGCCUCGAAAGCCUCGGAGGUCGCCGGAAACUGGGUAUUUUUCAAAUGAGUAUAACUUCUUCAAUACUCAACGAAAUUGAGUGAAACAAAAAGGAAAGUUGUAGUACUUGACGAGACGAAGAGAUGGAUACCUACCUCGACUCCUAACUCGCCGGGGAUUCGCCGGAAAAAUCCUCGAAAGCUCCGGCCAAACUUUGAACUUGUCGAUCUCCGUGUUCUUACGUCCAAAAACUUCCAACGAAGCACUCCGAGCUUCCUUGGGACCUCACUAAGCUCGCUGUGAUCUUGUUUUAGCCUAAAUCGUAACCAUUUAAAAGAUCAUGAACAGUGCUCUUCCACGGGGAGUUUAGAAUCUAGGUUUUCCGAAGUAAAACUUACCUGAAAUUGGUGUCUACGUGAUCGUUGAGGUUCCAGGAGUUCAAUGGUGGUCUUAACUCCGUCGUUGGUAUAGAAGUUUAGUGUGGUUUUGGAGCUUGUCCGUGUGAGUUCGAAGGAGAGGGAGAGAGAACUGAGAGUUGCGUGAGGGAGGAGAGAGAGAGGGACAAGGUACGGGAAUUGGGGAAGGUUUUGAGGGAUGUGGGGAUCCCACGUGUCCAACUCAAUCCAAAUUGUUAAAUUUUCACCCCUUAGUCCCGUUUAAGGGCAUUUUCGUCUUUUCACGUCCUCGGAAUUAAAAUUCCGGGACGGGCUGUGACAAUCUUCCCUCCUUAUAGAAUUUCGUCCCCGAAAUUCCAGCAACCAACUAAAUCAACCAUACUCCAACAAUAGCUUCGGGUAAAUCUGUCUCAUCCGAUUCUCUUUCUCCCACAUAAUUUUCUACUGAAUGAUUCAUUCACAAAGCUUUUACUACUUACUCUGUCUUAAUUCUCAGGACCUUCUUUUUCCAAUCCAAAGUCGUCAUUGGUUCCUUAUCAAGUCGAAUCCAAUUUAAUUCUCAAUAGUUGCACCAGAAUCUCUUGUGACGAAUCUGCCACCUAGUGACAACGUAUCGAACCCAAAAUACAUUAAGUACCUUAGCCAACUCUGAAGACAUCACCACUUGUAUGCAACUUUAUUGAUUCCUUUAGUGAUAAAAAAAUGGUCUGAUGUGUCUAAAUCUUAUUUUGUCUCCUUUCCAACCCGAAUUAUACUUUUCUAUGGUGAACACUUCGAAAAUAUAAAACCAUUUGUCUUAUACACUCGAUUAGUGGCAUAUCCCUCUGUUAAUCUCUUUUGCCAUUCCUGGUUACUUUCAAGUUAACUUAAUCACCUGAAUACUUUGAGGAGACUCAUCCAUAGUCUCAGGGCCUACAAAAACUCUUUCGUGAUCAAAUCUUUUUCUAUUCAGAAGCAUUUCAUUCACACGACACGCUUCAGGGACCCUAUGGCGUUAUUUCGGAAACUGCGCACCCAACAUACUUAAGAAACUCAGCAGUUCCGUAAUCCAAUUCUCUUUUCCAUAAAACAAAUAAGUACUGUUACUCAACACUGGAGUAAAUGUACUAACUUGGUACAUUGACCAAUUAUCACUUCAAAUUCGAUCAUAACCAUCCUAUGUACAAGGAAACUUGUACACAUAAUCCAAAGUAAUAUCUUUCCAUUUCCACUGCGAAACAGAAAAUAGUUAUCCCAAUCCAAAGGUUUAUCUUUUUCUGCCUCAAUCUGCUGACCAAAUAAAACUGUCGAAUGGUAUGAUAAAUCUUAUUACUUUUGGAAUAUUACAGAAGUUGAACAGUGAACUUCGUCCAAUUUUUGCUUGCUUCAAAUCCUCAGCAUUAGGCACAUACUUUUUGUUUUCUUGUAUCCACAUACCAUUUGAUUCACGAAUCAUGUACUCAUUCUUUUUCCCUUCUUUCUCUGCCUUGGUUAAUUCUUAAAUUUCCUCGUCAAACAUUUAAGUUUCGAGUACGACCUUACCAAACAGGCCUAACUUGAAAUUUAACAAAUAUAACUUCUUCUCGAUCUUCCAUUCUUAAUUUUUCUUCCGUUGGUUUUCAAUCCACAAGAUGAUACUCUUGGCAAACGUGCCAGACAUUAAUCUUACUGUAGUCUUCUCACCAAGUGCUUCAGCUAGAACAAACUUUACGAUCACCCUGAUCGUACAAUCAUGUUCAUUAAGCAAUACAAUUCACUUUCGCUGCCUCAUAUCAAAAUCCUUCCAAGUAAUGGAUAUUGAAGACUUUUUGGAUUCGUAAAAAAAAUCUUGCAUUCUUACUAAAAUAUAAUGUCUCCAUAACUUCACAGCAAGGAUGGUAAUCGUGACUUCCAAAUCACCAGUAGGGUAAUUCAUCUUAUGAGGUUCCAUUUGUCGUGAAACGUAUGCAAUCACCCUAACAUUUGCAUUAAUACAUAUCCAAGAACAUUUAAUGUAACAUCACCAUAUACCGAUAAUUAUCGCUAUCUUCUGGGAAUAUUAAAAUACGUGCAUGAGUGAGGAAAUACUUCAGUUGUUGAAUCCUUUGCUCACAAUUUCCUUCCCACUCAUACAUAACCUCUUUUCUCAACAGUCUCGUCAAUGACAAAGCAAUGACUGAAAAAUCUUUCACAACCAUCCAAGAUAGCCUGGUAAGUUAAGAAAUUCCAAAUCUCAAUUACGACUCGUGGUUGUUCCAAUUCCUCAAUUUCUACUAUCUUUUAAGAAUUCAUUUGAAUACCUUAAGCAGAUAUACAAAUCUCAGAAUGCCACCUGAUUCAUCUAACUUUAGCAUUUGCUACUUAGCAUACAACCAACGUUCUCUCAAUCUUUGCUUCACCAACUUAAUAUGUUUACAUGCUUUGCUCUGGCUCAGAAUAUGCCAGAAUAUCUUCAAUGAAAAUGAUAUCAAGGCAUUAUUGGAAUACUUCAUCCAUCAACUCAUAAAACAGCAUGAGUAUCCAUAUAGCAUCACCAAACUUCAUCAAGACUAUAACGAGUCCAGAAAAACAAUCUUAGGAACAACGUUACUCAUAAUCUUCAAUUGAUAAUAAACAGACCUCAAGUCAAUCUUUGAAAAUAUACAAGCACCUUUGAACUGAUCAAAGGAGCGUCAAUACACCACAAUGGAUAACGGUUCUCAUUCGUUACCCGAUUCCAUUAUCUAUAAUCAAUGAACAAUCUCUAAGUCCAUUUCCUUUCUCACCAACAAACUGGUGCUCCUCAACAGUGUUGUACUAUGUUGAAUAAAACUUUUAUCAACCAAUUCUCUCAACUGAAUUUCCAAUUCCCUUAACUCAUCAUGAACCAAUCUUUAACAUAAAUUUAUACCCGGCAACAAAUCAAUAAUGAACCUCAUAUCUCUGCCUGAAGACAAUCCAGGUAUACUUUCAGGGAAGACAUCAAGAAAAGUCUAACCCCUUUUUCAUUUUUCACACUUCUCCGAGCAACAUCCUUUAGUACCACAUGAACUAAGUAUUUUUUUUUGACAUCCUUUCGAAAACAAUCUCUUUGCUCUCACAGCAUAAAUAACGGCCUGACUCAAUCCACUUUGCAUACUUACAAAAAUAAUCUCUGGUCAUCCAGAUCGAUGGAAAGUACUGGUUUCCCGUAACAUUCCAUCUAGUCACAACUAUAAACAAUCACUCUAAUGGAAUAAAAUUAAUUGACCCAAUACAUACUUUAUCAUUACUGAACAUUCUAAAUAAGUACAACACUAACAUAAAAUAAUUUACCGGGUUGCUUGCUUAACGAAUCCACGAAUAAGUUAUUAAUAUUACGGUCUGCAGCCCGCAAUACUGAUAAAUCAUUGUUGUCUCGAUAAGUAAGAAACCACUCUCAAAGAUAUAACAUUACUAUUUUGUCACUCAAUGAAAAAUACUUACACUCGUCUCAACUACAUUUAUUUACUACUCUCAAGGUAAUAACAUACAUAAUAAGAAAUAUAUCAGCCGAAGUCAACUAGAAUGACCAAUACGACUGAUUCAACUCUUAUCUCAAUAAUACGUCGGCCGGAUCCACUCCGCGUGGUCGGUACGGCCGAGCCUAUAACUCACCAAUUUCUCAUGUGUCAAUCGAAUCCACUUCUCAUGGUCUGUACGGCUGAACAUAUAACUCAUCAAAUCUCUCCGUACUCACGGUCAAUCCGACCAAACUACUAAAUCCAUAACUCUGCUGAAUCAACACUAUGAUAUCAUGGAAAAUUGUUGAGUACAACUGAUUCUAGGGACGAUUCACAAUUCUGUGUCCCCUCUGUUCACAUAAACACAUUCAUUAAUUUCACAUUUCCCAAAGUGUUAAUUUUUGUACCUGCUGCACAAGGUACAUUUCCUUUACUCGAGACACCUUGUCUCAAAUAUCUGGGAUUACCAGUAUAUCCAUCACUUUUACUCUGACCAGCGACAAUAAAACCUCAGCUGGAAGAAUUAAUUCUAGCUUCACUUCUUUUUAAACUCUGAAUCCUUCGAUAUUCUUGAUAUGACGAAUCAUUAACUUUAUCGUCUUCUUUUGAUUCCCAUUCAUUUCUUAUUCUUCUUUAUUCUCAUUGAUCAUGUUCUCAGAGUCCUCAAGGCUCAACAACAUCUUGUAUACUCCUGGUAAGAAGUACAAUGGAUAGUGGUCACCCAAAAUACCACUUCCCUUUUUGCCACCCAGCUUAAAACAAUAUAACACCUCCACCAAAUUAACAACAAUAUCUGGAUGGAACGAGGCAAGUCUGAAAACUUUCUAUAAUAUUCAUUUAUCGUCAACUUCCUUAAUUCACAUUUGCAAACUCUUGCUUACUACCAUCGAUAAAUGCCGGAGGGAUAAACUUUUCCUUAAACAAUUUUAAAUCGGCUGUUCCUCCGAUGACAACAAAUCAUACUCCUGUUUCCACCAGGAUACAAAUUCAUACCCAAAACCAGGUAGUCGUCUCGACCCCCCUGUCAGAAGGAAGAUUCCUUUGACUUGCAUAAUCUGAAACAUCUUUUCCAAAUGGUUAAACCGUUACUUCGCUCCCUCAGGUUCAUCAUUUCAUAAGGUGAUUCAAAUUCGACUCAUAACCCGUCUUAAAAUGUCCAUUUUUAUAAUAUACUGAAUCACCAUAAUAAUAGUUUUCCCUAAACCGCUAUAUUAGGGAGACUAAAUUCCUCUAACUAAGUGGCUUGCUACGAGGCGGUGUAGUUCUGACAGAAUUCACUAGAACUUCUCAAGAUGUCCAAGAUUGCAACCAUGCUCUGAUACCAACUGACACACCCCGUCCCGAAGGAGGGCAUGCUGGCCGUCACGUGAGAGUGACGUAACCAUUUGCACAGUACGGAAGCUUUAAGAUACAAUUUAUAAGUUGAUACACCCGAAGGUGAGUCCUAAUUUUGUCCAAUCUGUCAGAACACCGUCGAAUUCCUCGUAGUCACCACACCUUUGUGAUUCCUGAACCUGGAGGGGCGCAAAACCAAAAUUGAGUGGGUCAGUAAAACAAUUCUUUUCCAAAUCCAAACAUUUCUCAAAACGUUGUAACCCCUCUCCGUAAAACCUGUAUACUUUCCCCAGAAAUGUAAAAUAUAAAUAUACAUAUAUAUUCUCAAUACUUUAAUUCAUUAACUCAACAUUUUUUCUUUAUCAAUCAUGCCAUGCCAUGUCUAAUUCAACAGUUAAGUAUGGAUGCAUCAACAAUAAUCAUAUCAGGUGCAAGAAAGUAAUCAACCGGAGGCCCUCUAAUAGCCCUGUACGGUUGAACCUAGAGCUCAAAAUCUAUCACUAUCACUCUACCGGAGUCACCUCUGUGACCCGUCCGGCCUUCUGCACACAAGUUACGCUCUAGUGCUUUCUCAUCAAUCAUCUGUGCACAUAAUCUAAGGUCACCCACCAGUCGAAAUCUCACUAACACUCUUCGACUGGCCCGUCGCAACCCACUCCGCGUGGACUGUACGACCAGCAUCUACUUGGAUCCAAGGCGAGCGUGCGAUGCGGUGAAUACUAUAAGCACUAAACCAUGGUGCAGGAUUUGAGCUCAAUAUAUAUCAACAUCAUCAUAACAGUAAUUAAAUACUCACCUGAUACUCACCUGUGCGUCCGCCGCACCAUUCAUUCAUAUGCAUCAUAUCUCAAUUCAUACUUUUCAUAUCAUUUCAUGCAUGGCAAUUCGAUUCACAUUUCUAUAUACUUUUCAUAUACUUUUCAUGCAUGACAUUUCAACUAAUAUAUCUCAUAUACUUUUAUACAUUUUCAUUAAAAAGCAUAAUUUCAUGCAUUUUCAAUUUCUAGGAAACGGCAAGUAUAUAUGUAUACGGAAAACAAAACUGCCCACUCACCUGGAGUUCGUCCAACAACUCCCUAGCACCACACAUCAAGGCGUCACGACGAUCGCCGCCUAGAAUAGUAAUCAAAUCCAACCUCAGAAUUCAUAUCGAUAGAAUAUAACUUAUAUAAAAUACGUCACUACGUAGAUCGAUCCGGAAGAUCUGCCACUCAGAUUUUAAAUCCAUAACUUCCAGAGGUCCACAAUAUAUCUCUAGGAUAACAUCCUAAAAUUUCAUUACCAUCCAACGGUCGGAUCUCCGUCAAUUUCCAAAACUAAGUGACGGUUAACAUUCUAUAUUAUGGACUUACAACUCCAAUUUCGGAAGAUCCGCAAAUCGGAUUCCCAAUCUGUAAGUUCCUAUAAUCCUCAAAUAUUACGUAUUACAACGUAUCAAAGUUUGGUGAUGAUCCAACGGUCGGAUCAUCAAUUCAUAUUUUCACUUAAAUGCAAAAACUAUAAAACGUUAUUUGAACACCUAACCAACAAUCCUUAAUAACUUUCUCAUACGGUGCUCAAUUGGGUAUACGAAUAUACCACAGUGAUCUACUCGACGUCACGGACGUCGACAUAUUUUUCAAAUAAUUUUUUACUGUAGCACGCGCCCCCACGCGCCAAGGAAGGCACGGACCUACGCGCCCCCACGCGCACCUUCUUCUUCCUUGGGUCGCCGGACUGGUUUUUCCGGCGGCCGUUUUUCAAAUUGCCAUAACUUUGUCAUUUCUCAACGAAAUCAAGUGAUUCCAAAACGAAAGUUGUAGCCCUUGAAGAUACAAAGAGAAUGGUACCUUGCACAACACCUAGUUCGCCGUGGUUUGGCCGGAAACUGCCUCGAAAGCCUCGGAGGUCGCCGGAAACUGGGUAUUUUUCAAAUGAGUAUAACUUCUUCAAUACUCAACGAAAUUGAGUGAAACAAAAAGGAAAGUUGUAGUACUUGACGAGACGAAGAGAUGGAUACCUACCUCGACUCCUAACUCGCCGGGGAUUCGCCGGAAAAAUCCUCGAAAGCUCCGGCCAAACUUUGAACUUGUCGAUCUCCGUGUUCUUACGUCCAAAAACUUCCAACGAAGCACUCCGAGCUUCCUUGGGACCUCACUAAGCUCGCUGUGAUCUUGUUUUAGCCUAAAUCGUAACCAUUUAAAAGAUCAUGAACAGUGCUCUUCCACGGGGAGUUUAGAAUCUAGGUUUUCCGAAGUAAAACUUACCUGAAAUUGGUGUCUACGUGAUCGUUGAGGUUCCAGGAGUUCAAUGGUGGUCUUAACUCCGUCGUUGGUAUAGAAGUUUAGGGUGGUUUUGGAGCUUGUCCGUGUGAGUUCGAAGGAGAGGGAGAGAGAACUGAGAGUUUCGUGAGGGAGGAGAGAGAGAGGGACAAGGUACGGGAAUUGGGGAAGGUUUUGAGGGAUGUGGGGAUCCCACGUGCCAACUCAAUCCAAAUUGUUAAAUUUUCACCCCUUAGUCCCGUUUAAGGGCAUUUUCGUCUUUUCACGUCCUCGGAAUUAAAAUUCCGGGACGGGCUGUGACAUCGUUUGGGCCCUCUGGUCCUUCAAGAUUCUCCAAGAUAUUAAUAUUUUAAUGAACAGUACAGAGUCAUAUUUGCCUCCGUCUCCAACUGGGGGUCAAAGGGCCAGAUGGCUCGUUUUAGCCUUGUCGCAAAACAUAAUUUAUUAUUUAAAAACUACAACUUAAAUUCAAGUUAACUAUUUAAAAAUAGAAGUUAUAGGGGAAAAAAAAGAAUUAAAAAAAUAUGAAACAAAUUUUGUGAAAUAGAAGUUAUAGGAAAAAAAAGAAUUUAAAAUAAAAUGAAACAAAUUUUGUGAAAUAGAAGUUAUAGGAAAAAAAUAGAAUUAAAAACAAAUAUGAAAAAUAGAAGUUAUAGGAAAAAUUUGUAAAUAAAAAAUAAUAAUAAAAUUGUGUAAAAAAAAAAAUCAAAUGCAAGCUAGCCGUUGUAUUCAAAUUUUUUGAAGUAAAUUUGUGUCGGUUAUAACCGACACAAAUAGUAAUACAAAUUACUAUUAUUGUCGGUUAUAAAUGACACUAAGGGCUGGUUUGGUAUUGCUGUGCUUUGAAAAAAAGCUGCUGUGAGAGUAAGCGGCUGUGCUGUGAGAAUAAGCGGCUGUGAAAUAAAUCAGCAGAGUGUUUGGUAAACUUUUUUGUAAAAGUGCUUUUGGAAAAAAAAAAAAAGCAGUCUGAUAGUGAGUCUUUUCAUUAAAGGAGCACUGUAGUUCUGUGUGCUUUGAAAAAAAGCCAGUUUUCUAAAGCUACAAUUUGCAGCUUCAGCUUUUUCCUUUGAUUUCAGCUUAUUCUCACAGCAGCUUCCAAAAUAAGCCAUUUUUUUUAAGUUUACCAAACACCAAAAACACUCUCAGCUUUUUUUCAUAGGAGCUUUUUUUAAAAUCACCUCAACCCCAAACUGGGGCUAAUUGUAAACAAUAAAGCCUAGCGGGACCAAUUAUGUCGGUUAUGAUUGGAAGCAGCCAGCCCUUUGUCCCUUUGGGAUUCUGCCUCUCAGAUUCCAGAGCCCUCUAGCCUGUCCCUUUGUUGUAUACGAUUUUAGGGCUAUUUUCGGCCAUCUGGACCAUUCGAUUGGAGAUGACUUAACAUCCCAUCCCUCCAUUUUAUUUAAAAAAUAGUUUUGGUUUUUAUUUGGUGAGCCCAAGGGGCCCACCCCCCUGAUUUUGUCCCCCCGAGCCCUCAUCUCUCUCUCUUUGUCUUCUUCUUCCCUUUCCCGUAUACCUCUCUCAUUCUUUCUCUCUCAGCACUGAGAUCUUCACCUAGCCCUCACCUUAGCUCCCUCAUAAAAUCAAGCCCAAAAUUUAUAUUUUUGGAAUCCCUAAGAUUGGAGGAACCCUGCAAUGUACUUGCAUGCAUCAUCGGGCCAUUGUGAAGUGAAUCACCAUUGAUGCCGUGAGCUUUGAAGCUCUCAAAUUCGAACCCAGGUGAGACUUGUGUUCCUUCUUCAAAUUCCUGGGUUAUGCAUGUUAUUUUAUGAUUUGUGAUAUUGGUUUUAUGGUAAAACUCGAGGGUUUUGACCUCAGCUCUUCUCUAUGCCAAGAACCCAGCUCCGACGACGAACUCCGGCGAGUUUGUUGCUGUGGAUGCAUAGGCCUCUUUGAAUUCGAACCCAGGUAAUUUAUUUACCUUGUUGUUUGUUGAACAGUGUCCUGUGUGUGGGUUGUGAGUGUGGUGUGGAGUGUAUGUGUGAGUGUGUGUGUGUACUGCAUUUAGUUGCAGGUUUGAAUGCUGGUAUCGACUGAGAUGCCGAGUGUUGAAUGAUGAUGAUCAUAUAUAGCAUGCAUGCAUCAGUAUGCGGUGUGUGUGUUUGUGUGUGCAUGUGCGUGAGUGUGUGUGCAUGUGUAUGUGCAUGUGUGUAUGCAUACCGUGCAAGUGUGUGAGUACGUGUGUGCGUGCAUGCUAUGCAGUACGUGUGUGUUGUGUACAUGGGUUGGGCUUAAAGCCCGGCCCUGUUUGUAAAGCCAUUGGCUAUGGGCUCUGUGUGUGUGUGUGGGUGUGCCGUGUGUGUGAGUAUGAGUUUAGGCUUAAGCCCAAACCACCCCUUUUGUUCUUAACCUAUCCAAACUCAAGACCCAUUUCCAUUUCCUGAAAUUAUAUCGUUUGGGUAGUUUGAUUAAUUGUACAUUCUUGUGUUUAGGUGAAAUUGCUAGUGAGGAUUUCCUUAAUCUUUUUCCACACAAUUUUGCUGCUACGGAGUAUCUGUGAGUGGACUAUCUUCAAAAAUUGCAUGUUUUAUUUAUAUAAUUGCAUAAUUUAAUAGCAUGCCUUACAUAAUUAUUGAUUUGAGGAAUACUUUACAGGAAGCAUGAUGAUUUAAUUAUGAUUGAUUAUAUAUAUAUAUUUUUGAACUAUUUUCAUUAUAUUGUAUUUUUCUUUAGAACCCCCAUUCUGUUAGACUAUCUUAUCGAUGACGAUAGGAUGCUAAGAAUGUGUUUCAAAUGAUUUUCGAACACCUCUUUGUCGUAUAGAGGAUCGAUGAAUUUAUGCUACGAAGUUGUAUUUUAGAGAUGAAUUAUGUUUUGUGCGUACCUAGUGAACACUAUGCCGUCUGGGGCGAGGAUCUGGUGUUGGCAUUGAGGCCGGGAGAAAUAAUCUCUAGCGAAAGGCUGAGGGACACGGAGACAAGCAUUGGGCCGGAAGGAGAUAUCUCUGGCUACGGGCACAGAGACUAAGGUGCAAGCAUUGGGCCGGGAGAUAUUAUUAUUCGGUGCACUCACUAGCAGCGCAACUUGUGUUAUGCUUCUUGAUAUGAUUUGCAGAUAGAUAUAUGAAUUGUUUUCAUGGCAUGCUAGAGGUUUUGAGAGACCUAUCACUUAUUAUUUAGUAGUUUUCAUCAUAUUAACUGUGGGGGUUAGUAUGUUCAUAACUGUUUUAUUAGUAUUGUAUAUAUUAACUUGGUCCACUCACCCUUGUUUUGCGCCCCCUUUCAGGAUUUAGAAUCAAGGCAUACGAUCACAACGUCAACGCUUUCUCAUUGGCAUAGUCGAGUAUUCUCGGUGUAGGACCCACAUCCUUUUAUUUAUUUCAAUUUUAUAUUAAUUCUUUUAGAGCUCUAGUUAGUUGUAUGUUCUGAACACGUUCCUAAAUUAUUAACUCAUUGUAUUUUUAAAUUCAUAACCCUUAUUUAUUUCUUAUUCUUAGCUUUUGUAUCAAUUAAUGGCUUUCGUCACCCUCGAGUGUCAGCCAACACGUGUCUAUCCUGGUAUUCGGGGAAUAUCAGGGUCGGGACGUGUCAGAUUGGUAUCAGAGCAUGGUUUGUUCAGAGCAUACUUAGGAUCUCUUCUAUUCUCGUAAAGUGUCGGUUCUGACAUCAUUUGGAUGUCAGGACUUCUAGAUUUGGUGCCAUUUGGCGCAGUUGUGCAAACCUUUCUCUGUUUGAAUUGUCACCUUCUUGUUGAAAUACGAGAAUCGUGUUGAGAUUGUGCCUCAUAGGAAACGAAUUGGUUUGUUGGACGAUUUUCGACAUCGAAUUAAUACUCUACAAUAUGCAUCCCUAGGAAUUGCGGGCGGAGUCGGCUCUACAUCAAAAUCUUGGGAAAUGGAAAAAACCUAAGUGGUUUGAAUUUGGAAGAUCUGAAGAAAUGAUAUCACUCUGCGACAUGUGUUCUUUAGGAAUGGUGGGCAAAGUCAUCUUUUGGAAAUUGUUCGAAACAUUCAAAGUGCGUACUAAAUAAACGAGUAAGUGCUAAUGGUGAUGACUGUUAGUAGGUGGUAGUUGGUGGGAGCAAAUCAAUGUUCUCGGACUCGUUUCCACUGAGGAUAUUUGUGUAAAUCUUUAGAAUGAAUCUUCGAUGAUUGUUCUAUCGAUAACCUUUUUGCUUAUUCCAACGACGAAGUUAAGUUUCCUAAUCAUUGAUCGUCAGCUUCACAUCAAAUUCUUCGAGUGUGGACUUCAUUUACAUUAAUUGCUUUUCUUGGGAACUCCUUGGUAGCAGACUAUUCUCAUCAAUUUCCAAAAGGGAGUUGCAUUUCUUGUUGUUGUUGCAGUUGGAUUUGGAUGAUGAAUAUCCAGUCUUGUUUGGAUAAACAGAUUCCUUGAAUUUCACCUAGGUCUGGUACUCGGGGGAAAACUCUAGUUCCUCGUCCGCGUACUUUUCGGUGAAGGUGAACUUAGCCUCUUGCUUGUAGCUCAAUUAACUUGUCCACUAACUUUUCAGCCUUGUAACUUUCAGUGUGAUGGUUUGAGACUCUACCACAUUCAUUGUUGUACGAAGAUCGAGCUUUACUCUGAACUUCUCUGGACUUAUUGAGCUUUGGGUUGCUCAAGAGCAUCACUUUAAGGUAGCCAAUCGUGCCACUGUAUACGCAGCCUGCUUUGUAUCUUUCUUCUUCGUCAUGUUGCUGAUUCAGAGGUUCUAUGUUUAAUUUUUGAACUUUGAAACAGCUUUCACAAAGUAUUGUGAAUUUCGAAAUGUCUUUGGCCUUGUCAAAUCUUAUUGACAGUUCUUAACUAUUCUUGAGUUUAGACCUAUUUCCUUUUUGGCUAAGAAACCAGUUGACCAUACUGUGAUGAUUUGCAAAAUAAUCAUAAACAGUGACUUCUAUUUCUGCAUUUUCACCUUUCUUCGCUUAUUCGUCUCUUAAUGUGAAACUGGAUCAUUCAUUCGGCAUGGUUUCUAGUUCAAAUCUCGAUAUCUUGUACUCUGGAUUGUAAUGGACUUGUUUUGACCCUUAAAAUCUUAAGUGUUCCUUCAGCGUUCUCGACAUGGUUUCUUGCUCAAUCAGUGAGGAAUUCAGGAUUGAUCGAUUUGGCAGAAGUGUAUGCCCAAUUCUUAACAAUUCAGACAAGAACGUUAGGAGCAUAACCUUUUCACAAGUUUAUCAGGCUUACCAGAAAGAGUUCCACAUCAGUGUGAGGUUUGAGUCGUCUUUUGGUAAGGGAUUAGUGAAGAUUGUAGUGCAGGUGAUCUGCAGAUUGGAUCACCAUCUUUAUGCUGAAUUGGAUGGUCACCACUCAUUAUCCUGCUGCAGUUUAGAGACAACUUAUCGUAUGCUAGUAGUUCUUUUCUAACGUUAUGGGUUCGUCUCAAUGCAUAUGUUCACUGCUUCACUCCAAGACUCUUUGUUUGUGAGUAUGUGGAUGUCGAAACACUUCUAGCAGUUAUGCUUGGUGCGGGAUAGAGUUUUACGACAACAGUUUCUGUUUUGUUCAUUUUGGAGUAUGGCACUUUUUGUGACAUGGUACGAGAGUUUUUCAUGGGCGACUUUUGCUGGCAAAGGAGUCUUGCAAACUAAUAUUCAAAGGAUCAAAUUUACGACAUGUGAGAUUGUGUAUCUUCAGGAAAUCACUAUUUGCUUAACGAGACAACAAAUGGGUGGUCGAUAUCGCGGGCGGCCGACUGUGAUAUCGAUAACUUAUUUGUUGGGUUCGCUAAGCAAGUGGGCAAGAAGACUCGUUUACUGCAGCUAUCACAGAUUCGUUAUUCUUGGGGCUUGACCCAAAGACACAUCUAUUCUCAGAGUACGCGACGUUUCGAAUUUAUGUACGAAUUGCUGGUUAGGUAUAACAAGAAAAUCGUCUUCACAGUUAUUAGAAUGUAUGGAAAUAGAUACCCGUGCGUAUAGGAUGUUCGUACAUAAAUGUAUCUAAUCUUGGCUGUAUUUUUCAUAAAACUUCCUUUUCAUGAUUAGGGACUACGAUCCUUGGUGCUAUAAAAUCAGCAGUCAACUCAAGCACAGAAGUUAUAUACAGUGAGAAUCCUGAUCGUAAUUUUGUAAAGUCCAAUAACUUUGCAUAUGCCAUUGUUGUGGUUGGCGAGCAUCCUUAUGCUGAGACCGCGGGAGACAGCCCAAACCUAAUGAUGGCGGAACCUGGCCCAAGUGUCUUCAGCAAUGUGUGUGAAAGUGUCAAGUGCAUUGUUAUCUUAAUAACUGGCAAACCUAUUGUAAUCGAACCAUAUAUUUCCUCGAUUGAUGCUCUGGUGGCAGCAUGGUUGCCAGGCUCUGAAGGCCAAGGCAUUACUGAUGUCCUUUUUGGGGAUCAUGGAUUCAGUGGAAAGCUUCCAAGAACAUGGUUCAGAACUGUCGAUCAACUCCCAAUGAAUGUUGGUGAUUCAAACCAUGAUCCACUUUUCCCGUUUGGGUUCGGACUGGAAACUGAGUCAGUAAAGGAGCUUGUAACAAGGUAACUCUUCAUACAUGUAUAUCUAUUGGGACCAGCUUCGUAGCAGGUAUCCUGGUUUCCUGCAUGCUUGUUCAUAUAACAAAGCUUGAUGGGAAAAGGAAUGAAAUGAAAUUUACAAGGGAGUUGGGACCGGUGGUGGCUUCUAGGUUUCAAUCUAUCACUACUACAUAUUGUUUUAAAGCAUUCAUGUGUUCCGGUGUAAUAUAAACCGAAGAACUUGGUUACUUGUAUCGAUACUGACUACAGCUUCGUGAUGCCUGCAGGUCGACCUCAGCUGGUGUUGUUGCAAGGCCAUGCAUGCUUAUCGUCAUGGUUGCUCUGAUUCUCAGCUUAUAGUUUAGAGGUAUAGUUUUGGGUCUAGGAUUAUUGGGUUCUCAGCUUUUCCUAAUUACGUAAGUUUCUGCUUACACAUUGCCUUUUUCCUUUAAAAAUUUCAGGAAGCUUUUACUAAUGGUAGAUUUUUGUUUUGAAAUUCUUGAGUGAAAAAAAGAAUGUUAGGAGGAUCAUCAUCAAUGGGCCCUUCUAUUGGUCUAUUAUUAUUUGUUUUUUUUUUUAUGGUUUUUUUGCUUCAAUACCACCUAGUAAUGAAUGAUACGGAAAAUGCAUGUUUGAGAUUGUUUGAAUUUUUAUCACAAAUGGUCAUUGAAAGUAACGUUGUUCGUCACUUUGUCUUUGAAGUUGAAAAUUAAUUAACAUCGUCCCUAAAAUUUACUAGAAACAUCAAGGAGCUGAUUAUCACAACUUUUUUUUGGGUAUCACACCCCUUAGUCCCUUCUAAUUGCGCAGAUCACCACCCAUUGCAGCCCCAUGACGUUGAACAAGAGGACGCAAGCUGAGAGAGAAUACAAGAAGAAACUGUAACAAACUUCACAUGCAUCACACACUUCUCACUCUCAGCUACUAUGACAGCUAGCACAAUCCUAGCUUAUGAGCUAGUUUAAUCUCAGCCAUCCAUUUCCAAUUCAAACAAAUAACAACAAGAAUAAGUACGGAACUUGAACUCUUAAGAAAUCAGCUUCAAGGCUUAAUCACUAACAACACAUACGAUCAAAGAGAAAGAAAAAACAACUUUACAAUACGUACGGAUAAGUAAAUACUGUCCACGUACCAACUGCAGGUGAAGCAAGAAAUACGCAAAAAAGCAAAAAACUAAAUAAAAGAGCUCUUAGAAGCAGAAACCAACUCAAAACACGAAGGAGUCACAAAAUCACCAUUUCUUCCCUCUCCCAGGUCCCUUAGUCUUACUACUAUAUCAGUGAUGAUGCGCCAAAUACCUCAAUCCCCAUUACCCCGUGACCCACAGAUACAACCCCAUAUCCUCCCACCUCUCCUUGAGGCUGCCACCGCCUUCUCCUUCUCUUCCUCAUGUCUUGACUGCUUGAGAUCACUCAAAAUUGCCUUAACAGCCACGCCUCCUUUUCCCCGUAGCUUGAGUCCACUAUAUCACUCAAAGGUGCAGUGCUCUGACACUGAUCCAAAUACCCCUAAGUUCUGAGAAAUUAUCGUUUUUAAAGAGAGAGAUGCUACAGUUCCCUCUACCUCAAGGAACUCCAAACGUCGCUGCCUGAAUUCUCCCAGAUGUCGCUGCAUCAUCUCUUCCCCAUAGCUUGACUCCUCAGGAUCAGUGAAAAUGUGAUGAGAAAUUUGUUGGCAGUCCCACAUUGGUGGGGGAAAUGAAAACAAAUGAGUUUAAAUAGGAUUACCCUUUAUAACAAUUACCGAGGUUUUUUAGGGUAAACUCGCAAAGGUCACUGCCGCAUCUCUACCAAAUGUCGCUGCCACAUCUCUUCCAUCUCUUCCAAAUGUCGCCGUUGCAUCUCUUCCAUCUCUUCCAAAUGUGGCCGCAUCUUUUCCAGCAUCUCUUCCAAAUCUCGCCGCGCGCAUCAAAUGUCGCCGCGCGCAUCAAAUGUCGCCGCAUCUCUUCCACAUGUCGCCCCAUCUCUUCUCUCUCUUCCAAAUGUCGCCGCUGCAUCUCUUCCACUUCCAAAUAAUGUUGCCGCCGCAUCUCACCCUCUUCCAAAUGUCGGGGUGGCCACGGCAUCUCUUCUGGUUCUUCCAAAUGUCGCCGCCGCAUCUCUUCCAAAUAGCUUGACUCCUCAAUAUCAGUCCAUACACGUUCACACCACCAGCGGUGGAGGGAUUCCACGUCCUCAGGAUCAGUCAAAUUUUCUGAAUCACCCCUCCAGGGAAGGCGGGAUUCAACAUCAGCCACCGCCUCAUUUUGCUCAUUGUUUGGGACCAUGGCAUUAAUCACGUCAACCGGUUUCCACGGAGCCAAAUCCCUCAAAGUGAUGAAUUGCUGUUUUGGGCGGCAACCACGUAUACCAGUUUCCACUAUGUCAAGGCGCUUCAAAUACCAUAAGUCUUCAGGCAACUUCGAAAGUUUUGAGCACCCACGGAGAGUGAGCCAUUCGAGACUCAACAAAUUGCAGAUACUGUCCGGAAGAUAGAACAGGCUUUUGCAGUUUUUCAGAUUUAACGACACUAGCCCCUGAAGCCGUUCAAUUGAUGUAGGAAGCUCUCUGAUAGAUGUUCUAUCCAAAUCAAGGCUUGCUAAUCUUUCCAUAUUUUCUAAUCUUUCCAGACAGUUUUGCAGAUACUGUCUGGAAACACCUCAAGAUUUGUACAACCAGAAAGAGAGAGAUAAUUUAGGGACUUGAGUUGACAAAUGCUGCUUGUAAGACUCUUAAAGUGUUUGCUAUACCGUAGCGUCAAAGUAGCAAGUCCCGUAAGACUAUAAACUAUGGAUGGCAAUUCUUUAAUUGCAAUCCCUCUAACCUGAGCAAAUUUUUGGCGAGAGGCUUGCUUUAUAAGAGAUUGGUAUGCUGAUGGGACUUCUGCAAACAUAGUCCAAUCUAAAUGAAGCUCUGUUAGGUUCUCCGUAACUUUUAGAAACUCUGGAAAAUUCUUCAGAUUUGAGCAGCCAGAAACAUUCAGGGCUUGAAGAGAUCUCAUACGAAUGCUGCUUGGAAGAAUCUCUAAUCUUCUGCAAUCCUUCAGGCUCAGGGUAACGAGUUCCGUAAAAUUUUUUAUGGACGAGGGCAGUUCUGAAAUUGCAGUCUCAUCUAAAUUAAGCUCAAUAGGUUCAUAACUUCAGGAAUUUCUGGAAAAUUAUACAGAUUUGAGCAGCUGGAAAGAUUAAGGGUUUGAAGAGAUCUCAUAUGAAUGCUACUUGGAAGGCUACGAAGUUUCUUGCAUCGCUCUAGACUCAAAAUCUCAAGGUUUUCAAGAGAUGAAAUUGAUGGGCAAAGGGCUCCAACAGAUGUCUCAUCCAAGCGAAGCUCUCUUAAUCCUUCCAUCAUAUUUCUGACAAUUCUUGGAAAGGCCUUGAGCUUUGGACAACAAGAAAAAUUAAGAAAUUGCAAGGACUUGAGUUGAACAAUGCUGCUUGGAAGAAUCUCAAGUUCUCUGCAAUAUUCAAGAUUCAAAGUAACAAGCCCCCUAAGAUUGUUAAUUGAUCGAGGCAGUUCUUUUAUUGCAGUCCCUUGCAAAUAAAGCUUUGAAAGCUUCUCCAUAAAUUCUGAAAUCUCUGGAAACUUCUCAAGUAUUGAGCAAAAAGAGAGAUCAAAGGUUUCAAGAGAUUUCAUACAAAUGUUGCUUGAAAAGGUCUUGAGUUUGCUGCACCAACUUAGAUCCAAGAGGACAAGUUUUUCAAGGGCAGAAAUGGAUGGGUGAACCUUAUAUAAACUUGUGCAUCCACCAAGAAUUAGCUUCUCAAGAUUCUUUGCCUCAGUGAAGUCAGGUGUGUCCUUAAGACGAUAAGAGCCUUUUAAAUUGAUAAUUUUCAACUUUCCCAGAGGCUAUCAAUAUACAUCAAGGAAAAUAUGUGUUACCUACAUAACAAGGCAUUUAAAAACUAAACCAUUUAAAAGCAGUAUAUAGGCAAAUGAUGAACGUACCUUAGUUCCUUUCCAGAGGUGUUCAACCCAACUAUAUUGCAUGUCAAUCUCAACAAGAUUCUCGCGGUUAAAAUUGGACGACAAAGACUUUAGGGGACAUUUGUGCCAGAAUAGAUAACUUAGUUUUUCAGAGAGAAACUUUAGAUCCUCGUACUGGCAGUGAUCAUUGGCCGGCUCGCAGUCUGGUGGUAAAUAGUCGGUAUGGACUCUGAGUAGUCUUAGUUUUCGCAUUUGAGCAAAGGCGGUAUCUAAUUCCACCACAUUGUUUGAGUGUGGCCAAUGCACAAUUAUGCUUUCAACUGCUUCUGUAGCCUGGAUUACCAAAAUUGCACAUUGAAUGAGUACAAACUUAAGAUUAUAACGCCUAAUGCACAUGUUUCUCAUGAAUUGGAUUUUGGUCAAAGUCGAAUCAUUAUACUUAUUAUUAUUGUUGUUGUUGUUAUUAUUAUUAUUUAAAUUUACUAAUAUUAAUGGGAGAGAGAAGAUUCGAAGCAAUUACAUUAACGGAGGGGAGGGGAGUGCAUUUCUCACCGUUUUAUUAGUUAACACAUGACGGACAUCUUCACAGCAGCAUAACCUACUGCGCCUCCCAGGCUCUUCUAUAGAUUCCUCGCGUACGAUUUCAUGACCCAUUUCCUCUAGUAAAUCAUGCAUCUCGAGGACACCAUCAGAUGAGAUGGUGACAAGAGCUCUACCAACUAGAACCUCUAAUCCGGUAUGGGGAUGGAAGGCACAACCCUCCAUAAUCCUUGUUGCAGAGUCUUUCUUCAUUUGUUUAAAGAAACAUGCAAUAUCAAGAAAUAUUUUCUUCUGCAAACCAUCUAGUCCAUCAAAGCUUGUUCUAAGGACUGUCUGGAUUCCCAGGUUCGGAUUUCUCGCUAUUUUCUUUAACUCAUCUUUCCACACAAGUACACUUUUGUUAUCGAGGAAUCCUCCCAAGACUUUGAGUGCUAAAGGCAAACCUUGAGCAUAUUUUGUGAAAUGGCCUGACAGAUCAAUGUAUUCUUUUGUGGGUUGCUUUGUCCUGAAAGCAUCCUGCAUAAACAGCUUGAGAGCAUCUUCAUCGUUUAACACCUCGGGCUCAUAUAUCUGACCACCAAGUCCAUUUAGUGACUGUUUAUCUCUAGUUGUUAUAAUGAUUCGACUUCCGCCACCAAAUGAAGGUUGCUUUCCAAUUAAGGCUUCAAUUUGUCUCCACAUUAUCCAGAACAAGUAAAACUUUUUUCUUACCAACUCUUUCCAUCAUCUUCUGAAAACCAUUUCUCAAAAUCUCUGAACGCCCCACCUUCAUAUUUGUGAUACUAGAUAGAAUUUCUGCCUGCAUAUCUAGUGGUGCUUCACCUGCAUCAGUUGACGGAAAACGUCUCUUGACAUUUUCAACAAAGCAACCACCUUCGAAGAGAUGAUUGAUUUUGUCAUACAUAGCUCUAGCGAUGGUGGUUUUGCCUAUACCGCCCAUACCCCAUAUUCCAACAAAGCGAACGUUACCGAGCUCGGGACAUAAUAGUGACUCCAUUUUCUGUAAGCGGGAAUCCAUCCCAACCAAGCCAUUCUUUUCACUUGGUAAGAUGUUCAUCAAUUUCUUUAAAAUAUCACCUACAAUCAACUUAAUAAGCUUGGCAUCAUCCCUGCCAAAUUUGAAAAACAGUAUUGUCAAGUCCUGGGAUUGCUAGUUAUAUAACACUCAUCACACUGUCAUUGAAAACACAAAGUAACGACCCAAUAAUUCUCAAUUUAUUCUUCUUUCAUUUACUCAAUGCACUCUUCUAAGUUCAAUCAACAUAUAAGAGAACUAGUCAUCUAUAUCCUCUCAAGAUGUUUUAUAGACCUUUUAAUCGUGCCCCUUUAUAUUGAUCUUGCGGUGAAGAAUUAAUUUAACUUGUUCUUUUUUUACUUAUUCAUGUUGGACGACGUCUUUUCUACAUUAUUUCUCUUUUUUAUAUUAUUUUCCUCGUCCCUUGUCAUGGCAAAGAUCUAGAUGUGGCAGUGGAAAGUUUUGCAGAGAGUUGGUGAGUAUUCAAUUUUGUAGAGGGUUGGGAAGGAAGUCUUGGUUCUAGUUGUAUUAACAUCAUUAUAAACUAAAAAGACCAAAACAGGAAAUUAGCUAAACUUGUAAACUAGUAAGUAAAUAAGAUUAUGAAGGAAUGAGUUACUGGCAAUUUUGUGAAUCCCAGCCACAUAAAUUGGGGGCUCUUUGUAAAGCGGACCUCCACCGCUGCACUUCUUCCAUGUCGGCGUUAGGAUCAUGUUCAUGUUUAGAAAAAGCUUUCUCAAAACUUCCCUUGAUUUUACGAACAUGAGAUGGGUCUACUUGGUAGAAAAUGGGAAUCACAAUCUGCUUCUUCUGAUCCAUGCAUUGCAGGAUUUGGACGAGUUCUUUCAAGCACCAUGUGGAAGAAGCGUAGUUUUGAGAAAAAACUACAACUGAAAGCCGUGAGUCGCUUAUAGCUGUCAGUAGCUGCGAAAGGUCGUUGCCUUUUCUGAGCUCUUCAGCGUCACUGAAGGUGUUGAUUGAGUUCUGAACUAGAGCUUCGUAGAGAUGGCAGAUGAAGGUCCUGCGAGUGUCUUCGCCUUGAAAAUUCAAGAAGACUUGAUAUUUCCUGUGGAAAUUUUCAGGUCGACGGGUCGAGGGCCCACUCCAACAACACCGAUACUGUUCCCACUUAACCACAUGCACAAUCCUCAGGUGUGGGGCUUUAUCACAAAAGGCCUCGAUGUUAGUUAGAGAGGGGUAUUUCUAUUUAAAGCACUUUUUUCUUCUCCCUCUGUCCGAUGUGGGACUGAGGGUUCCAACACUCCCCCGCACGUGAGACCCCACUUAUGGGUCACACGUGAAUUUCCACACAUCGGCAACCAUGUGGAGCCAUGUCGGGACUCACCCAAUCACGCGGGGCCAAUGGGGACCCAUCCAAACACGUGGCAUCUUUGGCCUACGUGGACAAUCGCGCGGGGCCAAAGGGGACCCACCCAAUCAUGUGGCAAUACGGGCCCGCCUCCUGGCUCUGAUACCAUGUGGAAAUUUUCAGGUCGACGGGCAAAAAAAAAAAGAAAGUUUUUUUUUUUUAAAUUGUUGUCAAUGACAGUAGAAAAGCAAAAACAGGUCUACCAUGCUUCUAAUAAAAGUGUUUUUUUUCAACGCAUAGUAAUUAAUGUCAUUUAUGAAAUUUUCAAAUAGCAAGUAUACCCCCGUAUAUUUUACAAAAUUACAAUGAUUGCCCCUACAUUAUUUUGUUUGAAUAUUAUUAUAUCACAUUAAAUACUACAUUUUUCUUAGGCAUUUGACGUGAGGUUUUAUCACAAAAGGCCUCGAUGUUAGUUAGAGAUGGGUAUUUCUAUUUAAAGCACUCUUUUCUUCUCCCUCUGUCCGAUGUGGGACUGAGGGUUCCAACACUCCCCCGCACGUGAGACCCCACUUAUGGGUCACACGUGAAUUUCCACACAUCGGCAACCACGUGGAGCCAUGUUGGAACUCACCCAAUCACGCGGGGCCAAUGGGGACCCACCCAAACACGUGGCAUCUUUGGCCUACGUGGACAAUCGCGCGGGGCCAAAGAGGACCCACCCAAUCACGUGGCAGUACGGGCCCGCCUCCUGGCUCUGAUACCAUGUGGAAAUUUUCAGGUCGACGGGCCGAAGGCCCACUCCAACAACACCGAUACUGUCCCCACUUAACCACCUGCACAAUCUUCAGGUGUGGAGUUUUAUCACAAAAGGCCUCGAUGUUAGUUAGAGAUUGGUAUUUCUAUUUAAAGCACUCUUUUCUUCUCCCUCUGUCCGAUGUGGGACUGAGGGUUCCAACAUUUCCAAUCAGGAACAGAUGAAGAAGAAGAAGAAGCCAUCAACAAGCACAAGAUCGACAGCCUAAUGUGAGUCUGGCGUAGCCCCUUAACAAACUCAAGAUUGCAGGUCAACGACCCCCUUCAUUGGUUCUCCCUAGAAAAAUGAGAUGCAUCUUCAAGGGAGGCGCUUGGAAGUUGCCAGGAAAAGGGUCGCUUUGGCUAAAUAAAGUCCGCUAAUCUACGCCGUCCGAUUGAAUAAAGCAAGUGGGAUUGCACAUGUUGGCCGACAACCCCAUCAGGCUGGGCCCCAGUCCCUUCAGCAUGCUCCUUUUCCCUUGCUUUUUUGGCGCGUUGCCUUCCUUGUGGAGCGUCAAAGUGCGCAGCUUUCUCUCUUUCUCAGCGCGUCCACACGCGGAGCGGGUGAGUAUAGGAAAAGGAUCCGCAAGGAUUGUUUUGUUAGGGAUUCUAGAGAUUCUGUUAUCGGGAUCGUUCAUCGUAUAUUGUACAGUUGUAAAUUAUUUUAAAAUAUAAAAUUAAAUAUAAAUAAUACCUAAUAAAAACUGACAGCAUAAUGUAUGAUGAACGAUCACGAUCACGGAAUCUCAAAAAAAAAAGAUUCGGCAAGGAUCAUUUUCCAAAAAUUUUAAUCCAACUGGUUUCUUGUGUUAAAUUUAUCCCAAAAAUUAGUUUUGACCAAAAAUUGAUUUUUGGUCCAAGGGUUGGAGCAAAUCGAGAGAGUUUAAAAACAAAAAUUUAAGUUAGUCUAACAAAUACAAAUGAAAGAAAGUAACAUUCAUAUUUUAUUGUGCCCUUUAAUUUUUAUUUAAAAUGGUCUCGCAUAACUACUUACUUUUAAAAUUGAUAAAAAUGGUCCUGCCUUUGUUCUUUGUUUUUCAUUUAUUUAUAGGUAACUUGCUCAAGUCCAAAGGCAAUUAAACAUGAUUAGUAAAGCACCAUAAUAAAGCAUGAGAGAUAUCUAUUUUAAUUAAAUCCGUUGUGGGCUCACUGUGAUUGUACAUCAUCAUCAUCAUAAAUAAUGCAUGCUUGAACCCCAUUUUAGUUUCAUGCCUAUCAUGAUUAAAUCAUGGAUGGUCAAGAAGCAUAGGACUGAGAAAUCAGAGCCUAGUUUCCAAUACCAAAAGAGUACAAAUUAUUCAACUUAAACGCUAAUUUCGUUAACGAAGAUUAAAAUAGGCGUGAAAUCCAUACAAUUUAUACGUUACCAUUGAUUCAAGUUCUGGUAGGUAUCCAUGAAAACUAUCCGUUGCCGCUCUCUCAGUUCCCAUAUUUUCUGUAUAUUCCAUUAAAACAAUAUAAAUUUUUGAUGCUGAAGCUAAAACAGAUUACCAAUAAUAACAAAGAGGUCUAAAUAAUAGAAAUCAAAUUUUUUAUUUUUGCGGACUUUAGAGAAUCCCUGCAAACUUUAGCCUAACAUUAUGUGAUUGCCUCACUUCUUCAGUAACUCAGAGGAGGUGAAUUACUCAAAGUAUGGAGGACUUCUGCUAACAUAUUUCAAGCACUUGUAACAUUAAAUGUAAUGACAGGUUGACAUUAUUUUUUUUUUAAUUUUUUUUUUUGUAAAGAAUUGUUGCAAGAAGUUUGACCCUUUGUCUUUUUAUUUCUGUAAGGAUUUAUAGGUACAUAUAAAAUCCAUAUUAUAUAUGGUUCACAGAUGAGAGUACUUCAAACACCAAAUAUUCAUUCAUGAUUGGAGAUAAGAAAGCUUACUAAAAGGCAAUCGCCUUUGUGAUGUUUACUUUUGUGCUUAUCCUUUGUCUUCUUUUCUGAGGCAAAAUAUGUCAAUGUGAUAAGUAAUUUCCCAUAAAGAAUCUCAUCCUCAAUAGGCUAAACAACUACAAUGGUUAGUCAAAUAAUGUACUUUCAUGUAGUUAAUCUCCUCGGUUUGUGUUUACUUUUUCAAUAUCAAAACAUCUCGAAGAAACAACGUUUUCCCAUACUCUACAAACACCGAAUGUGCCCGAUAAACCACUAACAACGCCAUUACUCUAAUUCGACUGCAGAGUGAGAGUUAAGAUAAGAAGAUACUCACAGGUCAAAACGGAUGACAUCACCAACACGUAAAUCCAAAAGCCACAACCAAAUUUAAUUUUGUUUUUACUUUGAUUUUUUUUUUCUUGAAUCUGUUUGGAUGCUGAGAACGUGUGGUAUGGGAUUAUUAAUUACCGGCAGGGAAAGAUGACGAUUUCUCCUAUUUGGAUUUGCAGGUGGAGGAAUCAUAGCCGAGGGAUUGCAGUCCGUCGGUGACCAUCUUCCUCAAAUCGUCUUUUUGUUUGAGAUUCUUGUUUGCUUCGACGAUCCUCACCGUAUCGGCCAGGAGGUUUCUCUCCGAGACGCUCACGCAUGGAAUCAGACUCUGAUUAAACAAUAAUUAAGCAAACAAUCAAUCAUCCAUAUGCAUAUUCUGUGUUUGGUUGCCAAGAAACCGCGAGAAAUGCAAAAACAAUUUACUAAUAAAAAAGUUUAAUCAAAGCAACCAUUAUUUAUACUUUUGUACCUUAAGAAUAUCUGAGGCGUCGCCACCGAACAAACCGGAGGAGAUUGAAUCACCGAAACCUCCACCGAAUAUAUCGAGCUCGUCGUCGGAGCUGUCAUUGCUGUUGCCGUGAAAGCAAUUGCAGCGGUUCCGUCCACAUUUCGGCGGAGGUUGCUUCUCGUUGCUUUCUUCGAUGAAAUUCUGAACCAUCUUCGCCAAGCAGACCGAACUUGGCUUGAACUCAGGCCGCGGCGCUGACGGUCCCUUCAUCCUUGCUGAUAUUGAGGCCGCAGGAGUGGCGAGUUGUGAUGUGGACUCAGGCCUCUUGGCCUCUGGGUUUUACGGAGAAGGGGAAGACGGUGAGGGUUGAGAGAGAUGCAGAGUCUGAAAGAGAGUGAAAGAGAAAGGGUUAUAAGAGAGGUUGGGUGUGACAGAGACGAUUGAAGCAAAACGCACGAUGAUAAACGCGUGUGCUCGGUUCAGAAUGGCAAGCCCGUAAAUACCCAAUGACAGAUUUGUAAAUAAAAUGAAAUUCACUUCAAAAUACUGUUCAUUUUAAUAGUGCCAAUUGAAAACCUUACUUUAGACUAAAGUAACUAGAAAUUAUGCAUGCGCGUUGCUACUAGAAUCAGCUGUUUCAAACGUAAUUGGAUGGACAUAACACAUUUAAGUUGAAUAAAUUCAAAACAAUUACGAACAAACAGAAGGAUACAUGAGUGCAUGAGACCGGUAAGAUCAGUAGUUUCGUUUUUGUACACUUGUAAGUGAGUUGACAUAUAAACACAUUGCACAAUGAGUGAGAAUAAACUAUACGUGUUUGAAACUUCAUUUUAAACUAACAUUCACACAAUCCUAAUCAUUUGUGAAUUACCAUAUUCUUAUCAUUAUUCCAAUAUCUCUUCAUGUAGAUGGGGUGAGCUCAUACCAGUCAUUAAGGGCAUGUUUGAUACUCUACUUGAAUUCAACUUUUUAAAUUAAAAAAAAAAAAAUUCAAAUUUUAAGCCUUAAAAACUUGUUUGGUAAGAUUAUUUUCAAAAAUUGAACUUAAGAUUAACUCAAAACUAUAGUUUACUCUCUAAAAACACAAAAAGUAAAUUUUUAGAAUUUUUAAACUUAAACUCACUCAUUUCUUUUCUCUCCCUCCUCUCACUCCAAAUCUAUCUCUCUUUUCUUCUUUCUAUGUCCCCCUUCUUUUUUUUUUUUUACCUUUUUCGUCCCUCCUCCAAUCCGCUCUCUUUAUUAUCUCGAUUCUUUCUUUCACUUCUCUUCCUCCCUAUCUCCUCCGAUCCUCUCUUCUUUCUCUUUCCUUUAAUCACGUCUUAUUUUCUUUCCUCCUCUUUCCUCUUUCUCCCUCGACCCCCUCUUUUUGGAUCUCUUUGUCCAGUUUAAGUUGUAAGAUUUAAAAAUUUUAAAUCACAUACCAAACAAGUUUUGUAGUCUUAAAUAAAAUUAUUUUCAAGAAAAAUUCCUAAGAAAUGUUUUGAGAAAUGAUAAAAAAUUUCAAAUAGGAUAUCAAACAAGCAUUAAAAUUGCUAAUGUAUUUAGUGAUUAUACAGAGCAACUUAACUAUAGAAACGCUCCUCAAAUCACUCUAUACGUUUCCAUUUUGCUUUUCAAAUUAGCAUGUUUAUGUAUUGACAUUAGAAACAGCGGAAAAUACUUUUUACAUUCACCUCUUUCAGACCCUGCGUAAAGCGGGAGCCUUGUGCACUGAGUACGACCUUUAUGCAUUGACAUUAGAGAAAACGAGAAUGCUGAUGAAAAUUGGAUUAUUAGAGGUUAAACGGCAGCGAACCAUUCGGUGUUGAUAAUGAAUACGAAGAUGUGCGAUUUCACGUGAAUGCUGCUUGGAAGGCUAUGAAGUUUCUUGCACUGCUUUAGACUCAAACUCUCAAGGUUUUCAAGAGAUGAAAUUGAUGGGCAAAGGUCUUCAACAGAUAUCUCAUCCAAGCGAAGCUCUCUUAAUCCUUCCAGAUCUCCGACAUUUCCUGGAAAGCCCUUGAGCUUUGGACAACCAGAAAGAUUAAGAAAUUGCAGGGACUUGAGUUGAACAAAGCUGUUUGGAAGAAUCUCAAGUUCUCUGCAAUAUUCAAGAUUCAAAGUAACAAGCCCUGUAAGAUUGUUAAUUGAUCGAGGCAGUUCUUUUAUUGCAGUCCCUUGAAAAUAAAGCUUUGAAAGCUUCUCCAUAACUUCUGAAAUCUCUGGAAACUUCCCAAGUAUUGAACAAAAAGAGAGAUCAAGGGUUUCAAGAGAUUUCAUACUAAUGUUGCUUGAAAAGGUCUUGAGUUUGCCGCACCAACUUAGAUCCAAGAGGACAAGUUUUUCAAGGGCAGAAAUGGAUGGGUGAACCUCAUACAAACUUGUGCAUCUACCAAGAAUUAGCUUCUCAAGAUUCUUUGCCUCAGUGAAGUCAGGUGUUUCCUUAAGACGAUGAGAGCCUUUUAAAUUGAUAAUUUUCAACUUUCCCAGAGGCUGUCAAUAUACAAGGAAAAUAUGUGUUACCCACAUAAUAAGGCAAUUAAAAACUAAAGCAUUUAAAAGCAGUAUAUAGGCAAAUGAUGAAUGUACCUUAGUUCCUUUCCAGAGGUGUUCGACCCAACUAUGUUGCAUGUCAAUUUCAACAAGAUUCUCGGGGUUAAAAUUGGACGAUAAAGACUUUAGGGGACAAUUGUGCCAGAACAGAUAACUUAGUUUUUCAGAGAAACUUUAGAUCCUUGUAUUUCCAUUGACCAUAUGGCAUGUUCAGUGGUAGAAUAUUGUGGGUAUGGACUCUGAGUAGCCUUAGUUUUGUCAUUUUAAGAAAAGCGGUAUCUAAUUCCACCACAUUGUCUGAGUGUGGCCAAUGCACAAUUAUGCUUUCAACUGCUUCAGUAGCCUGGAUUACCAAAAUUGCACAUUGAAUGAGUACAAACUUAAGAUUAUAACGCCUAAUGCACAUGUUUCUCAUGAAUUGGAUUUUGGUCAAAGUUGAAGCUUUAUACUUUUUCUUAUUAGUAUUUUUUGAAUUUACUAAUAUUAAUGGGAGAAAGAAGAUUCGAAGCAAUUACAUUAAUGGAGGGGAGGGGAGGGGAGUGCAUUUCUCACCGUUUUUUUAGUUAACACAUGACGGACAUCUUCAUCGCUCCACAACCUACUGCAACUCCCAGGCUCUUCUAUAGAUUUCUCGCGUACGAUUUCGCGACCCAUUUCCUCUAGUAAAUCAUGCAUCUCGAGUACACCAUCAGAUGAGAUAGUGACAAGAGCUCUACCAACUAGAACGUCUAAUCCGGUAUGGGGAUGGAAGCCACAACCCUCCAUAAUCCUUGUUGCAAAGUCUUUCUUCAUUUGUUUAAAGAAACAUGCAAUAUCAAGAAAUAUUUCCUUCUGAUAUCUAUCUAGUCCAUCAAAGCUUGUUCUAAGCAUUUCCUGGAUUCCCGGGUUCGGAUUUCUGGCUAUUUUCUUUAACUCAUCUGUCCACGCACGUUCACUUUUGUUUUCGAGAAAUGCUCCCAAGACUUUGAGUGCUAAAGGCAAACCUUGAGCAUAUUUUGUGAAAUGGCCUGACAGAUCAAUGUAUUCUUCUGUGGGUUGCUUUCUACUAAAAGCAUACUGCAUAAACAGCUUGAGAGCAUCAUUGUUGUUUAAAAACUCGGGCUCAUAUAUCUCAUCACCAAGUCUGCUUAGUGACUGUUUAUCUCUAGUUGUUAUAAUGAUUCGACUUCCGCCACCAAAUGAAGGUUGCUUUCCAAUUAAGGCUUCAAUUUGGGAUGAACUCUCCACAUUAUCCACAACAACAACAACAACAACAAAGCCUUUUCCCACUAAGUGGGGUCGGCUAUAUGAAUCCUAGAACGCCAUUGCGCUCGGUUUUGUGUCAUGUCAUCCGUUAGAUCCAAGUACUCUAAGUCUUUUCUUAGAGUCUCUUCCAAAGUUUUCCUAGGUCUUCCUCUACCCCUUCGGCCCUGAACCUCUGUCCCGUAGUCACAUCUUCAAACCGGAGCGUCAGUCAGCCUUCUUUGCACAUGUCCAAAUCACCGGAGCCGAUUUUCUCUCAUCUUUCCUACAAUUUCGGCUACUCCUACUUUACCUCGGAUAUCCUCAUUCCCAAUCUUAUCCUUUCUCGUGUGCCCACACAUCCCACGAAGCAUCCUCAUCUCCGCUACACCCAUUUUGUGUGUACGUGUUGAUGCUUCACCGCCCAACAUUCUGUGCCAUACAACAUCGCUGGCCUUAUUGCCAUCCUAUAAAAUUUUCCCUUGAGCUUCAGUGGCCUACGACGGUCACACAACACGCCGGAUGCGCUCUUACACUUCAUCCAUCCAGCUCGUAUUCUAUGGUUGAGAUUUCCAUCUAAUUCUCCGUUCUCUUGCAAGAUAGAUCCUAGGUAGCGAAAACGGUCGCUUUUUGUGAUCUUCGCUAGAUUGCUCCGGUCAUUAGUGUGGAUAAGUAUAUAUAAAUGGAUAGAGAUAGGAAAGCAAACACAAGAUGUACGUGGUUCACCCAGAUUGGCUACGUCCACGGAAUAGAAGAGUUCUCAUUAAUUGUGAAGGGUUUACACAAGUACAUAGGUUCAAGCUCUCCUUUAGUGAGUACAAGUGAAUGAUUUAGUACAAAUGACAUUAGGAAAUAUUGUGGGGGAGAAUGAUCUCGUAAUCACGAAACUUCUAAGUAUCGGAGUGUGGUGUCGUCUUGACUUGCCUUAUCUGUCUCAUAGGUAGAUGUGGCAUCUUCUCUGGAAGUACUUUUUCCUCCAUCCAGGGGUGGUAUCUUUAACUGGUGGAGAUGCACAAGGUAAUGUAUCAAUUUCACUUGAAGCUUACUUGUAGUUUCAGGCUUGGUCAAGCGCGAUACAAACCAUGUAGUAGGAGUCCCCCAAGUCGCCGAGCUAGGGGGUCUGCUGAAAGAGGUGACAGACAAGGUAAGCAAUCAGAGCUCCGACUGAUUGUUCACCUUCUCCCCAUCUUGCAGCAGCAUGAAGGAUAAAGAGAAGAAAAAUGAGAAGAGAUGAUAUGAGAUACUUUUGCUUUUGAAGAAGUAACUUUUCCACAGGCUUAUUCUUGAACUGAGCUGGAGGGUUUUCUGGUUUCCUCCAGAGUAUAAGGCCGACUGAAGAAUUUGAGGGUCAAAACAAGUCCAUCAAAUCUAGAGUACGUUCCACCCUGCUGAUAUGGGAUACUUUUGCUUUUGACAGAGUAAUGGAUGUAUCGGCACGUGUGCUGUUACGCUUGUCUCCACAUGCUUCCUUGUAUCCUUCGCACUUGCCCUAUCUGUUCCUCAAGCAGAUGCGGAAUCUUCCCUGGAAACAUAAGAUGUUGAAGAUGAGUACUCGAGAGCAAUGCCAGGUAAGUAAUCAGGUAAGGGGUUCCAGGCAGUCAGUUCCUGGCUGGAAGCUUGAUUCCAAGUGCUGACUGAUUGCUCUCUUUCUCCUUGUCUUGCAGGUAAAAACAAGGCCAAAGGAAAAGACAGGGAAAAAGCAUGAUAUGGGAUACUCUUGCUUUUAACCCUGAUGAUAUGAGAUAUUCUUGCUCUAGUAUAGCUUGUUUGCAGAGGUAUUAUCGGGGGGAAAGAAAGCUGAAUAUUUCGAAAGGCUUCGUUGGGAGUGCCCUCUCAGAUAUGAUGAAGGGUUGAGCAUUUUUGCAGGUCUGCCUGUCCGUUGGGGAUGGAGGUCGACAUAUAUAGGAGUCUCCCUAACAACAAGUAGUAAUGCUAUUCCUUUACCCUGCUUGGUCAUAGCACGGUAGUGGGAGCUGCCAGUUUCACAUGUUUUAACUCUGUCAGAGCACUUUGAAAAAGUGGUCUGUGGUAUCUGGCUCUCGAGAUUCGGAGAACGAUGCCUCUUCGAUUUUUGAGAAAGCAAUCAUGCUGGGGGUCUGGCUCUCGAGAUUCGGAGAGCAGUGUCUCUUCGAUUUUUGAGGAAGUAAUCAUGUUGGGAGUCUGGCUCUCGAGAUUCGGAGGGCGGUGCCUCUUCGAUUUUGGAGCAAGCAAUCUUGUUGGGAGUGUUGUCUCGAAUGUGAGUAAAGGUUGGGCAUGUUUGCUAGUCUACCUUGCCACGAAGCACAAAGGUUGACACACAGGGACUUUCCAAUUAUCCAGCAAUGGUACUGUUCCUUUACCCUCUCUUCGAUUUUGAGAAAGUAGUCAUGUUGGGAGUCUGGCUCUCGAGAUUCGGAGGACGGUGCCUCUUCGAUUUUGGAGCAAGCAAUCUUGUUGGGAGUGUUUUCUCGAAUGUGAGUAAAGGUUGGGCAUGUUUGCUAGUCUACCUUGCCACGAAGCACAGAGGUUGACACACAGGGACUUUCCAAUUAUCCAGCAGUGGUACUGUUCCUUUACCCUUGUGGGUAAUAAUAUGGUAGCUAGACCUUCAAAAUUUAUGUGUCUAAACUUUGUUAGUGCUGUUUCUUUGCUAUUCUUUUACCUUUCUUGGUCAGAGCGAUGUAGUGGGAGCUGCAAGCUUCACGUGCUCAACUUUGGCAGAGAACUUUGGCAAAGUUAUCUGUGGUACCCAUGAGCUAUUGUUGCGUGUGGGAAGUGGGUGAUUGAACAGUAAGAUUCAUGUGCUUUCUACUUCACCAGAAGUCUUCGACAGAAUGCCCAUAAUUUCUGCAAAGCUGAGUGUGCGUGUGACAGGUGCUGACAAGGCUAGAAAAGUAGGUGCCUCUUCGAUUUCUGAGAUCGGCCCUCGUGGUCUCUGAGCAGCCCAGCUUUUGAGAAAGCGAGCGCCUCUUCGAUUGAUUCGGAGAACGAUGCCUCAUCGAUUUUUGAGAAAGCAAUCAUGCUGGGGGUCUGGCUCUCGAAGAUUCGGGGAGCAGUGUCUCUUCGAUUUUUGAGAAAGUAAUCAUGUUGGGAGUCUGGCUCUCGAGAUUCGGAGGGCGGUGCCUCUUCGAUUUUGGAGCAAGCAAUCUUGUUGGGAGUGUUUUUCUCGAAUGUGAGUAAAGGUUGGGCAUGUUUGCUAGUCUACCUUGCCACGAAGCACAGAGGUUGACACACAGGGACUUUCCAAUUAUCCAGCAAUGGUACUGUUCCUUUACCCUCUCUCUUCGAUUUUUAAGAAAGUAGUCAUGUUGGGAGUCUGGCUCUCGAGAUUCGGAGGACGGUGCCUCUUCGAUUUUGGAGCAAGCAAUCUUAUUGGGAGUGUUUUCUCGAAUGUGAGUAAAGGUUGGGCAUGUUUGCUAGUCUACCUUGCCACGAAGCACAGAGGUUGACACACAGGGACUUUCCAAUUAUCCAGCAGUGGUACUGUUCCUUUACCCUUGUGGGUAAUAAUAUGGUAGCUAGACCUUCAAAAUUUAUGGGUCUAAACUUUGUUAGUGCUGUUUCUUUGCUAUUCUUUUACCCUUCUUGGUCAGAGCGAUGUAGUGGGAGCUGCAAGCUUCACGUGCUCAACUUUGGCAGAGAACUUUGGCAAAGUUAUCUGUGGUACCCAUGAGCUAUUGUUGCGUGUGGGAAGUGGGUGAUUGAACAGUAAGAUUCAUGUGUUUUCUACUUCCCCAGAAGUCUUCGACAGAAUGCCCAUAAUUUCCGCAAAGCUGAGUGUGCGUGUGACAGGUGCUGACAAGGCUGGAAAAGUAGGUGCCUCUUCGAUUUCUGAGAUCGGCCCUCGUGGUCUCUGGGGAGCCCAGCUUUUGAGAAAGCGAGCGCCUCUUCGAUUUCUGAGAUCGGCCUUCGUGGUCUUUGAGCAGCCCAACUUUUGAGAAAGCAAACGCCUCUUCGAUUUCUGAGAUCAACCCUCGUGAUCUCUAAGCAGCCCAGCUUUUGAGAAAGCAAACGCCUCUUCGAUUUCUGAGCAGGCGCCUCUUCGAUUUCUGAAGCUCCGUCGAGUGCAGAUUUUUAUAUAGGGGCUGGCAUUAAGUUCCAAAGCACACUUGAAUCUCCACCAGUAGAAGCUUCAUUCUUGCACUUCUAAGAUCUUGAUUUGUCCGACCUCUUCUCUCUUCAACACCUUUGAAAAUGUCUGGCCCCUCCGACCGUCGUUUUGACUUGAACCUUGUUGAAGAGGCAGCCCCGCCUUCUCCAGACAACAUAUGGCGCCCAUCCUUCGUCUCCCCUACUGGUCCUCUUACCGUUGGGGAUUCCGUGAUGAAGAAUGAUAUGACCGCUGCGGUGGUGGCCAGGAACCUUCUCACUCCCAAAGAUAACAGACUACUUUCCAAACGGUCUGAUGAGUUAGCUGUUAAGGAUUCGCUGGCUCUCAGUGUUCAGUGUGCAGGUUCUGUGUCUAAUAUGGCCCAACGCCUAUUUGCUCGAACCCGCCAAGUUGAAUCAUUGGCGGCUGAAGUGAUGAGUCUCAAACAGGAGAUUAGAGGGCUCAAGCAUGAGAAUAAACAGUUGCACCGGCUCGCACAUGACUAUGCUACAAACAUGAAGAGGAAGCUUGACCAGAUGAAGGAAACUGAUGGUCAGGUUUUACUUGAUCAUCAGAGAUUUGUGGGUUUGUUCCAAAGGCAUUUAUUGCCUUCGUCUUCUGGGGCUGUACCGCGUAAUGAAGCUCCAAAUGAUCAACCUCUGAUGCCUCCUCCUUCUAGGGUUCUGUCCAGUACUGAGGCUCCAAAUGAUCCCCCUCCGGUGCCUUCUCUUUCUGGGGCUCUACCGACUGCUGAGACUUCUCCUAAGCAACCUUUGUGAAGGCUCCCUCUUGUGUGUUUAUUUUGACUCAUGUAUAUGUACAUAUUUGUAGCUUAUCGGGGAUAUCAAUAAAUAAGCUUUCCUUCAUUUCAACGUAUUGUGUUAAAUACACCAAAGCCUUCUUCGCUAAGUUCUUUGAAUUUUCUUUUGUUGAAGCUUGUAUGUUGAAGCUUUCUGAGUGGAGCAUGUAGGUUGGGGUAGUGUUCCCUUAAUUUCCCGAGUGAGGAAAACUUCUCGGUUGGAGACUUGGAAAAUCCAAGUCACUGAGUGGGAUCGGCUAUAUGAAUCUUAGAACGCCAUUGUGCUCGAUCCUGUGUCAUGUCCUUCGUUAGAUCCAAGUACUCUAAGUCUUUUCUUAGAGUCUCUUCCAAAGUUUUCCUAGGUCUUCCUCUACCCCUUCGGCCCUGAACCUCUGUCCCAUAGUCGCAUCUUCUAAUCGGAGCGUCAGUAGGCCUUCUUUGCACAUGUCCAAACCACCGUAACCGAUUUUCUCUCAUCUUUCCUUCAAUUUCGGCUACUCCUACUUUACCCCGGAUAUCCUCAUUCCUAAUCUUAUCCUUUCUCGUGUGCCCACACAUCCAACGAAGCAUCCUCAUCUCCGCUACACCCAUUUUGUGUACGUGUUGAUGUUUCACCGCCCAACAUUCUGUGCCAUACAGCAUCGCCGGCCUUAUUGCCGUCCUAUAAAAUUUUCCCUUGAGCUUCAGUGGCAUACGGCGGUCACACAACACGCCGGAUGCACUCUUCCACUUCAUCCAUCCAGCUUGUAUUCUAUGGUUGAGAUCUCCAUCUAAUUCUCCGUUCUUUUGCAAGAUAGAUCCUAGGUAACGAAAACGGUCGCUCUUUGGCAUUUCUUGAUCUCCGAUCCUCACCCCUAACUCGUUUUGGCCUCCAUUUGCACUGAACUUGCACUCCAUAUAUUCUGUCUUUGAUCGGCUUAGGCGAAGACCUUUAGAUUCCAACACUUCUCUCCAAAGGUUAAGCUUUGCAUUUACCCCUUCCUGAGUUUCAUCUAUCAACACUAUAUCGUCUGCGAAAAACAUACACCAAGGAAUAUCAUCUUGAAUAUGGGGUAUGGGCGGUAUAAACUAUUUUAAAAUGUAAAAUAUAAAAUAUAAAAUUAAUAAAUAAUAAUUAAUAAAAAUUGACUGUAUUAUGUACGAUGAAUAAUUACGAUCACGGAAUCCCUAGGAUCCCAAAAGAAAAAUUCGGUGAGAAUCCUUUUCCAGAAUUUUUAAUCCAACCGUUUCUUGUGUUAAAUUUAUCCCAAAAAUUAGUUUUGACCAAAAAUUGAUUUUUAGUCCAAGGGUUGGAGCAAAUUGAGAGAGUUAAAAAACUAAAAUUUAAGCUAAAGUCCAAAGAUUUGAGUUAGUCUAACAAAUACAAAUGAGAGAAAGUAACAUUCAUAUUUUAUUGCGGCUUUUAAUUUUUAUUUAAAAUGGUAUCUAAACUUGGUAUAAUUACUUACUUUUAAAAUUGAUAAAAAUGGUCUUUGAGAUUGUCUACCAUCAAUCAUUUUGGUCAUUCUGUGAAAAAUCUUAAUUAAAUUAGAGGUAUUUUUAUCAAUACCUUUGAAUUGAUGAUUUCUUCAAUUUAAUGAAAUAUUUUCACAAAUCAUGGUGCAUAUUAUUGGUGGUCCUAAGCUCCUUUAUAUGUGUAGCGUAUGCUUAUGUCAUGAUCUUUCUGCUUCUACUAAAUAUCAGAUGAUUUUGUUUUUACUAUUUGUUUUACUUUGUACAUGGGGUGGCUUUUAGGUUCCCCUGUUGUCUUACUUGCUAUGUUAUUUCCUCAACAAGGUUUGCUUUUAUGUUUCCCUCAUUUGUAAAUUUCCUUUUUUUUUGUUUUUACUUUAAUAUGAUAAUGGGAUGCUCGGUGAGCACUAUUACCCCAUGAUUUUCACGCAUGCACACAAAAAAAAAAAAAUUUAUCGUCACAACUAGCAUAUUUAUCAAAAUACUCGAAAAGUUAGAGUUUCUAGUCACAACUAACAUUGCCAUAUAGUCAAAAUGCUCAAAGUAUAGAAAAGAAAUAUAAAGAAGAUAUCAAGUUAGAUCAGUUACAUAGAGAGAGUCAUUCCCAUGGGAUUGCAUGAUUUCUCUAUCAUUGCAAUGUAUUUUUCAUAAAACUUCCUUUUCAUGAUUAGGGACUACGAUCCUUGGUGCUAUAAAUUCAGCAGUUGACUCAAGCACAGAAGUUAUCUACAGUGAGAAUCCUGAUGGUAAUUUUGUAAAGUCAAACAACUUUGCAUAUGCCAUUGUUGUGGUUGGCGAGUACCCUAUGCUGGGACUGCGGGAGACAGCCCAAACCUUACGAUGGCGGAACCUGGCCCAAGUGUCAUCAGCAAUGUGUGUGAAAGUGUAAUGUGCAUUGUUACCAUAAUAACUGGAAAACCUAUUGUAAUAGAACCAUACUAGAAAUUACGCCCGUUGUUGCGGAAACCAACUGUUACAGGCGUAAUCGAAUUAAUAAAACACAUUUAAGUUGAAUAAGAAUGUCCCCAUGAUUAGUCUUCUCGUUUAUUUUUCACAAACCAAUCACAUAUUAAAAAUCCAAGUACGAAAGCUUUGCAAAGAUAAAUAAAAAAUUUAUAUAACUAAUUAGACUUUGAACAUGCAAUCAAGGCACAUACUCGUAUACCUAAAAAUAGCAAGGAACCGGCUUCUUCCUCCCACAACCAGAGUUCCUGAAAUUUCCAAAGAAAGUAAAUCCGUUAGCAAUUCAGAGAAAUUGGAAGACCAAAUCGUAUUACAUUUGAGUUAAAUGAGCAAAGGUAAACCAAUUAAAUGAGAUACUAAACACAUUUCGAAUCUAUGAAAUAGAAGAAUAAUCAUGUUAGGACUCCCAAGAUGGUGUCCUAAGCACAAAAUUAUAGGUUAAGAAAGGUAAAUCCCAAUCCAAAGCUCCAACCUUUUAACUGAAAAUGAAACAAAAAAGCAUGGAUCAUAUAUUUCAGUUUUAUUAUUAGAUUUUCUAAAUCCCCAAUUUGAAUGUGUUGUAAAGACCUGCUAAAGAUAAUACCACCAACUAAGGGUGGCAAUCUGACCAGCGUUGUGCAUGUCAUGUCGACUCUAUGCAACUUAAUAUAUAACAUUUAAGCAGCAUUAGACGGUCUCCUAAGCAUCUACAAACCAUUUAACAUUAUUUCCCCAAUUUUAUUUCCCAAUUUUAUCAAAUGCUGCAUAAACGAUCACAAUUUACUCCCUUACAAUUUCCACCUAACUCCGAACAAACAAUAUUGAUAAAUCUUUAUCAUCACCUUUAACGAAACAGAUUACAGCGAAAAGAAAAAAAAAGUUACUAUGAAAUCAAAUUCUUCUAGAUGUCCAACCUAACCCAUCUAUGGGAAGGCAAGCAAUCGGACGUGCAUUUAGACCAAGCAAAAUAAAUUUUACAAUUUAUCAAAACAGCAACUGAUUCUCCCAAAGAGAACACAACAUACCAACAUAUUAUUCACCAUAUUCUAAGCUUUCAUUUUCGUUCUAUCUCUUUCGUUAUCUAAACUUAUAGUUAUCAAAACAGCAAUAAAAUCAUAGACAAACCUUCAAUCAUUUAUCAAAACUGAAUUAAUUAAACUUCUGCUCCGCAGUCCGUUAAUUUUAAUUGCAACUCUCAUUCUAAAAAUUUAAAAUUUUGCAUUGAAUAAUCAAACGCACUUGCACGUUACAUUCCUUUUAUUGGUUCUUGACAUAAUACAUUUUAGGAUUGAUGUAAUAAUAUCACUACAAACAUGAAUUGCGAUAGAUAUAGAAACCAAACUUGCACACAAAUGUUUGACUGAAUUCAGAACCACUUAAUUCAACAUAAAAAAUUACCUCACAUGCUUGCUCCCCUUCUGCUCUCGCAUCGUCGGCUCCGCUACUAAACGAUUAAUGAAGUCCCAAAGCAAAAACAGAACAAAAAACAUUUACCAAUCCAACAUUUCAACACAUGGUUUUGGCAGGUAUAACAUUUCAACAUAAGCAUGAUAUAGAAAGAAAGAAAUCCACAUGUCACUUUGUUUUUUCAGAAUCAACAAAAAGGGCAACUAGAAGAGAAUGUAACCAAUUUUAAAGAGUAAAUCAGUCUCCCAAUAAAGGAGAACAAUGCUGGCGGUAGACCAAGAGUAAGUACAACCCGACUGCAGCAACAAAAACACAAUUGACUUUCACACUACAGAAAUAAAUAAUAAAAAAACACAUACCUGCACCCAAUGCAUUGUUUUUUUUUUCCUCUGCAGUAUAAGAAUAAAAAAGAAUAACAUUCCCCUGAAACCAAAUUCAUCCCCCAAUUUCUUGCAACAAAGAGGGAGACCAACCUUGUGUUCUUGGAGAACAGUAUAACAAUUAGACACAAUCAGACUAAUCCAAGUUCCCACUAUGAUAAUGAAAAAUUAAAAUUAAUAAAAUAGCUCAAAUCAUAUCACAGUAUGUCACAAAGUACACCAUUUGAUAACCAAUAAAUUUAACAAAAAUAGAUUCAAUAGUCUAUAUCAAUUAAUCAAUAGUCUAAAGUAUGAAAAAAAUUGAUUUCAAAGCCUUCCUUAGGAACUUCACAACGUAUCAACAGACAUUAUGAUAUCGAUGAUGGUAUCCAUGAAACCCCAAGCUGCAAGCAAAUACUGCCUUUGGAAAUUUUCAAUAUAAAUGGUUUUGCAAACCAGCCACUAAUGAAACAUCUAAUUUCAAACAAAUAAUAAAAGCUUUCUUUAACUGACACAUUAUCCUUCUUCUUUCCUCCCAUUUACUUCCCACCCUCCCUAUUAAUCCCUCCAUUUUGAAACUCCUAUAUUCUUCCUAUUCUGUACAAAACCUGCCAAAUCAUUUCCUCACUUCUCAAAACCCAAAUAAUCACUUAAAAUGCACAAAAUUACAAUUAAAUCAAUAUUACAUUACACAAAAUGACAUUCAAAACCACAAUACACUAAAACCAAGCGUGAAUUCUACACCCUCAAUAAGUGGAAGCAUUCGUACCUCAAAUGAAUUUGCAACUUAAUUUUUUGCUGAAAAACCUUGACCUACAAAACCAAAUUACAUUUAGGGUAAAUUACAAAAAAUUAUCUCAACUAUUGGUGGCACGACACUUUCAUACCUCAUCUUUUAAAAUUGACAAUGUCAUACCUCAUUUUACGAAUUUAUGCCAACGUUAUACCUUCCGUUAGCUUGGCAUAAAUUUCUCAGUUAAAUGUUGAUGUGGCUUGAUCUGGGGCCCAUUUUCUGUUAAAAAAAUUAUUAAAAACUAAAAAAAAUCAUUUAAUUUUUUUUAAAUAUUAAAAUAAUAAAGAAAAGUUAUAUAAAAUAAAAAAAUAAAAAAACCAACCAACACCCAGUUCGUCCCCUUCCCCCCCCUUUCUCUCUCCUCCCCAUCUUCAUCUUCUUCCCCCUUCUUGCAACUGCAACCCAGAAAAAAGAAGAGAAAAAAAAAACCAAUUUGUCUUCCCCACACCCACUCUCCGCACCCAUCUUCAUCUUCUUCCCCCUUCCAAUUGCAACCCAGAAAAAAAAAAAAAAAAAAAAAAAACCAAUUUGUCAAUUUUUUUUUUCUUCCUCCUUUCUGGGUUGCAGGAAGAUGGGGAAGAGAGAAGGGGGAGGGACAAACUGACCUAAGGUUUUAUUUUAUUUUAUUUUUAUUUACUUUUCUUUAUUAUUUUAAUAUUUAAAAAAUACUAAAUAAUUUUUUAAUAGAAAGUGGGCCCCGAUUCAAGCCACGUUAGCAUUUAACUGAAAAAUUCAUGGUCAAGUAACGGAAGGUAUAACAUUGGCACAAAUUCGUAAGAUGAGGUAUGACAUUAUCAAUUUUAAAAGAUGAGAUAUGAAAGUGUCGUGACACCAAUAGUUGAGUUAGUUUUUUGUAAUUUACCCUUACAUUUAUCAACAAAAAGGAAUCAAUGUAAGAAAGCAAACACAAUACAGAAAAAAUGGCCAUUCAAGUCAGCUCUAUUUAGAUUAUAAUAACUCUCAAUUUAAGAAAGCAAAUGCAAUACAGAAAGCAAAUAUAAUCCAAAUUACCUUGAACACCACCAUCAUAUUUUUACUCCGUUACGUAUACAUGUCCUUUUCUUUCUAGAUAAACUUUAUUUCUUUGAAGUUUCUGCAGGGUGCAUUCCAAUUUAACCCUUUAAAUGUUUGUAUAAAACUUAGGGUGCGAUGGCAAGUGCCUUCGCCCAUAAACGGUAGAUCUCGGGUUCGAGACUUGGGAGCAGCCUCUCCAUAAAUGGGGAUAAGGCUAGCCGACAUUCACCUCUCUCAGACCCUGCGUAAAGCGGGAGCCUUGUGCACUGGGUACGACCUUUAUAUUCUCGCCUGCUUGCAAGUCAACUAAGUCAACUAUUCAACCUUCACAUAUUGUUUAUUAGUUUUCUUGAUACUAAUGUAUGGAAAGGGCUUAAAUCCUUCAAUGUAUGGAAAGGGCUUAAAUCCUUCAAUUAUGGAUAUACUAAUGUAUAAUCCUUUGUUCUAGACCAAUUUUGUUCUUAGUUCUUAGUUUUCUUGAUACAAACUUUUUUUUUUGUAUUAAUAUAAAUUUGUUUGCACCAAGGGAUGGGGUGGGAACAUAUCUUGAAAUAUGGCCACGUCCACAUUUGCAGCUGAAGAACACUUCAAUAUAAGUUUAAUUUGGUGCAACUUUAGGUUUAAUUUGGGUAUGUUCCACCACUUAAAAUUUGCAAUACUAAUUUUGAACAAUGAAUAAGAAAAUUCUACCAAGAGAGAGUAAAAUAGUAAAUCAACUUAAUUUCUGUAAAAAAAAAAAAAAAAACUUGCAAAAAUUUCAUGAAAUUUUGGUAAAAACGGAAAAGAAAAGGGUUAAGACAAUCAAGACUAAUGGAAAAUUUGAUAUUGUUUUAACAUUAACUUAGGUUGAUUUUGUUCACCAGCAUUAAUAAAACGAAUGACUUUAACUUGGGCAAGCAAACAAUUAAAUUAGACGUAAGCCAAGUAACUUAGAAGUUAACCAUAUGAAAAAAGGAAAACUAAUGAAAAAAGCUUGAAAACUUUGAGUUUUAAUGAUAAGGACAAAAUAAAGGGUAAAGUGAAUAGUACCAUGAUUGACUUUUUAGUGUAAAAAUGUGGUUUUUCGUUAAAGUGAAUAGUACCGAGUGCUUUUCGUUAAAGUUCCCUAUGAAAAAAAGCAAUGACAAUCAAACUGACCUCUUCUUUCAUAUGAAGUAUAAUCUGUUCUCUAUUUUGCCUUUGUGAAGAAUGCACUUUUCACUUCCUACACACAAAAUAGCAUACAUUGAAAAUGCUCCGUAGCAUUAUAAAAACUAUAGAUAUACAGUACUGUAUAUGUAUCAUAUACUAUAUUGUGUACGUAGUUGGACAUAAGGUAUAAAGAUUUACUAACAUAAUUAAGCUUAAAUUUAACAAAAGAAGUAAUUACAAAUUGAAAUCAAACGAUAUUCUAGUUAUUCAAAAAAAUUCUGGCUAAAUUUUACAAAUAGUAUUAUAAAUUGUUAAAAAAAAUAACACAAUUGAAAAAACUCACCACUCAAAUCUGCAAUUCUAUUAAAAACACAUCACUAAAAAUUAACUCCAACAAAAGGGGAUUAACAAAUUAUACCUUUUUAAGAGUUGGAAUUGUUUAUCUAUAUCUUGAGCUGGACCCGCUGGAUUUGAAUCCUCAGUUGACUUAGAGGGAGGAUAGGCAUGAAAAGAAGUGUAAGGUUCACUGGAUCAUAUUUUUAAGAGAUAGAGAGAGUUCUACUUUUCAACAGCGGAGAGAACAUAUUCAAUCUUGGGCAUAAAAAGAAAAAAUAGAAGCUUCAUAGCACAAUAAUUAACCACAAUCCUCUGUUUUUCUAAAUGCAAAUAGAAAAAAGGAAUCAAAAUAUUCAACACAAAAUCUUCACAUUAGCUCAAGAACUAUAUUAUUUCCAGUGCUUUCCAAUUUUCCAGCACGGAACAACAAACAUAAAAGCAUUAAAAAUAUAUAAUUGCAAAAAAAAAAAAUAGCAAUUCCAAGAAACUAAAUGCGAAGUUAGCCAGAUCUGCACAGUAACACAAACCCAUUACUUGAAUUAAGAGCAUUGUGGCUCACCCUGAAAACACCCAUUUUGCAAUGAGGAAGAGAGACACUGCUGCUCUGGCUGCUGAGUGCUGCUGGCUCCAAAGCAGUUUGUCUACCAGAACUUUAUAAGAGCAAGUCCAACCCUUCAAAGCCACUGUAAAUCGCCAAGGAUUUACAUCAUUCUGCUUGCCUAAAAAAAGCAAACAAAAAAGAAAAAAAUGGAAAGUAUAAAAUUCAAAUGACCCUUGAUGAACAUAACCCAUAAAUUUUCCUUGUAUUCCAUAAAUGCAAUAAAACAAAAGUCAGUGUCUCCAUUUUCCAAAAAACCAAGCAAGCAAGCAACAAAUUUCGAAAACCCUAAUUCUAACCAAUUUAGAACUAUAACCAAGUAAACCACUUAAUCAACAAAACUCACUAAUUUUCUCAAAAACCCAACAAAUUUAAAGGAUAUCCAGAUGAUAAAUCCCAGUAAAAUCCCAAAUUUGAAAACCAGAAGAAAAAAAAAGACAAAGAGGCUUAUCUUUCUUCACUAAUCGGGCACUAACAGAAAAACCUUAAUUCAUAUUAUUCAGAUUACAAAUACACAGGGACCAAAUAGCUAAUAAUGCUGGACAAUUUGUCCCCAAUCCAACACAAAAAUUGUUCUUGUUAUACAUACGAUACCCGCCUAAAAUAUCAACCAAUUCCAAAUUAAAAUGGAAAAUGAAACGGAGCAUCAUAAAUUGAAUACAAUUUGGAGAAAAUUAUCUCACUUGGGGCGCCGAAUCUCCAAGAGGUCCCAAUCCGAGCAGGCUCCAAAUUGGGUUGUUGAAAAUGGUGAUCAAGGAAGGGUUUUGGAGGUGGGUCUGAUCAGAACAAAGCCGAAGCCAUUAGGUUUGGGGGGAGAGGAACAAAGAGCCACUGAGAGAGAGAGAGAGAGAGAGAGAGAGCAUGCGUUGUCCUUUUCUUCUAUCCGGCCACUGGAUCGCAGUUCCUUCACAAAAAUUAUACACGUGUGUUACUUUUUCAAGUUCUAGUUUUGUAAUCACCUAAUCGAUCAUAACACCAUUCGCAAAUAUGACAAACAUAAACAAUUAAGUCAGCAACAUGAUAUGCCAUUCCUUUCAUAUUGCACAUAUAAAGAAAAAAGAAAUGAACCAAAAUAAAAUUAUACUAUAAUCCAAUUAUAUGAAGGCCAAACUUGAGUUGGGGCUGGUGGCCGUUGACCACAUCAUCGCCUCCAUUUGAGAGAAAAGGGUUUGUUUGGCUUUUUUGUCCAAUUAUUUACACUAACCAUAUAUAAAUGAAGAAGGACAACAUCUAUGUUGCUCCCUUCUUGUGAUCCAAAUUUGAAGAGGGCCGAUGGGGAGGGGCAGUUAUAAGUGUCAUCCUCUUUGUUUCUCCUAUCCCUGCAUUAUCAACCAAAAAAACAUCAAACCAAGUGCAAUACAAUCCAAUUUAAUGCUCACAAAAUUUGAGCUCCAAACAAGGUCACAGGUCAGCAAUCGCCUAAUCGAUCAUAACACCAUUCGCAAACAUAAACAAUUAAGUCAGCAACUUGAUAUGCCAUCCCUUUCAUACAAACACAGAUUGCAAUUCAUAUAUGCCGCAUUAUUUACAAACAAUUACAAAUCAAGAAACAAUUAAAUCAUCAUCAUGAAUUAUAGUGUAAUAACAGCAUCAUCAAUUAGAAGAGACAGAGCUACAUGGCAAUAAACAUAUAGAGAGUAAACAUACAGAGAGGAACUGCUUCAUAUCCUUCCCAAAAGCAAUCUUCCGCAGGAUAACAAAAGAGCGGUUGAUCUCUGAUCUAAUUGCAGACGCAAUCUGCAGAACCGACUUCUAUGGAAUUUUAACUUGUGAAAUGUGGGGUGGAGAUUUGAAUGUAACAAAUUGGUGUUAAGUGAAUAAUUCCAAACAUAUGAAAUUUAGAUAAUCACAUCCGAACGCAAACAGAAGAAUUAAAUAAAGAAUCAAAGGCAUAUGCAAUCUAAUUAGACAAAUAAGUGAACUUUCCCAUGCCAAAAUCCGAAAGGCCAACAGAUAUCUCUCAUUACAGGACUUAAUACAUAUCUUAAAAGACAAAACUUAAAAUAACAAAAAUUAGGUGAAACAAUUGAAGAGAACAUAAUCCUUGUAACCAAUCCGGAAAAGAUGCUUUUAAAUCCCAGAAAACAAAUUAUGAGAAGUUUUUAAAAAAACCAUCAUUUCAAUUAUUUUCCAGUCUUACAUUUGGGAAUAAACAGAAAAUAUAACUAAAAUGCCAACUUUCUCAAAAAACUACAACUACUUUAACAAAUUUCCAUCACUCAACACUGAAAAAUGAGAAUCACGAAGCAACGAAGAACGGAACACGCUAGAAAUAACAACAAAGCCUUUUCCCACUAAGUGAGGUCGGCUAUAUGAAUCCUAGAACGCCAUUGCGCUCGGUUUUGUGUCAUGUCCUCCGUUAGAUCCAAGUACUCUAAGUCUUUUCUUAGGGUCUCUUCCAAAGUUUUCCUAGGUCUUCCUCUACCCCUUCGGCCCCGAACCUGUCUCGUAGUCACAUCUUCGAACCGGAGCGUCAGUAGGCAUUCUUUGCGCAUGUCCAAACAACCGUAACCGAUUUUCUCUCAUAUUUCCUUCAACUUCGGCUAUUCCUACUUUACCUCGGAUAUCCUCAUUCCCAAUCUUAUCAUUUCUCGUGUGCCCACACAUCCCACGAAGCAUCAUUAUCUCCGCUACACCCAUUUUGUGUACGUGUUGAUGCUUCACCGCCCAACAUUCUGUGCCAUACAACAUCGCUGGCCUUAUUACCGUCCUAUAAAAUUUUCCCUUGAGCUUCAGUGACCUAUGACGGUCACACAACACGCCGGAUGCACUCUUACACUUCAUCCAUCCAUCUUGUAUUCUAUGGUUGAGAUCUCCAUCUAAUUCUCCGUUCUCUUGCAAGAUAGAUCCUAGGUAGCGAAAACGGUCGCUUUUUGUGAUCUUCGCUAGAUUGCUCCGGUCAUUAGUGUGGAUAAGUAUAUAAAUGGAUAGAGAUAGGAAAGCAAACACCAGAUGUACGUGGUUCACCCAUAUUGGCUACGUCCACGGAAUAGAGGAUUUCUCAUUAAUUGUGAAGGGUUUACACAAGUACAUAGGUUCAAGCUCUCCUUUAGUGAGUACAAGUGAAUGAUUUAGUACAAAUGACAUUAAGAAAUAUUGUGGGAGAAUGAUCUCGUAAUCACGAAACUUCUAAGUACCGGCGUGUGGUAUCGUCUUGACUUGCCUUAUCUGUCUCGUAGGUAGAUGUUGCAUCUUCUCUGGAAGUACUCUUCCAUCCAGGGGUGGUAUCUUUAACUAGUGGAGAUGCACAAGGUAAUGUAUUAAUUUCACUUGAAGCUUACUUGUAGUUUCAGGCUUGGUCAAGCGCAAUACAAACCAUGUAGUAGGAGUCCCCCAAGUCGCCGAGCUAGGGGAUCUGCUGAAAGAGGUGACAGAUAAGGUAAGCAAUCAGAGCUCCAAGCAAUCAGUCCUAGAUCAGAACUUUGAUUUCGAGUUCCGGCUGAUUGUUCACAUUCUCCCUAUCUUGCAGGCAGCAUGAAGGAUAAAGAGAAGAAAAAUGAGAAGAGAUGAUAUGGGAUACUUUUGCUUUUGAAGAAGUAACUUUCCACAGGCUUAUUCUUGAACUGGGCUGGAGGGUUUUCUAGUUUCCUCCAGAGUAUAAGGCCGACUGAAGAAUUUGAGGGUCAAAACAAGUCCAUCAAAUCUAUAGUACGUUCGACCCUGCUGAUAUAGGAUACUUUUGCUUUUGACAGAGUAGUGGAUGUAUCGGCACGUGUGCUGUUACGCUUGUCUCCACAUGCUUCCUUGUAUCCUUCUCACUUGCCUUAUCUGUUCCUCAGGCAGAUGCGGUAUCUUCCCUGGAAGCAUAAAAUGUUGAAGAUGAGUACUCGAGAGCAAUGCCAGGUAAGUAAUCAAGUAAGGGGUUCCAGGCAGUCAGUUCAUGACUGGAAGCUUGAUUCCAAGUGCUGAUUGAUUGCUCUCUUUCUCCUUGUCUUGCAGGUAAGAACAAGGCCAAAGGAAAAGACAGGGAAAAAGCAUGAUAUGUGAUACUCUUGCUUUUAACCCUGAUGAUAUGAGAUAUUCUUGCUCUAGUAUAGCUUGUUUGCAGAGGUAUUAUCAGGGGGAAAGAAAGCUGAAUAUUUCGAAAGGCUUCUUUGGGAGUGGCUCUCAGAUAUGACGAAGGGUUGAACAUUUUUGCAGGUCUGCCUGUCCGUUGAGGAUGGAGGUCGACAUAUAUAGGAGUCUCCCUAACAACAAGUAGUAAUGCUAUUCCUUUACCCUGCUUGGUCAUAGCACGGUAAUGGGAGCUGCCAGCUUCACAUGUUUUAACUCUGUCAGAGCACUUUGAAAAAGUGAUCUGUGGUAUCUGGAAAGCUGAUGUUGCGUGUGAAGAUUACAGACAAGCUUUAUCCAAGGAGAUCCAGCUCUUGAAGUUGGGAAAGUGGUGCCUCUUCGGUUUUCGAACAAGUAAUCCUGUCGGAGAUCUGGCUCUCGAGAUUCGGAGAACGAUGCCUUUUCGAUUUUUGAGAAAGCAAUUCUGUUAGGGGUUUGGCUCUCGAGAUUCGGAGAGCGGUGUCUCUUCGAUUUUUGAGAAAGUAAUCAUGUUGGGAGUCUGGCUCUCGAGAUUCGGAGGGCGGUGCCUCUUCGAUUUUGGAGCAAGCAAUCUUGUUGGGAGGGUUUUCUCGAAUGUGAGAAAAGGUUGGGCAUGUUUGCUAGUCUACCUUGCCACGAAGCACAGAGGUUGACACAUAGGGACUUUCCAAUUAUCCAGCAGUGGUACUGUUCCUUUACCCAUGUGGGUAAUAAUAUGGUAACUAGACCUUCAAAAUUUAUGUGUCUAAACUUUGUUAGUGCUGUUUCUUUGCUAUUCUUUUACCCUUCUUGGUCAGAGCGAUGUAGUAGGAGCUGCAAGCUUCACGUGUCUCAACUUUGUCAGAGAACUUUGGCAAAGUUAUCUGUGGUACCCAUGAGCUAAUGUUGCGUGUGGAAAGUGGGUGAUUGAACAGUAAGAUUCAUGUGCUUUCUACUUCACCAGAAAUCUUCGACAUAAUGCCCAUAAUUUCCGCAAAGCUGAGUGUGCGUGUGACAGGUGCUGACAAGGUUGGAAAAGUAGGUGCCUCUUCGAUUUCUGAGAUCGGCCCUCGUGGUCUCUGAGCAGCCCAGCUUUUGAGAAAGCAAGCCUCUUCGAUUUCUGAGAUCGGCCUUCGUGGUAUUUGAGCAGCCCAACUUUUGAGAAAGUAAACGUCUCGUGGUCUCUGAGCAGCCCAGCUUUUGAGAAAGCAAACGCCUCUUCGAUUUCUGAAGCUCCGUCGAGUGCAGAUUUUUAUAGAGGCUGGCAUUAAGUUCCAAAGCACACUUGAAUCUCCACCAGUAGAAGCUCCAUUCUUGCACUUCUAAGAUCUUGAUUUGUCCGACCUCUUCUCUCUUCAACACCUUUGAAAAUGUCUGGCCCCCUCCGACCGUCGUUUUGACUUGAACCUUGUUGAAGAGGCAGCCACGCCUUCUCCAAACAACAUAUGGCGCCCAUCCUUCGUCUCCCCUACUGGUCCUCUUACCGUUGGGGAUUCCGUGAUGAAGAAUGAUAUGACCGCUGCGGUAGUGGCCAGGAACCUUCUCACUCCCAAAGAUAACAGACUACUUUCCAAACGGUCUGAUGAGUUGGCUGUUAAGGAUUCUCUGGCUCUCAGUGUUCAGUGUGCAGGUUCUGUGUCUAACAUGGCCCAACGCCUAUUUGCUCGAACCCGCCAAGUUGAAUCAUUGGCGGCUGAAGUGAUGAGUCUCAAACAGGAGAUUAGAGGGCUCAAGCAUGAGAAUAAACAGUUGCACCGGCUCGCACAUGACUAUGCUACAAACAUGAAGAGGAAGCUUGACCAGAUGAAGGAAUCUGAUGGUCAGGUUUUACUUGAUCAUCAGAGAUUUGUGGGUUUGUUCCAAAGGCAUUUAUUGCCUUCGUCUUCUGGGGCUGUACCGCGUAAUGAAGCUCCAAAUGAUCAACCUCUGCUGCCUCCUCCUUCUAGGGUUCUGUCCAGUACUGAGGCUCCAAAUGAUCCCCCUCCAGUGCCUGCUCUUUCUGGGGCUCUACCGACUGCUGAGACUUCUCCUAAGCAACCUUUGUGAAGGCUCCCUCUUGUUUGUUUAUUUUGACUCAUGUAUAUGUACAUAUUUGUAACUUAUCGGGGAUAUCAAUAAAUAAGCUUUCCUUCAUUUCAACGUAUUGUGUUAAAUACACCAAAGCCUUCUUCGCUAAGUUCUUUGAAUUUUCUUUUUGUUGAAGCUUGUAUGUUGAAGCUUUGUGAGUGGAGCAUGUAGGUUGAGGUAGUAUUCCCUUAAUUUCCCGAGUGAGGAAAACUUCUCGGUUGGAGACUUGGAAAAUCCAAGUCACUGAGUGGGAUCGGCUAUAUGAAUCUUUGAACGCCAUUGUGCUCGGUCCUGUCAUGUCCUCCGUUAGAUCCAAGUACUCUAAGUCUUUUCUUAGAGUCUCUUCCAAAGUUUUCCUAGGUCUUCCUCUACCCCUUCGGCCCUGAACCUCUGUCCCAUAGUCGCAUCUUCUAAUCGGAGCGUCAGUAGGCCUUCUUUGCACAUGUCCAAACCACCGUAACCGAUUUUCUCUCAUCUUUCCUUCAAUUUCGGCUACUCCUACUUUACCCCGGAUAUCCUCAUUCCUAAUCUUAUCCUUUCUUGUGUGCCCACACAUCCAACGAAGCAUCCUCAUCUCCGCUACACCCAUUUUGUGUACGUGUUGAUGCUUCACCGCCCAACAUUCUGUGCCAUACAGCAUCGCCGGCCUUAUUGCCGUCCUAUAAAAUUUUCCCUUGAGCUUCAGUGGCAUACGGCGGUCACACACAACACGCCGGAUGCACUCUUCCACUUCAUCCAUCCAGCUUGUAUUCUAUGGUUGAGAUCUCCAUCUAAUUCUCCGUUCUUUUGCAAGAUAGAUCCUAGGUAACGAAAACGGUCGCUCUUUGGUAUUUCUUGAUCUCCGAUCCUCACCCCUAACUCGUUUUGGCCUCCAUUUGCACUGAACUUGCACUCCAUAUAUUCUGUCUUUGAUCGGCUUAGGCGAAAGACCUUUAGAUUCCAACACUUCUCUCCAAAGGUUAAGCUUUGCAUUUACCCCUUCCUGAGUUUCAUCUAUCAACACUAUAUCGUCUGCGAAAAGCAUACACCAAGGAAUAUCAUCUUGAAUAUGUCCUGUUAACUCAUCCAUUACCAACGCAAAAAGGUAAGGACUUAAGGAUGAGCCUUGAUGUAAUCCUACAGUUAUGGGAAAGCUUUCGGUUUGUCCUUCAUGAGUUCUUACGGCAGUCUUUGCUCCUUCAUACAUAUCCUUUAUAGCUUGGAUAUAUGCUACUCGUACUCCUUUUCUUCUCUAAAAUCCUCCAAAGAAUGUCUCUUGGGACCCUAUCAUACGCUUUUUUCCAAAUCUAUAAAGACCAUGUGUAAAUCCUUUUUCCCAUCUCUAUAUCUUUCCAUCAAUCUUCGUAAGAGAUAGAUUGCCUCCAUGGUUGAGCGCCCUGGCAUGAACCCGAAUUGGUUGUCCGAAACCCGUGUCUCUUGCCUCAUCUAUGCUCAAUGACUCUCUCCCAGAGCUUCAUUGUAUGACUCAUUAGCUUAAUACCCCUAUAGUUCAUGCAAUUUUGUACGUCGCCCUUAUUCUUGUAGAUAGGCACCAAAGUGCUCGUUUCGCCACUCAUUUGGCAUCUUCUUCGUUUUCAAAAUCCUAUUGAAAAGGUCAGUGAGCCAUGUUAUACCUGUCUCUCCCAAAACUUUCCACACUUCGAUUGGUAUAUCGUCUGGGCCCACUGCUUUUCUAUGCUUCAUCUUCUUCAAAGCUACAACCACUUCUUCCUUCCGGAUUCGACGAUAAAAAGAGUAGUUUCUACACUCUUCUGAGUUACUCAACUCCCCUAAAGAAGCACUCAUUUCAUGUCCUUCAUUGAAAAGAUUAUGAAAAUAACCUCUCCAUCUGUCUUUAACCGCGUUUCUCUGUAGCAAGAACCUUUCCAUCCUCAUCCUUGAUGCACCUCACUUGGUUUAGGUCCCUUGUCUUCUUUUCCCUUGCUCUAGCUAGUUUAUAGAUAUCCAACUCUCCUUCUUUGGUAUCUAGUCGCUUAUACAUAUCGUCAUAAGCCGCUAACUUAGCUUCUCUCACAGCUUUCUUCGCCUCUUGCUUCGCUUUUCUAUACCUUUCACCAUUUUCAUCGGUCCUAUCCUUGUAUAAGGCUUUACAACAUUCCUUCUUAGCCUUCACCUUUGUUUGUACCUCCUCAUUCCACCACCAAGAUUCCUUUUGGUGUGGGGCAAAGCCCUUGGACUCUCCUAAUACCUCUUUUGCUACUUUUCGGAUACAACUAGCCAUGGAAUCCCACAUUUGGCUAGCUUCCCCCUCUCUAUCCCACACACACUGGGUGAUUACUUUCUCUUUGAAAAUGACUUGUUUUUUCUUCUUUUAGAUUCCACCAUCUAGUCCUUGGGCACUUCCAAGUCUUGUUCUUUUUUCUCACUCUUUUGAUAUGUACAUCCAUCACCAACAAGCGAUGUUGAUUAGCCAAGCUCUCUCCUGGUAUAACUUUGCAAUCCUUACAAGUUAUACGAUCCCCUUUCCUCAUUAGAAGAAAAUCUAUUUGUGUUUUUGACGACCCACUCUUGUAGGUGAUCACAUGUUCUUCUCUCUCUUCUUAAAGAAGGUGUUGGCUAAGAAGAGAGAUCAUAUGCCAUUGCAAAAUCCAAGAUAGCUUCCCCAUCCUCGUUUCUCUCCCCAAAACCAUGGCCACCAUGAAAACCUCCAUAGUUGCCUGUCUCCCUGCCCACGUGUCCAUUUAAAUCUCCUCCUAUAAAUAACUUCUCCGUCUGAGCAAUUCCUUGCACCAAGUCUCCAAGGUCUUCCCAAAAUUUCUCCUUCGAACUCGUAUCCAACCCUACUUGAGGUGCGUACGCACUAAUCACAUUGAUAAGUUCUUGUCCUAUUACAAUCUUGAUUGCCAUGAUUCUAUCUCCUACCCUCUUGACAUCUACAACAUCUUGUGUCAAGGUCUUGUCCACGAUGAUGCCAACACCGUUUCUCGUUCUAUUUGUGCCCGAAUACCAAAGUUUAAACCCUGAGUUUUCUAGAUCCUUUGCCUUAAGACCAACCCACUUAGUUUCUUGUAGGCACAUAAUAUUUAUCCUUCUCCUCACCAUAACUUCCACUACUUCCAUAGAUUUUCCCGUUAAGGUUCCUAUAUUCCACGUUCCUAAACGCAUUUUGCUCUCUUGAACUCUACCCUUCUGUCCUAGCUUCUUCACCCUCCCCCAUCUAAUAGGAUCAAAGUACUUCUUUUGUGUGUUCCGUGUAAAGUUGAUAGGAGCAUAUGCUUCUAAACAACUUUGAGUGGAGUCGUUCGAAAAGAAGUUUCUAUGGCCCCCUUGCUCAUUUAACACUGCAUCCGGGUGCCGAUGGAGAUACAACGACCCUUGCUCACUUAUCACUGUGCUCGGGCCACACAGCGCGCCACUUACUGGUGACACCCUAGCUUUAGCGCAAUUUCGUUCUGGAUUCAUUUUCAUAAGGAUUCGACGUAAUCAUGGAGUGCCGGCUGUCGACUACCUGACGCCCUCCCCCUCCUCCUUUAUCCAGGCUUAGGACCGGCAAUGUAAGAUAAACUUACACAGGCGGAGUUAACGGAACACGCUAGAACUGAAACAUUAAAAACAACAUGUACCCAUUUCAAAGACCAAAAAUCCUGCAAGGACAAAAAAAAAAUCCGAGAAAAUCAGUACAUCAGUACUCCCUGCAAAACCCCAAAAUCAGAAAAUUAGAAAAAGAACCCAAAUCAGUGGCAUGGUCCUUGUUUCUCCAUUAAUCAGUAGGUAAUGACCUAAUGAAAAAGAACCCAAAACAGACGGCUUAAAUUAUGGAAAGUGCUUAUAAAGCUCAUGAAUAACUUUCAAAGCCUGCAUUCCACAGUGUGCACACGCACAAACAUAAAAUAUACAUGCAUAGUUAAUUUUAGACAAUAAUACCUCAGAACAUAAGUUGCAAUUUGGGACUAUUUGGUUGACUCAAAAGAAAUUGAUGGGUUAGAAAACCACAAAAAAAAUACAAAGACGGAUGUUUUUAUGUCGUUCAUUUCUUACGUCGACAAAACACACACACCUGUGUUUUAAUGCUCCUCCAAUACUCAAUGAGAAGGCACCAGGCAAAAAGAAGGUCAAGGCUGGAAAGAAGCUUCCAAAGAGAACAAUAUAUAAAGCAGACCACAAAAAUUAGACAAAACCCAAAAACUAAACAGUAGAAAAACCUCUAAAAUAUAUAAAUAUAUAUAUAAUUAAAUAAUUUAAAAAAAAACUAAACUGCAAAUACUCUAGAAAUCGUAAAAUGAACUGCAAACCCGUCAAUCAUUUCCCAAAACCACAUAACCAAAGAGUAAAAAAGGGAGUACGGGAGAGAGAAGCAGCCAAAAUACAGAGAAGAUGGCAAGAGAGAGAGAGAGAGAGAGAAAAAUGAAUUAUUUUGGUGCCUCUGGUUCCUGCCUUUGUUCUUUGUUUUUCAUUUAUUUAUAGGUAACUUGCUCAAGUCCAAAGGCAAUUAAACAUGAUUAGUAAAGCACCAUAAUAAAGCAUGAGAGAUAUCUAUUUUAAUUAAAUCUGUUGUGGGCUCACUGUGAUUGUACAUCAUCAUCAUAAAUAAUGCAUGCUUGAACCCCAUUUUAGUUUCAUGCCUAUCAUAAUUAAAUCAUGGAUGGUCAAGAAGCAUAGGACUGAGAAAUCAGAGCCUAAUUUCCAAUAUCAAAAGAGUACAAAUUAUUCAACUUAAACGCUAAUUUCGUUAACGAAGAUUAAAAUAGGCGUGAAAUCCAUACAAUUUAUACGUUACCAUUGAUUCAAGUUCUGGUAGGUAUCCAUGGAAACUAUCCGUUGCCACUCUCUCAGUUCCCAUAUUUUCUGUAUGUUUCAUUAAACAAUAUAAACUUUUGAUGCUCUUCCAUCUGGAGCUAAAACAGAUUACCAAUAAUAACAAAGAGGUCUAAAUAAUAGAAAUCAAAAUUUUGAUUUUUGCGGACUUUAGAGAAUCUGCAAACUUUAGCCUAACAUUAUGUGAUUGCCUCACUUCUUCAGUAACUCAGAGGAGGUGAAUUACUCAAAGUAUGGAGGACUUCUGCUAACAUAUUUCAAGCACUUGUAACAUUAAAUGUAAUGACAGGUUGACAUUAUUAUUAUUUUUUUUUUGUAAAGAAUUGUUGCAAGAAGUUUGACCCUUUGUCUUUUUAUUUCUGUAAGGAUUUAUAGGUACAUAUAAAAUCCAUAUUAUAUAUGGUUCACAGAUGAGAGUACUUCAAACACCAAAUAUUCAUUCAUGAUUGGAGAUAAGAAAGCUUACUAAGAGGCAAUCGCCUUUGUGAUGUUUACUUUUGUGCUUAUCCUUUGUCUUCUUUUCUGAGGCAAAAUAUGUCAAUGUGAUAAGUAAUUUCCCAUAAAGAAUAUCAUCCUCAAUAGGCUAAACAACUACAAUGGUUAGUCAAAUAAUGUACUUUCAUGUAGUUAAUCUCCUCGGUUUGUGUUUACUUUUUCAAUAUCAAAACAUCUCGAAGAAACAACGUUUUCCCUUACUCUACAAACACCGAAUGUGCCCGAUAAACCACUAACAACGCCAUUACUCUAAUUCGACUGCAGAGUGAGAGUUAAGAUAAGAAGAUACUCACAGGCCAAAACGGAUGACAUCACCAACACAUAAAUCCAAAAGCCACAACCAAAUUUAAUUUUGUUUUUACGUUGAAUUUUUUUUUCUUGAAUCCGUUUGGAUGCUGAGAACGUGUGGUAUGGGAUUAUUAAUUACCGGCAGGGAAAAUGACGAUUUCUCCUAUUUGCAUUUGCAGGUGGAGGAAUCAUAGCCGAGGGAUUGCAGUUCGUCGGUGACCAUCUUCCUCAAAUCGUCUUUUUGUUUGAGAUUCUUGUUUGCUUCGACGAUCCUCGCCGUAUCAGCCAGGAGGUUUCUCUCCGAGACGCUCACGCAUGGAAUCAGACUCUGAUUAAACAAUAAUUAAGCAAACAAUCAAUCACCCAUAUUCAUAUUCUGUGUUUGGUUGCCAAGAAACCGCGAGAAAUGCAAAAACAAUUUACUAAUAAAAAAGUGUAAUCAAAGCAACCAUUAUUUAUACUUUUGUACCUUAAGAAUAUCUGAGGCGUCGCCACCGAACGAACCGGAGGAGAUUGAAUCACCGAAACCUCCACCGAAUAUAUCGAACUCGUCGUCGGAGCUGUCAUUGCUGUUGCCGUGAAAGCAAUUGCAGCGGUUCCGUCCACAUUUCGGCGGAGGUUGCUUCUCGUUGCUUUCUUCGAUGAAAUUCUGAACCAUCUUCGCCAAGCAGACCGAACUUGGCUUGAACUCAGGCCGCGGCGCUGACGGUCCCUUCAUCCUUGCUGAUAUUGAGGCCGCAGGAGUGGCGAGUUGUGAUGUGGACUCAGGCCUCUCGGCCUCUGGGUUUUACGGAGAAGGGGAAGAUGGUGAGGGUUGAGAGAGAUGCAGAGUCUGAAAGAGAGUGAAAGAGAAAGGGUUAUAAGAGAGGUUGAGUGUGACAGAGACGAUUGAAGCAAAACGCACGAUGAUAAACGCGUGUGCUCGGUUCAGAAUGGCAAGCCCGUAAAUACCCAAUGACAGAUUUGUAAAUAAAAUGAAAUUCACUUCAAAAUACUGUUCAUUUUAAUAGUGCCUAUUGAAAACCUUACUUUAGACUAAAGUAACUAAAAAUUAUGUUUGCGCGUUGCUACUAGAACCAACUGUUUCAAACGUAAUUGGAUGGACAAAACACAUUUAAGUUGAAUAAAUUCAAAACAAUUACGAACAAACAGAAGGAUACAUGAGUGCAUGAGGCCGGUAAGAUCAGCAGUUUUGCUUUUGUACACUUGUAAGUGAGUUGACAUAUAAACACAUUGCACAAUGAGUGAGAAUAAACUCUACGUGUUUGAAACUUCAUUUUAAACUAACAUUCACACAAUCCUAAUCAUUUGUGAAUUACCAUAUUCUUAUCAUUAUUCCAAUAUCUCUUCAUGUAGAUGGGGUGAGCUCAUACCAGUCACUAAGAGCAUUUUUGAUACUCUACUUGAAUCCAACUUUUUAAAUUCAAAAACAAUUUUCAAGUUUUAAGCCUUAAAAACUUGUUUGGUAAGAUUAUUUUCAAAAAUUGAACUUAAGAUUAACUCAAAACUAUAGUUUACUCUCUAAAAACACAAAAUGUAAAUUUUUAGAGUUUUUAAACUUAAACUCACUCAUUUCUUUUCUCUCCCUCCUCCUCUCUCACUCCAAAUCUAUCUCUCUUUUCUUCUUUCUAUGUCCCCCUUUUUUUUUUUUUUUUUACCUUUUUCGUCUCUCAUCCAAUCCGCUCUCUUCAUUAUCUCGAUUCUUUUUCUCACUUAUCUUCCUCUAUAUCUCCUCCGAUCCUCUCUUCUUUCUCUUUCCUUCAAUCAUAUCUUACUUUCUUUCCUCCUCUUUCCUCUUUCUCCCUCGACCCCCUCUUUUUGGAUCUCUUUGUCCAGUUUAAGUUGUAAGAUUUAAAAAUUUUAAAUUACAUACCAAACAAGUUUUUUAGUCUUAAAUAAAAUUAUUUUUCAAGAAAAAUUCUUAAAAAAUGUUUUGAGAAAUGAUAAAAAAUUUCAAAUAGGAUACCAAACAAGCAUUAAAAUUGCUAAUGUAUUUAGUGAUUAUACAGAGCAACUUAACUAUAGAAACGCUCCUCAAAUCACUCUAUACGUUUCCAUUUUGCUUUUCAAAUUAGCAUGUUUAUAUAUUGACAUUAGAGAAAACGAGAAUGCUGAUGAAAAUUGGAUUAUUAGAGGUUAAACGGCAGCGACCCCCCCCCCCUCCCCCCCCCAAAUCCAUUUUUGUUGGUUGACAUUCUGAAUAUUGACGGUUUACCUUGUCCUCCUUAAUUUCCUAUAAUCGGUAGUAUAGGGGCGACAUCUUGGCAUUUGUUGCAGUGUCGUAUCCAUCUGUACCCCCCUCCACUACCUUGCUUGUCUCCUUUAGUUUAUCUGUUGCUUGCCUCCCUUAACGAGCAGAAACCAAACAAGAACACCCAAUUUUGACACGUGUACAACACACUCAAACAUCAUCAGCGUCCAAGAAGGCUAGGCGCCAUAUCACAGAGAUCCAUCUUGGCCUAGGUCCCUCUCUAGUUUCUUGCUAAUCAAAAUUCAAACCCAAUUUUUUAUUCGGAAAUAAAUUUCAAAAUUUAGGAAAUUUUAUUAUCUGAAAAAGAAAUAAUUUUCAAGGGUUACACUGUGACUGUGCUGAUAAACACAUGGAUACCAAGCUCUGUUGUGAUUGCUUCCCUUUACGUUUUUUCGCCAAUCUUUGUGCACCAUUUAGACAUUGAUAGUGAUGCCAGUUUUAGCUGUAUCCUCACAUAAAAAUUGCCAAAUAUACACAGAUGUCAAAGAUCUUGAAGUUUGGUUCACAUGCUUUGUCAGGGAAGAUCAAUGUAUGCGAUUGGGUCGUCUGGAAUUAGCAGUGUAAAAGGUGUUGGUAUACGGUCCAGCCCAUGAUCAAUGUUCUAGAUUAUUCUAGUAAGCAAGAGAUGAGGCUGGAGCUUGCUAGACAAUUCUAGCAUGUUAUUAAGUUGAUGGAAGAAGCUAGAGAGUACUAGCUUCCUUGGUUGCAAAUGGAAAGAUCUAGAAGCUACAAGUAUGUGGCUAGUCUAGAUUUUUCUAUACUAGAGGUUUGAAGAAGGAACUAGAAACUAGUAGAAUGCCAAGCCCUCACCUAUAAAUAUGGGUGUGAUGUAACCAAUUGAAAAUCAAGAAAGAGUGAGUAGCAAAGGAUCAAGUCCAAAGCUAGAGUUCCACUCCAAGAGUGAGAGUGAGAGUGUUCCACUACACAUUGUGUGAGUGAAGUUUAGAGUGAUAGAAAGUGUGUGUUAUACUUUCUUGUAUCCAUCAAGCCUUGUCUUUGGCUUGGUAAGACUACUCUUGUUGUAUUCAUUUUUUUCAUAUAGUGAAGAUUGAUCCUUGUUUGGUGGACGUAGGCAUAAAUUGCCGAACCACAUAAAUUCUUGGUGUCCAUUUUCUACUUUACCUUGUGCAUUCUCUAUCUUGUAGUACUGACAUUCCUAACAAGUGGUAUCAGAGCCCGGUUGGCUCGUACUACGAGAUGGAAGGAAGUGGCACUAUGAUCAAACUCACCAACUCCAAUUGGGUAACAUGGAAGCCAAGGAUGGAGGACAUUCUCUAUUGCAAGGAUUUGCAUGAGCCAAUUGAAGGAGAUGCCGCUAAGCCCGAGAGCAUGUCCGAUGCCGAGUGGAAGAAGAUGAAUCGCAAGGCUAUUGGCACAAUUAGACAAUGGGUGGAUGAUAGUGUUUUUCACCAUGUGUCUAAUGAAACCAAUGCUCGCGAGUUUUGGACGAAGCUUGAGUCCUUGUUCGAGAAGAAGACCCCAGCCAAGAAAGCCUUCUUGAUCAAAGAGCUCAUCAAUGUGAAGUACAAGGAUGGUUUAAGUGUAGCAGAACACUUGAACAAUUUCCAGAAUAUCAUCAACCAGUUGGCUACUAUGAAAAUGACGAUCGAGGACGAGCUACAAGCGCUCUUGUUACUUGGAUCCUUGCCAGACAGUUGGGAGACCUUUGUGGUGAGUAUAAGUAACUCUGCUUCUAAUGGUGUUCUUACUCUUGAUAAUGUUAAAAAUAGCAUGCUCAAUGAAGAAACAAGGAGAAAGACUUCUGGCACAGAUAGCAGCCAAGUAUUUGUCACAGAGAACCGCGGAAGAAGCAAGAGUAGAGGGCCUAGAGGUCAUGGCAGGAGUCCUAGCCGAUCCAAGUCAAGGUUCAGGGGUGCAUGCCACCAUUGUGGCAAAGAAGGCCAUAUGAAGAAAAAUUGUCGAGUUUGGAAGAGAGAGCAAAAGGAAGGAAACAAUCAGAAGAAAGAUGAUACUGGCAAUACCACUGCUGUCAUAUGUGGUGAUGUACCAGAAAUAUUGUCUGUUGGUGAAUGUCUGCAUAUGGGCAACUCUGACAGAGACAUUGAAUGGAUCUUUGAUAAUGGAGCUUUCUUCCAUGCUACGUCCAAACGGGAGUUCUUCAGUACAUACAAAGAAGGUGACUUUGGCAUAGUGAAGAUGGGGAAUGAAAGCUAUUCCAAAAUUCUUGGAAUUUGGUGAUAUCUGCUUAAGAACUAAUCUCGGCUGCCAAUUGAUGUUGAAAAGAUGUGAGACAUAUUCCUGAUAUACGUCUCAAUCUGAUAUCCAUCGGUACCCUUGAUCGACAAGGAUAUUAUCACCAUAUUGGCGAAGGAAAAUUGAAGCUUACUAAAGGCUUAAUGGUGGUAGCAAGAGCACGACUUUGUUGUACGUUGUACCGGUCAAAUGCCAAGGUUUUGAAAGGUGAGUUGAAUGCUGUGGAAGACUCAUCUCUAGACUUGUGGCAUAAGAGGCUAGGCCACAUGAGCGAGAAAGGCCUACAAGUUUUGGCAAAGAAGUCUCAUAUUCCCUUUGCCAAAGGUACGUCGUUAAACUCUUGUGAGCAUUGUUUAUUCGGAAAACAAAGAAGAGUUAGUUUUUCUGUUCCAUCUACAAAGAAAGGAAACUUGUUAGAUCUUGUUUAUUCAGAUGUGUGUGGUCCCAUGGAAGUCGAGUCACUUGGAAGAAAUAAAAUAUUUUGUUACUUAUAUUGAUGAUGCUUCACGAAGGGUGUGGGUGUAUUUGUUGAAAUCCAAAGACCAGGUGUUUCAGACAUUCCAGGAGUUCCAUGCCAUGGUGGAGAGGGAAACUGGGAAACCUCUCAAGUGCCUUCGUAGCGACAACGGCGGCGAAUACACAUCUCACCAGUUUAGAGAGUAUUGUGUAAAACAUGGCAUACGUCAUGAGAAGACAGUUCCUGGAACUCCACAACAUAACGGUGUUGCUGAAAGAAUGAACCGAACCAUCAUGGAGAAAGUCAGGUGUAUGUUGAGGACUGCAAAGUUAUCUAAGCAGUUCUGGGGUGAAGCUGUAAGGACAGCCUGCUAUUUGAUCAACCGAUCUCCAUCAGUACCAUUAGGUCUUGAUGUUCCAGAGAGAGUAUGGACUGGUAAUGAUGUGUCUUACUCUCAUCUGAAGGUGUUUGGUUGCAAAGCUUUUGUGCAUGUGCCCAAAGAGCAGAGAUCGAAGUUAGACUACAAAGCUACACCGUGCAUCUUUCUUGGUUAUGGCGGUGAAGAUUUUGGUUACAGAUUAUGGGACCCAUACCAGAAGAAGUUUAUCCGAAGUAGAGACGUGGUCUUUUAUGAAGAUCAAACAAUUGGGGAUUCGGAUAAAGAGGCACAACCAGAUGGCGCAGUCAGAGGAGUUGAUCCAUUAGUUUCAGAUGAAGAAAGUCACGAUGACAUCCCUGAAGCAACUGCCAAUGAAGUGCCUGCAGAAUCAGAUAAUGCUGAUCAAGAGGAGCCUGAUCAAGAUGUGCCAGACCAUGAGAUUGCUGAUCAGGGGGAGCCUAGUCAAGAAGAGCAGAUUCAAGGAGAAUCCAAUCAGGGGGAGCCUCUAGCCCCGCAAGAGAAUGAAGAUCAGGUCAGAAGAUCCAGCAGAAGUCGAAGACCGUCUACCAAGUAUUCUUCAUCAGAGUAUAUCAUGUUGACUAAUUAUGGAGAGCCCGAAACUUAUGAGGAGGCCAGAGCUCAUAACGACAGUGAUAAAUGGAUGAAGGUAACUUGGAGUCAUGAUCGGAAUUCCUCCCUCAUGGACUGGAGGGGGAGAUUGUUGGUAUACGGUCCAGCCCAUGAUCAAUGUUCUAGAUUAUUCUAGUAAGCAAGAGAUGAGGCUGGAGCUUGCUAGACAAUUCUAGCAUGUUAUUAAGUUGAUGGAAGAAGCUAGAGAGUACUAGCUUCCUUGGUUGCAAAUGGAAAGAUCUAGAAGCUACAAGUAUGUGGCUAGUCUAGAUUUUUCUAUACUAGAGGUUUGAAGAAGGAACUAGAAACUAGUAGAAUGCCAAGCCCUCACCUAUAAAUAUGGGUGUGAUGUAACCAAUUGAAAAUCAAGAAAGAGUGAGUAGCAAAGGAUCAAGUCCAAAGCUAGAGUUCCACUCCAAGAGUGAGAGUGAGAGUGUUCCACUACACAUUGUGUGAGUGAAGUUUAGAGUGAUAGAAAGUGUGUGUAUACUUUCUUGUAUCCAUCAAGCCUUGUCUUUGGCUUGGUAAGACUACUCUUGUUGUAUUCAUUUUUUUCAUAUAGUGAAGAUUGAUCCUUGUUUGGUGGACGUAGGCAUAAAUUGCCGAACCACAUAAAUUCUUGGUGUCCAUUUUCUACUUUACCUUGUGCAUUCUCUAUCUUGUAGUACUGACAUUCCUAACAAAAGGAGGAUUGAUGAAUCUGAGAAAGAGGAUUGAAAGCAAAAGAGAUGAGAAGCUGAAUGGAAAACGUCGCUCCAGCUUCCUCUUUGAUUCAAUCUCGCCCACUGAAUAAAAAUGAGAGAGACAACGCAAGAAGGAACCGUUACAAACUUCACAUGCAUUACACACCUCUCAUACUCGCAAACCUCUAUCCAGUCUAGUAAGGGCUUUGAAGCAGCUUCUAAAACGGACUAAGGGCUCGUUUAAGCAUAAUAAAAAAUUGGGUUUACACCCCCCUUGUGUACCUGGUAAGCCCCUCUUCACAUUGGAUCUAAGCAUAUAUUCUUAGCUUUUGAAGCAUCCGACAAAUAAGGAGGAUAGGUUUUUUUAGAAGUUUCUGACUCUUCUUCAAAUAAAUCCAUUUUAUCGGGAUUAAAAAUAGGAAUUGGUAAAAAUCUCAAAGACAACACAAGAAGGAACUGUUGCAAACUUCACAUGCAUCACACACCUCUCAUACUCACAUGUCUUGCAUGUGUAUAUCUAAGACAAAGUCCGCUACUAUGACAGCUGGCACAAUCCGAACCUAUGAGCUAGUCUAAUCUCAACCAUUUAAUUUCAAUUCAAACAAAUAAGGACAAGACUAUGGAACUUGAAUUCUAAGAAAUCAGCUUCAAGGCUUAAUCACUAACAAUACAUACCUGAUCAAAAAAGAAAGAAAAAACACAACUUUACAAUACAUACGGAUAAGUAAAUACUGUCCACGUACUAACCGCAGGUGAAGAAAGAAAUACGCGAAAAAGCAAAAAACUAAAUAGAAGAGCUCUCAGAAUAAAGAAACCAACUCAAAACACAAAAGAGUGAUAAACUCUACCACACAAAAUCACCAUUUAUUCCACCUCCCAUGUCCCCAGUCUUACUACAUAUCAGUGAUGAUGCGCCAAAUACCUCAAUCCCCAUUACCCCGUGACCCACAGAUACAACCCCAUAUUCUCCCACCUCUCCUUGAUGCUGCCACCGCCUUCUCCUUCUCUUCCUCAUGGCUCGACUGCUUGAGAUAACUCAAAAUUGCCUCAACAGCCACCGCCUCCUUUUCCUCGCAGCUUGAGUCCACCGUCACAGUCAACGGUGCGGUGCUCUGAUUCUGAUCCAAAUUCCCAGAAGUGCUGAAACUUUGUCGUUUUGGGUGGGAACCCUUUGAUCCAUGAUUGCUGUCCUGAUGUAUACUAGUUCCCUCUAGUGUACUCUCUGCCUCAAGGAACUCCAAAUCUCGCAGCCUCAUCUCUUCCCCAUAACUUGACUCCUCAUGAUCUGUCAAAAUUUCUGAACCAUCGCUCCAGGGGAGGAGGGAUUCCCCAUCAGCCACCGCUUCAUUUUGCUCAUUGUUUGGGACCAUGGCAAUGAUGGCAUUAAUCAUAGGUGCAGUGCUUCGAAACUGAGCCAAAUCCGCCAAAGUGAUGAAUUGUUGUUUAGGGCGGUAACCACGUAUACCAGUUCCCCCUAUGUGAAGGUUCUUCAAAUACCGUAAGUCUUCAGGCAACUUCGAAAGUUCUGAGCACCCAUGGAGAUUGAGCCAUUCGAGACUCAACAAAUUGCAGAUACUGUCCGGAAUAUAGACCAGGCUUUUGCACUUUUUCAGAUUUAACGACACUAGCCCCUGAAGCCGUUCAAUUGAUGCAGGAAGCUCUCUGAUAGAUGUUCGAUCCAAAUCAAGGCUGGCUAACCUUUCCAUAUUUUCUAAUAUGUCUGGAAACACCUCAAACUUUGUACAACCAGAAAGAGAGAGAUAAUUUAGGGACUUGAGUUGACAAAUGUUGCUUGUAAGACUCUUAAAGUCUUUGCUAUACCGUAGCGUCAAAGUAGCAAGUCCCGUAAGACUAUAAAUUAUGGAUGGCAAUUCUUCAAUUGCAAUCCCUGAAAACUCAACAAUUUUUCGGCGGCGAGAGGCUUGCUCACGUUCAAGCUCUGUAAGAUUUUUGAAUGUUGAUGAAUCUUCUGUAAAUAUAGUCCAAUCGAAAUUAAGCUCUGUUAGGUUCUCCAUACCUUCUAGAAACUCUGGAAAAUUCUUCAGAUUUGAGCAGCCAGAAACAUUCAGGACUUGAAGAGAUCUCAUAUGAAUGCUGCCUGGAAAAAUCUUUAAUCUUCUGCAAUCCUUCAGGCUCAGGGUAACGAGUCCUGUAAAAUUUUUUAUGGACGAGGGCAGUUCUGAAAUUGCAGUCUCAUCUAAAUUAAGCUCUAAUAGGUUCAUAACUUCAGGAAUUUCUGAAAAAUUAUCCAGAUUUGAGCAGCCGGAAAGAUUAAGGGUUUGAAGAGAUCUCAUGUGAAUGCUGCUUGGAAGGCUAUGAAGUUUCUUGCACUGCUUUAGACUCAAACUCUCAAGGUUUUCAAGAGAAUAAAUUGAUGGGCAAAGGUCUUCAACAGAUGUCUCAUCCAAGCGAAGCUCUCUUAAUCCUUCCAUAUUUCCGCCAUUUUCUGGAAAGGCUUUGAGCUUUGAACAACCAGAAAGAUUAAGAAAUUGCAGGGACUUGAGUUGAACAAUGCUGUUUGGAAGAAUCUCAAGUUCUCUGCAAUAUUCAAGAUUCAAAGUAACAAGCCCCGUAAGAUUGUUAAUUGAUCGAGGCAGUUCUUUUAUUGCAGUCCCUUGCAAAUAAAGCUUUGAAAGCUUCUCCAUAAUUUCUGAAAUCUCUGGAAACUUCUCAAGUAUUGAGCAAAAAGAGAGAUCAAGGGUUUCAAGAGAUUUCAUACAAAUGGUGCUUGAAAAGGUCUUGAGUUUGCCGCACCAACUUAGAUCCAAGAGGACAAGUUUUUCAAGGGCAGAAAUGGAUGGGUGAACCUCAUAUAAACUUUGUGCAUCCACCAAGAAUUAGGUUCUCAAGAUUCUUUGCCUCAGUGAAGUCAGGUGUUUCCUUAAGACGAUAAGAGCCUUUUAAGUUGAUAAUUUUCAACUUUUCCAGAGGCUGUCAAUAUACAACAAGGAAAAUAUGUGUUACCUACAUAAUAAGGCAUUUAAAAACUAAACAAUUUAAAAGCAGUAUAUAGGCAAAUGAUGAACGUACCUGAGUUCCUUUCCAGAGGUGUUCAACCCAACUAUAUUGCAUGUCAAUGUCAACAAGAUUCUCUGGGUUAAAAUUGGACGAUAAAGACUUUAGAGGACAUUUGUGCCAGAACAAAUAACUUAAUUUUUCAGAGAGAAACUUUAGAUCCUUGUAUUUCCAUUCAUCAUCGGAUUCCCUGCCCGGUGGUUGUAAAUAGUGGGUAUGGACUCUGAGUAGUCUUAGUUUUAUCAUUUUAAAAAAAGCGGUGUCUAAUUCCACCACAUUGUUUGAGUAUGGCCAACGCACAAUUAUGCUUUCAACUGCUUCUGUAGCCUGGAUAACCAAAAUUGCAAAUUGAAUGAGUACAAAACUUAAGAUUAUAACUUCUAAAUGCACAUGUUUCUCAUUAAUUGGAUUUUGGUCAAAGUUGAAGCUUUAUACUUUUUAUUAAUAUUAAUAAUAAUAAUAUUAUUAUUAACAUUAUUAUUAUUAUUAUUAUUAUUAUUAUAAUUAUUACUAUUAUUAAAUUUACUAAUAUUAAUGUGAGAGAGAAGAUUCAAAGCAAUUACAUUAAUGGAAGGGAGGGAGUGCGUUUCUCACCGUUUCUCGACUUAACACAUGAUGAACAUCUUCAUAGCUCCACAACCUACUGCGCCUCCCAGGCUCUUUUAUAGAUUCCUGGCGUACGAUUUCGCGACCCAUUUCCUCUAGUAAAUCAUGCAUCUCGAGUACACCAUCAGAUGAGACAGUGACAAGAGCUCUACCAACUAGAACGUCUAAUCCGGUAUGGGGAUGGAAGUCACAACCCUCCAUAAUCCUUGUUGCAAAGUCUUUCUUCAUUUGUUUAAAGAAACAUGCAAUAUCAAGAAAUAUUUCCUUCUGCAAACCAUCUAGUCCAUCAAAGCUUGUUCUAAGGACUGUCUGGAUUCCCAGGUGCGGAUUUCUCGCUAUUUUCUUUAACUCAUCUUUCCACACAAGUACACUUUUGUUAUCGAGGAAUGCUCCCAAGACUUUGAGUGCUAAAGGCAAACCUUGAGCAUAUUUUAUGAAAUGGCCUGACAAAUCAACGUAUUCUUCUGUGGGUUGCUUUGUACUGAAAGCAUACUGCAUAAACAGCUCGAGAGCAUCAUCGUCAUUUAACAACUCGGGCUCAUAUAUCUGAUCACCAAGUCUACUUAGUGACUGUUUCUCUCUAGUUGUUAUAAUGAUUCGACUUCCGCCACCAAAUGAAGGUUGCUUUCCAAUUAAGGCUUCAAUUUGGGAUGAACUCUCCACAUUAUCAAGAACAAGUAAAACCUUUUUCCUACCAACUCUUUCCAUCAUCUUCUGAAAACCAUUUCUCAAAAUCUCUGAACUCCCCACCUUCAUAUUUGUGAUACUAGAUAGAAUUUCUGCCUGCAUAUCUAGUGGUGCUUCACCUGCAUCAGUUGACGGAAAACGUCCCUUGACAUUUUCAAGAAAGCAACGACCUUCGAAGUGAUGAUUGAUUUUGUCAUACAUAGCUCUAGCGAUGGUGGUUUUGCCUAUACCGCCCAUACCCCAUAUUCCAACAAAGCGAACGUUAUCGACCUCGGGACAUAAUAGUGAAUCCAUUUUCUGUAAGCGGGAAUCCAUUCCAACCAAGCCAUUCUUUUCACUUGAUAAGAUGUUGAUAAGUUUUUUAAAAAUAUCAUCGACAAUCAACUCAAUAAGCUUGGCAUCAUCCCUGCCAAAUUUGAAAAACAGUACUGUGAAGUCCUGCGAUUGCUUGUCAUAUAACACUCAUCACACUGUCAUUGAAAUUGAAAACACAAAGUAACGGCCCAACAAUUCUCAAUUUAUUCUUCUUUCAUUUACUCAAUGCACUUUUCUAAGUUCAAUCAACAUAUAAGAGAACUAGUCAUCUAUAUCCUCUCAAGAUGUUUUAUAGACCUUUUAGUCGUGCCCCUUUAUAUUGAUCUUGCGGUGAAGAAUUAAUUUAACUUGUUCUUUUUUUACUUAUUCAUGUUGGACGACGUCUUUUCUACAUUAUUUCUCUUUUUUAUACUAAUUUCCUCUUCCCUUCUAAUGGCAAAGAUCUAGGUGUGGCAGUGGAAAGUUUUGCACAGAGUUGGUGAGUAUUCAAUUUUGUAGAGGGUUGGGAAGGAAGUCUUGGUUCUAGUUGUAUUAACAUCAAUUAUAAACUAAAAAGAUCAAAACAAGAAAUUAGCUAAACUUGUAAACUAGUAAGUUAAUAAGAUUAUGAAGGAAUGAGUUACUGGUAAUUUUGUGAAUCCCAGCCACAUAAAUUGGGGGCUCUUUGUAGAGCAGACCUCCACCGCUCCACUUCUUCCAUGUCCGCGUUAGGAUCAUGUUCAUGUUUAGAAAAAGCUUUCUCAAAACUUCCCUCGAUUUUACGAACAUGAGAUGGGUCUACUUGGUAGAAAAUGGGAAUCACAAUCUGCUUCUGAUGAUCCAUGCAUUGCAGGAUUUGGACGAGUUCUUUCAAGCACCAUGUGGAAGAAGCGUAGUUUUGAGAAAAAACUACAACUGAAAGCCUCGAGUCGCUUAUAGCUGUCAGCAGCUGCGAAAGGUCUUUGCCUUUUCUGAGCUUUUCAGCGUCAAUGAAGGUGUUGAUUGAGUUCUGAACUAGAGCUUUGUAGAGAUGGCCGAUGAAGGUCUUGCGAGUGUCUUCGCCUCGAAAAUUCAAGAAGACAUCAUAUUUCCAAUCGGGAACGGAUGAAGAAGAAGAAGCCAUGAACAAGCACAAGAUCGACAGCCUAAUGUGAGUCUCGUGUAGCCCCUUAACAAAC